ACCUCCAUGAAGCAAUGUCCUUCCAUAAUAGUGGGUCUUUGUUCCAAGAGAAAAUGUAAAAAAUACUGGUGCCAAUUGCAAUUGCAUUAAUAUAAAUUCACUUAAUGCAGUUCGGAAACCCCUUUCCAAGCCAAUCUCCAUCAACAUAGGUAAUGCCAUCAAAUAUCCAAUUUGAACAAAAGAUUGAGAAGCAAGAGCCACUUGAAGAGGCUUAUUAUCACGAAUUGCUGGUUGCUCACUCAAUCCUUGUUCAAGGCCACUCAGCACAAGAUAGAGGCGACCAUAAAGGAACACAUAGACAGUGAGCACUGUUAUCUGAAAAAGAACAGAGAAUGAUGCUUGGUGUGUUACAUAGAGUCAUAAUAUUUUAAAGUUGCAAAUAAAAAAGAAAUUUGCAGAAUUACCAGAGUACUUAAGUAAAAACCAACUGUAGUGAAAUAACAAGACAGCAUUCUGAAAAAGUCAAAUCGAUGUCCAAGCCGGUAUAUAUCCCGACUCAAAGUCUGCUCUCCAUUGCCAUUAGCUAUUUUUGCCUCAAACAUAGAUAUCUGAUUGAGACCCACAUCCCUUCCCUUCCCAACUUGUAUGUAUUCAUGAUGGGUGACAUUGCCUUCACGAAGUGUAGAAUUGAAGCCUGCAAUCACAAUCACAAAGUCACCAAUGGAAGACAGAACCAAACAUUAAUACAAACAUGGCACAAAUAUAGAGGCAUUUCAUACCAGCAAAAAUAUCUUCACUCAAAUUAAUGACUUUGGAUGCUUUACUUACACCCCCUCUUGUGAGGUGAAAGAGCCUAUCAAAUACAUCUGGAUGACCAUAGUGGAACCGAACCCUAUACAAACAGGAAAAUUGUACAGAAGAGAUCAAGUAUUGGUUAACAUAAAAGAUGCAAUGAAAACGUAACUGAACCACAGACAUGGGAUUAAAGAGAAUGCUUAUUCCCUUGAAAAAACUCCAAAAACUCAAAGAAUAUAGAUUUCCUGGAAUAAACCAAUUGCACUAUAGUGUAUGGCUGGGUUGAUGCACCAGUAGAAAUCUCAUCCUCAUUAAAAAGACUAAUCAUAAGAAUUUGCAACAUCAUAGAUAAUUUGCCAAUAUCGUAAGACUUAUUCUUUAGAGCUUAUGGACUUAAUCUUCAUGGCAUUAGAAUUCCAAAUAAAGCAGUUCAAUAGACAGAGGAUAGCUUGCUCUUUGCUUUUAGAAGAGAAUUUUUUUUAUUUUUUAAAUGGAUAACCGAAAACAUUUUGGAGAUAAAAAGGUUAAAAAAUAAGAGAAAUUUUUAUGCAAAAUUUCUUACAAAAAUGAUACUAAUAAAGACAAUUUGGGAAAUACUAAGCAAAAAACCUUUGAUAUUAGUUUUUAACAUAUAAUUUUAUCGAUGAGUCGUCCAAGUUGAAUAAAAAUGUCAACUAAUUCAAAUUAUUUAAAAGUAAGAGACUAAUCAAACUCUCCCAAUAAAUGUUAGUAUAGAUUCCUAAGCAAGCUCAAUUCUUUGUACUAACAAGAAAUUUCCUAUGGGAACCUUGAUUCGUUUCAAUAAUUUAACAGAUACACCAGCUACAGAGGUCCAUAGUUUUAUUAGCUUUCUUUUCAUCUUAUUACUGAAAACAAGCAACAAUUACAAUCUCAUUCUGGAGAGCUAACUACAUGGAUUGUCCCCUCAACAAGCUCGGUAAAAAAGAUGUUAUUUUUUGUAUUUUCCAUCACUGUCCUUUUUGGCCUCCCUAUCCUCCAUUACAUCACAUCUUCUCAUGAGGGUAUUUCAAGGUCAAUUCUUUACACUUCCAAACCACCUUAAAAGGUUUUCACAUACAUGUUUAUAUUUUGGAUCAUAUCGCGCCAUUGUACUCUAUUCCAUGUCCUCCUUGGUCUUCAUCUCCCUUGACAUGAGUGUCCUCCAUUCAAUUGAAUCUUUCACAAAAGGGUAAUGGUAUAGCAAUAGCAUCUUCUCAACAUUGCUACACAACUAAGAUUUAAUCAUAUUGAAAAAAUAACCUUCCACUUUUUUCAAUUCAUGGUUCUGCUCAAAAGAGAAAUGCACAGCUUUUAGGUGCUGUCCCUUUAAGUUAAAACCACUAAGAAUUAACAACAAUGAUUACAAUGACUUGUUAACUUAUGGUGCACGCAGUUUGAGCUUCACAGGUAGAAUGCAUUGAGCUACCUAAAACCCUAUUUGAAGGAUUAUUUUCAGCUUUACCAUCAACAUCAAACCUAAAACCACUAAUAAUAAGUGAACAGGCCCAAACAACAUAUUCCCAAACUUCAUUAAUAUUGGAUAACACCAUUUAACACUUCUCCUCAUCUAGCUUCAACACUAACAAGUCAAAUAAAUAGGCUUAACAGUGUGAAAAUGAAUAUGGAGAAACAAACAAUAAAUAACAAAAUAAACAGAGCAACAAACAACCAGGGCUCUAAUAACUUGUCAAACAUCCAACUAAUACCAAUUUGCUACAGCUCAAAUAAGUCGUUUUAAGUCUCUUCUAGAAAAGAGGGGGGGGAGUGUAAUUGAUCAUGUAUUUCAAAAGGAAACAAACAGAUCUAAGAAUUCCUGGGUGCUUUACUUUCAUUAUAAGGGAUUAAAACCCCCAGCAUUACCCAUUGAAUAAAUAAACAAAUAUUAUAAAGCUCUGAAGAAGUUUAAAGAAAAAAGCACAACUUACUUUAGAGGGUUGGCUAACAGUCUCUGACCAAUAGUAACAAAACUUGUCUCCUGAUUUGACAUGAACCAUGCAAGAGAAGAAACACUGCACCAAACGGUAGAAGUAUUAACCAUCAUAUUAACAUGGCAAAAAAGCAGUUACUAACUUGGAGACAACAAGAUGCCACCACACCUUCCUGUAAAUAUGUGCUCUCUAAGCCCAAGAAUUGUCGGGUAUCUUACACCAUCAUGCUUUGUGAGGAAUUCUUGCAACAAAUUCCUCAUUUUCAAUGCCUCUUCCAUGUAAUUAUCCUAUGCAAUUCAUCCAAAAGAGAAAGGUAAUUAUCCUAAGCAAAUGAGCAAUAAAAUAGAAGUGAUUGGCACAAUGUAGAGAAUUAUGAUGCUUAGUCCAACUAUCAUACCUGGUUCAUAUCUAUUGUUUGCAAGCCUUCUCCUCGUGUGAAGAUAAUGGCAUGAUUUUGGUUUUCAGGUUUCCCUUCACCCAAGAUAGCAGGUCCUGGAAGUUUUAUCCGAUAAAUUUCCUGUUUGUGGAAAAUGACAAUUAAAAGGAAAAAUUUUAGGAUGUUGAAAUAGAGUGAGAAAUAGGCAAAGCAAAAGUGGAUAUUCAAAAUCAACAAAGUGAACAAUCAAAGGAUUCUAUUGAAUUUAGAAAUAUAGAAUAUCCUCUGGACAAUCUGAAGGAGUUCAAGAACAAAAUGCACGUGUAAGCAAAACUCAUGCCCAAUAUUUUAAGGCAUAUUAUGAUGACAUUUUAUCUUCGUAGAUGCAAAUUAAUUGUAAGAGAGUAAAAACAAACACACACACAGAGAACGUUAGCAGCGCAGGCAUAUUAAAAAACAAAGACUAUUACAACUCUGUGUGCAUGUAAUCAAGAUCUAAAAACCCACAGAAACAUUAGGAAAAUGUAGUUUAAAUGCUUGUGUUGUAUUUCUCUCAAAGCUGGUCAUUAAUCUUUCUUAAAAGCUUAUCAUUGGGGAUCUACAAGGAAAAUAUAGCAACAGCUUCUCAAUUUAUAAAUGUAUUGCCAUUUGUCAAAGUAAAUAUCAAUGGCUGGAGGGCCAACUGCACAAGAAUAGUUCCAAAUAAGUGGUUGAUUUCAUUUUUUUGGCAGUAUGAAACACUUAUGUCAGGAAAAUAAGUUCCUCAUUUCCCCAAUGCUAAAAGAUGACCGAUAGGAAAAAGAGAACUUUUAGCAUUAGAAAGAACAUAAAAAAGAAACACCUUUGCUGAACACUAAAACAAAAAUUAUUAAAUUAUAAUAAAAAUUAAAGUAAAAGAAAAAAUGUCUAAUUGUCAGAAGCAUCCUCAAAUUAUUGUUAUCUUAGAUCAGUCUUCAACUUUUUAAAUGUGAAUAGAGAAGAGUAUAGAAUCAUUACAUAAAAAAUAAAAAGGAACAUUAUUUUAAAUAUUUUUCAAGAAUAAUGACAUGCAAAAGUACAGUAAUUGCUUCAAGAAGAUUAUUAUUCAUUUUAUACCUAUGACCAGCUUUUCAUAUAAAUAAGUAUUGCUACUGUUUUGCUAGCAUUAAGCACUCAAUUACUAAUUGAUAAUAUUUGGAGAGUGCCACUUCAACAAAAAACCACAAUAAACCCAAACAUGAAUGAAGUGGGAUAAUACAAAAUGUAAAAACCACCCUCAUAAGCAGGCACAAUCUUACAAUUUAAGCCAAUGAGCAUACCACAUGGGCAUCAAAUAAAAGGCGAUAAUGCCAAGAAAACAAAAAAUUAUACCAAAGCUUUGAUACUAUAAAAAGGCAACCAACCCAAAACCAUUUGGCAAUAGGUGCUGCCCAAACUCAAUAUGAGAUAACAACAGACCCCAAAUUCAACUAAGGCGAGAUAACACCACUUGAAAAAUAGUGCAAAAUACAUAAUCGCAUAUGAUUUUGAAAUUAGAUAAAGUAUUACCUGGUCUAGAUUUUGCACUGGCUCUGAAGAAUCACUAGACUUUGGCACAGCCCUCACUAGAACAGUAAAGUAAUUAACCUUGCCAUUAAGCUUCUUCAACCUAUCCUCAUUACGUUGUUCAACCUCAUCAAUGUAUGCAACGCGAAGUGACGGGUAUCUGCCAGUAAAAGAUAUAUCCACUUAAUAAAAAAUAUGCUGGUUGCUAAAAGCAACUGAGAAAUCUUUGGAAAAUUAGCGUGCUUACUUAGUCAUAAGCCUCAGAAUGUCCUGUGCACGCUGCUCACCAGAUCGCUUCUGAAUGCCAUAUUGUUGACAAGAAACAACAUAUGUGAAUUUCAUAUCAGCUACUGCUUCACACUGUACCUUCAGUGACCUAUCCUCUUUGUUAUCCUCCGUACUUAAUUCUAUGGCCUUAUAGCCUUCCAUCAAAUCUAAGAAGGUUGACAUUAAAACCAAGUGAGCUUGAAUAUCUCAUAUCACACAAUAAUUCAUGCAAGAAUAGAAAUAUUAGUAACGCAGAUGUAAGAGCAUCAGUAAUGCGAUUAGCAGCAUACAAUUAAUUAUACUGCAAUUUUACAGCAAGGUGAAACAGUUACCUUCAUGUUUGGCCAUAUCAAGGAAAGCCUGCAGCUCCAAUGCUUCACGAUAGUACAUCAUACCUCUAACUGGCAUUUAUAAUGAUCUAUUAGUCUAUAGAAAAAAGGAAACCAGUGCAAACAUAUGCAUGCACACAAACACACAUGAAUGCACGCGAGAGCAUGCACACACACCACAGAGAGAGAGAGAGAGAGAGAACCAGUUCUCGUUAAAGUUUGGCCCCUAUAUGAUGCCCAUAAACGAAGGUGUUCUUCUAACUCAGGAGAUUCUCUAAGUUCUUCUUCACUGCUGCAUUUCACCCGCUCAAGAAAGUUAUUCCAUUCAUCUGAACAUUAUUAAUCAGCAAUCAGCCAUAAAUGGAAGAACAGUGCGAAGAUUUCGCAUUUCCAAUGUACAAGUGAAUGUAAAUCUUUAAUAAAAAUUAAAAAAAAAAAGGGUGAAUUCAAACCUGGAAAGAUUUUUUGCAAGUAAAAGAGGAUGGAAACACCAUCUUCAUUUGGAUUUUCCAAUUCUUGCAAGGAGAAAAGAACUUCCUCUGUGUAGUAAGGAGUCAAAACACUACAAAAAACAUGAUUUAUCACUUCAGCAACAUGCAUUAAAAACAAAAUCAUGAUUAUCAUAUAAUCAUGAUCAUCAGGCAAAAACGAAGCUAACGAUAUUUGAAAUGCUCAAGCCCAUGUACAGUAUUCAUUAAUUUUUACCAGAUAGUGAACUAUAAGUCAUUUUUAACAUUUAACCAGAGGUUCAGCAAUUAUAUGGAAUAGGAAUUUACUUCAGGCUAAUGAUCUCAAAAGAGAGAACAAUAUUCAACCAACUUUGUAAUCAAGGACAAAAAUAAAAUAAAAAAAGUAAGUCAAUUUGUUUGUAAUUAAGUUUUAUACAUUUCAUUACCUUAAAUUAUUUAAUUUUCAAGCAAUUACAUCAUUUGAGGCAGUCUGGAAACAUAAAGAGGAGACCAACAAAUGCCCCUACAAGAAGAUUUGAUUUAAUAGAUGAUAUCCAUGUCCAGCAGUAGAGGAAGGCCAAAGUGAAUCUGUAGAGGAACUAUAAGAAAAGACCUCAUUUUACUAAGCCUACAGAGAUUAGUCUUACAUAGCGUAUAGUGACACAAUGAGAUCCAUAUACCAACCCAAUAGUGGGAAAGGCAUAGAAUUUUUGCAAGUAAAACCUCAUAUAGUAAUACUUAAUUUAUUCAAUUGAUCUUUCUGUAUAUUUUAUACCAGUUAAAUCUAGUUUUGUCAAUUGUAGAACAGGUAGCGUACAGUAGCAGUAAAACAAGUAUGAAUAGAAUAAAAACGGGAUGGAAAUAAAAGGAUAGAUUUAUGGAGAACUAGAUACAUGUCAUCUACACUGCAAACCUUUCUAUUCCAUGGAUAGGCAGAUAGAUAGGGUAGAGCUUUGGGUUUAUAAAUUGUAACAUAUACUCUGAAAUAAUUCAUAUUAUCUACGAAUAACUAAUAUAAAUGACUACUAUAAUCAACAAGCAAGAUCCUAACAAUUUGUUGAAUACUAAUGGUUGCAAAAAUUCUGUUAUUUGAGCCAGCUUAGCUCAGAGGUUGAGUAUUGCAUUUAUAGCACAAUGGUCAUCAGUGUGAUUACAAUAGCUCGUAGGUGUGCGAAUUUUACAUAAUUGGUAUGUUUUAUUAAGAAAAUAAAAACAACAUAGAGAAAGCUUCUCUCCUUUUCCAAGGUUUACUAAUCUGGUUAUCAUGUUAUAGAAACUUAUGAAUAUGAAUAAAUUGGAUAGUUUCUACUGUUGGACAAACAAAACAAAGGGCUUUCUUGCAAGAUAAACCUAUAUUUUAUAUAUCAAUAAUUUUUUAAAAAUAGCACAAAUAUGCUCUCCCAAUUUCCCAUUCAAUCGUCAACAAGAAAUAUUCAUUAGUUUAUACCCGAUGAGAUAUAAGAAGAGUAAAAAGCACUAGUAGAAAGAAACAAUAAAUCUGGGAUAAAGCUUACGAGAAUGAAAGCAUAUUGCGAACUUUAGGUGCAGCAGGCAUAUCCAUAAACAAAGAAUUUGAGAAGAAAGAAAUUCGCCUCCUAGCUUCUAAAUUAGAUGGUACGUCCAUAGCAGAUUCCUUUGUGGUAAGUAACAGAUAAAGUCGGUUGAUCUGCAAAACAAAAAUAGGAAAAGCAACAAUAGAAAAAAUUAAUAGAUUUAUCUAGAGAGAAAUGCUUUAAGCUUUAGUGUCCAACAAUGAACUCACCUUUUCUUUCCAUGCUUCCGUAACAGGAGAUAUUGGAAACUUGAUGGCUCCAGCAGAGGCAAAUAAUUGAUCUAAUUUUUUUUGAUCAAAUAAUUGAUAAUGUUGAUCAAGUACUCCAUGUGUUGAAUCCACCAAACUUUUAAGUGCAAAAAAUAAAAUAAAAAUGAGGAGUAAGUUAAGGCACUAGAACAUACACACGUUAAGGAAACAAUCAUGUGAAGAUGACAAACCUGGAGUCAUCCUCCGUCAUUAUGUCUUUUGUCACAGUCUCCAGCAUAUCCUGGAAACAGAGUACCACUUGACCCCUUUCUUCCUGCUUAUUUUCCAACUGCAAAAAUCAAGCAGGUCAUCUUAGGACUUCCCAUUACCACCCAAAUCUCACAGGAAUGAAAAUCCUCUUAAACCAAGUUAGGUUUUGAAUAUUACCAAAAAUUUGAUCAACUUCACAAUAUGGUCAUAGAGACUAGGGAGAGCACUCAUUUUGUAAGUCUUAAUUAGACUACCAUGUUCUAUAAGUUCGUCAACCUUGGAAAAUAUAGCAUCUAUAACCCUGGAAACACAUUGGAAUGAAUAAAAAUGAUUUUACACAACAGUAGCCUUCACCUAAUAAUAAUCUUAAUAAGAGGAAAUUACAGCUUGAAUGAUAUGGAUUACAUCUGUGGUUAACAUUCUACAUUGAACAGUAGCUUACUUUUUUUCCCGGGGCCCUUCAACCAAAAACUUAAUAAUGCUUCUGAAUGAAGCAUAGCAUUCACGAAUAGCACAGGACAUGUAACGGUCAGCUUCAAUUCUCUUUUGCAGCUCUUUAUCCCUGCUAUCACUGUCCUUGGCCAUGUCUAAUGCUAUUGGGAUCUACAUGAAGAUUCAUAGUUAAUAUCAUGAUACUCAAUUCUCAAAAUCACCGGAGCAGAAUAAGUUGAAGCAAACCUUGCUAGCAAGCAAAAAUGGUGGCCACUGUAUUUGCUCUAAAUCACGGUCAGCCCAAUAGGGAACAAGCAACAGGUUCAUUUCCCUGAAAAUGAAACAAGCUCAGCACGUAGCAAGAAUAACAUUAAAGCUGGAAUUACUGAGUAUAACUUAGAGCAGAGAGUAUAAAUACUUAUUGCUUAUAAGAUCUUCCUGCCGAAAACUGCUGAUUAUUUUGUUCCACAACUGAGCAAAUUUUGCAGCCUCUUUCUCUUUAUUAGAUGGUGGCUGAAAAAAUAGACUAUUAUUAGAUGGCAAGGUACUUUGUAAUGCUUCUAUCACAAAAUCAUAGAGAGAUCACAAGUUAUAUGAUAGGUAAUGUCAAAGAGGUUUGACCUGCCCAAAGCUACGAGAGAAAAAACCCCAAACUCCUUUCUUCUUUCUCUCGAUCUCACCCUCUGGAAUUAACCGAGCAUUAAAAGCACCAGGCAAUGAUUCAAAACGAGAUCUGAGCAUUCCUAAUGUUCGAAUCUGAAGUUUAUAACCAAAUAAAGGAUGAAACACUAAAAAUCCAAACACUGCAGAAAUAAAACAAAACUAAUCUAGGUUCAAAAAAGAUUCUAUACUAAUUAUUGAGAAGCAGAUGAAGAUGAGAUUUUCACUAUCUCCAAAUAAAAGUGAAACCAGCAAUUUUCAUUAUGGCAAAGUUUACCAAAAAAAAAAAAAAUGAUGUUCUACAGUUGACAUCAUCCACAUAAAAUAGGUGAAGGAAGUAAACACAUGGUAAACAAUGACCAUAGUGCAUGUUUCCUGAAAAUGCUUGACAAAAUAAGAAGACAUUUUGUUAAAUAAUUAGAAAAAUGAGCAAAGGAGUAAAAGUAAUAAGACAAAAGAUUGCAGUAACUAGUUAUGUGAAGCUCAACGAACCUCUCCAAGGCGUCUAAAUGCACCAUAAAUACCUCCAAACAAUGUGGAGAAUAUUGCAUACCAAAUCUGGGUAUCCAUAAAAUAGACCUAGAAAAUAAAAAUCUCCAAAUUAGACCUUAAAAUAUCCCAGUCAAGCUUAUGACAGGAAAACAUGGAUCAACUAUGAACAUGACAUAAGCCAUACAAGAAUGAUUGGAGCCCAGAGAGCAAUCACGACACCAAUGUUGUUCUUUGCUGCAAAAAAGACAAGAAAGAAAUGAACCUUCUGUUAUGGGAAAGAGAACAGACUGACAUCUUAAUGUCCAUUACCUCGGGGGAAAAAUUCAUGCCACUGGAAUUUACUUAUCCGAACAGACAUAACAGCUUUCGUGGGACCAACUAAAGGCUUUAUCUGUGACCAAGAAAGGAAGAUGUGAUAAAGUUUGAAUCAGUUUUAAAAAACAUUUCAAAAUCUGAUAUGCUCAUCAGAGAUAGGUAGAUAGAAUACAAGAUCUUUUAAGAUCAAAACAAGAGAAAUGCCAACUGAAGUGAUUCUGGGGUGACUUAAGUCCAGCUUCACCAUUACUUUAAUCAUGGCCACCCUUUGGUAUCAAUAGCUGACCAUGACAGUAUUUUGAUUGAUUUAAUGAUCAGUGCAGAAAAAGAAAGUAUGAUCGUGUGUGUAGGCAGGGGGGAGUUAAGGAUCAAACGAUUGAAAGAUACACCUCAAUAUAAUAACUAAAUGCCAACUUAGUGAUGAUAAGUAGGACCCAAAACAUCGUAUACCUGAAAGUUCAACAACAAAAAAAUUAGAAAUCAAACAUUUGACAUGGUUACCACAAAAGCAAUCAAUCAAUCUUAAAAACAUCAAACUCUUACUUGAAGAGAGAAAACGUGCUCUCGUGCAUUGCCCUACCAACAUAGAGACGAGGCUGAAAAAAUCAGGCAAGGCAAUAAGUGAACUAGAAAAGGAACGAGUAGGGAAAAGAAGAUUAUAUAAGAACAGUUAUCUACCUGUGACCACCACAUCAUAAGCAUCACAAUUUUGUAGUGGGAACUUUCAAGGAAUCGACGAACGAAAGGAAAAAGAAACAAUAUCGCGGCCAGCAUAUUUGGUGACAAGUAAAUUACAACAGCCAAAAUAAACAAGGAAGGUGAAUUUGAGGCAUUGCCAAACCAGCUUUGGAUGGUUCGUGCAAACCCUGAAGGAUCGUCCCAAGUAUAAGCAUAAGUGACAGGUAGAAUUAUCACCCAUGCAGCUGCCGAAACAACUUUCAAUAUGUAUCUUAACUUUACAUGAAAUGACAUGCUCUGCUGUGCUUUCCAACUAAGGAUUACAUCAAGGACAGCUGCAAACAUUAUAGAAAUAUCAGUAAAAACUUCAACAUAGCUGACAUGCAGUACAAUGAAAAGGUUUCCACAUUCCAUAAAAUGCAACAGCUUCAUUAUCGGGUUGACAUAAGCAAUAAACAAACAUGCAUCUAGCCAUAGAGAAACAAACAGUAAAGCAGAAGGAAAUUUCCAACUUAACUGAUACACAAGCAUGUAGACUGAAAUACCAGACAUUUUAAAAAACAUAGUCCACUAGUAGUUGGCACCUAAAGUGAUGGCAUCCAUUAACCAACAGUAUACAACAGAUCAAGACCAGUCUCAUUAUUGAUAAUGAAAGAAAUGGAAAGGGUGAUCCUACAAGGAGCAGUGUAAAUAACUUAAGGUUAGCCACUUCAGAUGCCAGAAACAGUGUGCAUAGAAAUGAUAUGUUAUCUACAGCACUAAAACAAAAGAGAAGCUAUAUGAUACAACUGGGAAACCGUUAUCUGCUGCCAUGAUUCAACAUAUAAAAGAAAAAAGAUGUAUGCCCUCAAAAGACUACAACUCAAAUCUUCUUUCUCAGUAAGUGUGUCAAACUAUAAUUAUUUUCUGUUAGCCUUAAAUGGGUGUAGAAACAAGGUUUUAGUGCAAACAAAGUGCUUUCUACGAAGAACUUGAAAAACAAUUCACCAGAAUAACCUCAGAUUUCAUAAACCAACAAGUAGCAUUUUUUUCUAUUUUUUUUAUCUUCAUAUGAUUUGCCUACCAUCUCAAAGAGGAUGUUCCACUCAAUCAAGAAAGCUUCCGUUGCAAAUAGUUAAAAUGAUAACGACAGACGCUGAAGUAAGACUAACUGGUUUCACUCACCUUGGCCAAGCUUCAAUAUAGCAGCAGUUAUAAAGACACUCAGCACUUUCUUGAACAAAUCACCCCUAAAGAUUGAACUUGGUUGCCCCGAGCCAUGCCAAGCAAUAAUAAUCAUGGCCUUACAAGAACCAGACUUUAUCAACACCAUGCCAAAAAAAUAAAAAAUCUCAAAGGUAAAUAUGGAAAAUCAGGAGCACCAAAGGUAAGUGCUACCUGCAAGGACAGGAUGAAAAAACUCCACAUUCGAUCAAAGCUUCUGAAGACAUGCCAGAAUGAGCGUAUCUCAACAAAGUUAACUUUCCCCAUCCAUCGAUCAUUAUUAGAUGGCUUGUUAUCCUACAUAUAAGAACCAUCAGCCACAAACUAACCAUCAGCCACAAACUAAGUAGGAGAAAACAAUCAUGCUAAAAUGACUUGAUACAAUUAGCCAGGUGUCCUUUAUUGCUAGCUUCCCAUUUGUUUUCAGUAACCAACACAACUUUCAAAUCUAUACAGUCACUAAGAGUUGUAGAUUACAUAGUCCAAUUACCUUAGCAAUCAGUGCCAUAAAAAGAGACUUUAUCUUUCAUUCUAGGAAAUAGAAAGCAGAACAUAUUGAGACUCAUAAGAAAGAGGAGACUGACAUUACUUCAACUUGAAGUCCACCAUAAAGUCAACAACCUAUAGUUGAUCAAGCAAAUACAAAACAUGCAAGCUAGAACUUUAUGAAGAGAAUUUACAAAAUUACUUUGAUUGCCACAAUAGAUUUAAUUGUCUAAAGCCUCCCAGAUGCAAGAACUGAGAACCAUAUAUACAAUAAACUCAUUGCUGUCCAUUGAGCAUUCUUCUUUUGGUUUAACAAAUGCAAGGGAAAGAACAAACAGAGAUCCAAAAACAAGCUUACCCCAUUUUUCUCACGAACUUGUUCAAUUGGGAGAGAAAAGAAAUCAGCAUCAGCACGCAUUGGCCAACCCAACCGGAAACAAUCAACGGACCUACAAUUAAACAUGGGUAAACAUAUCUUUAGGAACAUAAACAAUGUGGAGAGAUAAAACUUAUUAAUAAAAAAUUCAUACCAGAAGUAUUCAUUUAAAUCAUCGUAAUUCCUCCAUUGUGAAUGCUUUGAUUGCCCUCGUUUACUUCUUUCAGCUUCCUGCAAAGAAAAUCAUCUUUUUUUCAGACAGGAAGACCAAUUCUCCAGCAUAUUCACCUUUAAAUUAAAAGGUGCAAACAUACACACACCAACAGAAACGGAGAGAGAGAGAAUAAAAUGUAUGCAAAAGUGGACAGGAAUUGCAUAGGGUACCCUCCAAAUAACAUCAUAGAUAGGUGUAACAACUUUCUUCAAAAAAGCUUCCUCCUCGCCUCCAUAGGCUGGCUUCACAUUCUCUCCGGUCAUAGGACUGACAUUUCCAGCUAGCAUACCAUAAAGUUCAAAUGCCAUCUACAGUAAGCAAAGGAAAGAAGCAUUUACUAUUUAAUAAAGCAGAAUAGAUCCAUCAAAGCUAUCUAGAGAUAGAGACAUUAUGGUUAGAAACACAAGCCAGGCAUUGACACUAGUCCCUACACAGAAACUACAUAAAUAUAGUCAAGACAAAGAGAAGAUUGAUAACCACAUGCAAAAUGCCACUAUAAAUGGCAACAAAUUUCAGAGUAAGUUGACAAGAAUGACAUUGGAUAAAAGCCAACUCAAAACAAUUUCCUUUUAUUAAUGUUGGAGAGGUACAUGUAUGGCAACAAUGUCAUUUCUCCAACGCUAGAGAGAUAUGGGCGAACAUAAUUUUCAUUAGGUUGUUCAUAUCAAAUAGAUUACAAGGCAAUUAACUUAAAACAAUUCGCAAUAGGUGGAGAGGACUCAAUCAUAUUAACGAACCCAAGAGAUUCCACUCACCCUCACAUGUAGGAAGAAUAGACCUAUGACAUGGUAUGUACUUCAGCAGUAGUGAAUUACAACCCUACUGUGGACAAUAAAUGAUGGGACAACUUGCUUUGAUCAAUAAAAUUUAAACAAACCUCAAGUUUAGACAGUGUGGGAUAGAUUACUUACACUCUCCGUCAUAUGUAGGCCACAUAUUAGCAAUUUAAACAAACGAACCUACAACCUUGAAAACAGAAAACGGCAACAACCAAAAAAACAAACAAGGCAACAAGCAACCUAGGCUUCGAAACCAUGCUAAAAAACUAACUUAACACCAACUGGCCAUGAGUGGAAAGGCUUAACUUGAAUAUAAGUCGCAACAAAACCCUAACUUAGCCAAGAUGUGAUAACAAUACACAACAAUUGACAACUAUGCAUUUAUGAUGGCAAUUUCAAACACAUGAUGACACAACUUGAACUACAUAAAAAUACCAUUAGAAACUUGAGUGAUGCACGACAUAAAUCUGUCUAACCCAAAAAAUGACAUCACCAAUUUUACAAAUAAAUCAAUGGUUGGCAAUUUUCAUUCAAACUAACAGCCAUUGACACAGAAAUGAUUCAUGAACCCCAAAUGCAUAAGACCUUUUUUGGCUACAAUGAACUGACAUUUUGCCAAAUUCUCACAUUGCACAUUAAGUUUGAUAAUCUCUUACAAAUAGCCAAAAGACCAAUGCAAUGCUAUCAAAGGAUGUCCUAAUUUUAACCUCUAGCUCCUAUGGGCACCCAUGAAGAUACUCAAGUUUGAUAAUGUCCAGUUCUACAAGACAAAGUAUUUCUCACAAAUUAAAUGCAGAAACACUAACACAACAAACUUUUUUUUCCUAUCAAUUGCUAAAUCUUUUCUGAUAGAAGUAUGGGUCAAAACAAAUGGCUACUAUUUCCAUACCCAUUAUACAGAAGCCUGCUCCAGUUUGGUUAAAAGCCUUAAUUCAAUAUACAUAAGUAUGCAUAUCCAUGGGAAGAAGAGGAGUUUUUGGAACAUACAUGAUGAUAGAUGUAGCAAAGGCAUUCUGGCAUGAAUCUCAAGUUUGCAGCUUCACCCCAUAUUAAAAGAUACAGACCCAUGUAUAAUAAUUUUCGCUGUUGCACUUCCUGCUGAAUGGUUGGCAACCUGCAGAUUUGAAAUAUCAAGGAGAAUUAAGCCAAAAGAAAUAUGGGAAAUCCAUUCCUUAGAACAUGACUGCAGUUGAACAUCUUGAAAGCUUAGGGGUGAAGAGCAAAAGGAAAGAUACAUAACAAGCACCCUACAAACAGGAAGUGCUUCCCCAAAUUUAUCGAUUGGAGUUCACUCUUGCUAUGUUGAAACACUUGGUAUAAUUAACUUAAUUCAUGACAUAUAUUUCUCUUAAAAUAUAUCCUAGAAGCAACAUAAAGCGGCUUCCAUUGAAGUUACAUAGUCCAGCAAGAUUUACUGCUUAAUAAUGGCACGGAGUCUCACCAAAGACUACUUUUCCGAUCCAAGUACUUGCACCACUUUUUAUAGUUCUUAAAAAGUUUCUUCAUCACUUCUGUUAGCGCAUGAUCAUCCAACUGCGCAAGAAACAAUUAUGUCAGAAAAGUUCUUAGCCCUAACCCUUUCAGCACACAACAUAAGAUCCAAUUGCUUAGGCCACAAACCCCAUCUGAAGCACAUAUGAAAGAAGAAAGAAAAACUUUUGUAUUUUACUAAUUAAAAGGAAUUGUUAGCACAAAGAAAACAAACAUUUUAACAGAUAAUAACUCUCUACUUCUCAAAAAUAAGCUUACGAUAUAUUAUUCCGAGAAACCUCCCCCUCGUAUGCAGGCCAAUACUAACAAUUGAGACAAAUGAGCCUAACAUGUGAACAAAUAAUGAGCAACAAACAACAAAAAUAAACAAGGUAAGAAACAACCUAAGCUCUAAUACCAAGUUAAGCUUCCACUGUAAAACCGAUUGGCAAUACGUGGAAAGGACCAACCAAAACAAAAGGCCACAACAAACUCUAAAGUUUUCAUGGGAUACGAUGAUUAAACAUUACCUUCACAUGUAAACCCUAUACUAAUAGCGUAAAUAAACAAGCCUAAUACAUGGCUUAUAACUAAGGGGCAACAAAUUCCACAUGUUUGGCACACUCCUUGGCAUCAGUUGUUAAUAUUACACAUGGAGUGUUAAAAGGUGUUAUCAUAUAAGUUAGCUUUAGAAUUUGUUGUAACCUUAUAAAUUAGUUCAAUCUCUUCACUUAUUGCCAAUUGGUUUUGUUAUAGAAUAGGAAAUGUGUAAAUAUUCAUUUAUUAAUAAACGUAAUUAUAGGAAUUAGAAAUCACCAUAAUUAUAGGAAUUGGGAAUCAUCAUAAUUAUAAGGAUUUUAUUUUCUCUAUUUUCUUUAUUCUUUCCCUAAUUUAGAAAUAUUUAAGCUGUAUAUAUAAAUGAUGUAUUAUGAAUGCAAUAAGCUGAGUUUUCUCUUCCACAAUAACAUGGUAUCAAAGCUGUGUUGGCAAAUCUGUUUCCUUGAAAACAGAGUUCUUAGUUUCUCUUUUACACCCAAACCUAGGUCACCCAUAUAGGGUGACAAUCUGAUCCCAAAGUCAGCACUAGGAGGAGACUCACCUGCUGAUCGGCUUCUUCCUAGAACCCUGCCACUAGAGUCCCCACGAGUGGCUAUCACACGCCGCUUUUAGUUUCUGGUUCUGUUCCACACGCCGACCAUCUAUUGGAGAUUCACUCCGGUCUUCUCUUCUGGUCUUCAUUCCAGAAGGUUUCAACAAGAUAAUUUGGUAUUCUUGUUGGGUUUUGUUACUGGGUUUUCAAGACGACAGAGUCUGUGCCAGAAAAAAAUCAAUGGUAGUGGCUGAUGUGAUUCUUGUGAUGACAAAGGUCACAGAGCAUAAACUUAAUGGUUCCAAUUAUUUGGAUUGGAGCAAGACUAUUCGGGUCUAUUUAAGAAGCAUUGAUAAGAUUGAUCAUAUUAUUAAUGAUCCUCCUAUUGAUAAUACAAGGCAAACCUGGAUGAGGGAAGACACACGACUGUUCCUGCAGAUUCGAAAUUCCAUUAAUAGUGAGGCAGUUCAGGAGUUUGGGGUGAAAAAGAGUAAGUGUGAUCACUCAGUGCUUUAUAAACAAUCGGAGGCAAGCAUAAUCUUACUACUAGUGUAUGUUGAUAUUGUCAUUACUAGGAGUGACACUGUAGGUAUUUCAUCUCUCAAAUCUUUCUUCAUACUCAGUUUCAGACAAAAGAAUUAGGGUUGUUGAAGUGUUUUUUGAGUGUUGAGGUGACAAGGAGUAAGAAAGGUAUGUUCUUGUCUCAAAACAAAUAUGUUCUUGACUUGUUGACUGAGACAGGAAAAUUGGGUGCUAAGUCGUGUAAUGCACCAAUGACUCCUAAUUUGCAACUUACAAAAGAAGAUGGUAAAUUGUUUGAAGACCUUGAAAAGUAUAGAAGCCUGGUUGGAAAAUUGAAUUAUCUUACAGUGACUCAUCCUGAUGUUGCAUACUCUGUUAGUGUUGUAAGUCUGUUUAUGUCUGCUCCAACAAUUAACCAUUGGUCAGCUUUGGAACAAAUCCUAUGUUAUUUGAAAGGGGCUCCAAGAUGUGGUCUAUUUUAUGGAAAUCAUGGACAUACUAAUAUUGAAUGUUUUUCAAAUGCAGAUUGGGCAGGUUCCAAGAGUGAUCGGAGAUCUACUACAAGAUAUUGUGUUUUUAUUGGAGAAAAUCUGGUCUCAUGGAAAAGCAAGAAGUAGAAUGUAGUAGCUCGUUCUAGUGCAGAAUCAGAAUACAGAGUUAUGGCACAAACUGUGUGAGGUAGUAUGGAUGUAUCAGCUAUUAAGUGAAAUUAGUCUUAAGUCUUCUUUGCCUGCAAAGCUGUGGCGUGAUAAUCAAUUUGCUCUCCAUAUUGCCUCCAAUCUCGUGUUUCAUGAACGAACUAAGCAUAUUGAAAUUGAUUGUCAUUUUGUUUGUGAAAAGAUUCAACAGGAAUUCAUCCCUACAAGAUAUGUUAAAACCGAAGACCAGCUAGGAGAUAUCUUCACAAAAGCGUUGCAAGGACCUUGAGUUGAUUAUAUUCGUAGCAAGCUGGGUAUGAUUAACAUCUAUGCUCCUGCUUGAGGGGGAGUGUUAUAGAAUAGGAAAUGUGUAAAUAUUCUUAUAUUAAUAAACGUAAUUAUAAGAAUUAAAAAUCACCAUAAUUAUAAAGAUUGGGAAUCAUCAUAAUUAUAGGGAUUUUAUUUUCUUUAUUAUUUUUUUAUUUUAGAAAUGUUUAGGCUGUAUAUAUAGAUGAUGUAUUAUGAAUGAAAUAAGCUGAGUUUUCUCUUUCUAAAUAACAGGUUUUAGUAGCAUGCUUAACAAGUUAAGAGCUCAGGGUACUUGUUACCUCGUUUGUUAAGCUGUUCAUGCCUCUUAUUUGUCUAUUGUUUGUCCAUAUGAUUUUAUGUUUAGAUAGAUAUCAGUGUUUUGAUCUUUCUCAACACUAAGGACGAUUUCAGUCAAAUCAUGGAAAUCAAUUGGAAUUGUGUUGAUGGAGAUACUAUCAUUGAUGUGUGGUUGCAAAGAUGUUAUCAUGGUGGUUAUUUAGUUGGGUUUGGAUAGUGGCACCACACAAGAAAGAGUAACAAUUAUCAGCAACAAAAUGAGAAACUAUCAUUGCUGCUUAGCACUGCCAGUAACACUGCACAAGAACUUUAAGAGAGAUCUAUGAGAUAAGACUAGAAAAGUAUUUUAAAUAACUGGAAAAGGAAAUUGAGAAACGGGAAAAUUAAGUAAGAAGAAUUGCAUACUUUUGAUGAUUAAGAUGGGUUUAUCAAAAAUAAAAAACACACACAUAUUCACAAAACUAAACACCCCUUACAGAUCAAACUCAAUAGCCCCAUGUAGAUGAUUUUUGGACAAUUAUGGACUCACUAAUGUAUCAUUGUUCCCAAGCAUGUCUAGCAAAAAUUGGACGCACAGCAAGUCUAUGGAUUUAACCUCAAAGUAGGUAUAGGGUUUUAGGCUGAUUCUGCAUUACGAGAUGUUGGAGAGAAUUUGACUUGAUGGCUCCGAAAUGGAUUCUCUCCUUAAAACUUUCUUUGGAGUAGGAGAUUGCUUACCUAUGUCUCCUAUUUCACACAUCAUCACAUUCCUUAACCGUUACUUGAGAAUCAAUUCUUUCUAACUUGAGAAUUAACUCUCCAUCAUUUAAUGAGGAAUGAGCUAGCACCUUUUUAUUGGUUGCACUACUUAUACCUCUAGCCUAUAUGCGGUCUUUAAGCAUCAUUACUUGUUUCCACUUCCCACUCACUGCUAUAGGCUCUUGUUCCUACUCAUCGGGCAUAGCUUCAAGGGCUUGUCCUCGCUUCCACACUACUGUAAGUAUUUGCUUCACGCUCUUGCACGCCACUCCAGGCACUUGUUCUCACCUCUACGCUACUCUUAAGUAUUUGCUUCCCACUUCUGUGCACCACUCCAAGUUCAUGUUCCCAAAUCAUUACCCCUAUUCACCACUUCCCACUUUCCCUUUCGAUCAUUCCACCUACCACAGCAGUCCAUACUCUAGCGACCAUUCCAAAUCCUCUAUGCUGCUCUACUUCAUCUUGUUUCACCUCUUUACGACACUACACCCCAUAAUACUAAUUUAACCUAGUAAAAGUUCAGGGACUAAUCCAAACUUUUGAUAAAUAUUCAAGGAUGAAACGGGCCACAUAUAAGAGAAAAGGGGAUAAAGGUAACCAUCACCAUUUGAAUAUUUGCAAUAGAAAAUUCAUGCUCACAUAGAAAUAUAUAUAUAUAUAUAUAGUUAGCAAGCAAACCUUGGGUUGUUGAUCAGGCUUUGGAAAUUGCCGUAUGUGCACAUUUGCAAGCAAUAAGAUCAAAUGCUCCCUUUGAUUUGCCACAUUAUCUUUCUGAAGAGAUACCAAUUGAGAUGUAAGUAUGGGUCCAAAUAAACAAAUUGAAUUGGCUUUUACCAAUACUUUACUAACAAAUUUCAAAUAUUGGCAAGGGAACACAGAACACCCCACUGCACUGUAAACAUGUAGUUCUACUCCAUUUAUUUUUCACCUGAAACCCAAACAUUUCUUGAAGCCAAUCUAGAAUGUCUUCAUCUUUCUUUCUCUUGUGGUCUUUGGGCCAUGGAAGACCCCUAGUGUUACGAAGAGCAUAAACAGCUGCUCGGAUCUACAAUUAAGGUAAAUAACAAUACGUAAGCAAAAGAAGCGAAAAGCAAAUUGGAAGUUCAAAACAACUAUCAGACAAGAUACAAGCUCAAAAUAUACCUCAGAAUAUUGCAUUAUAGCCUGGUUUGCACUUUCAGGAUCAAGAGGAAGGAUGUUGUAAGGGACCAAGAUCUGUGUCUGUUCUGCAACUUUAUCUUGAGCUUCCAAAAUCUGCACUAACCUUAACCAUAAUUACAUCUUUCACAUGCAAAAAAAAAUGAAAUUUAGAGUUUAUGGUUUCUUAGUAAACUAAUCGAGCCAGUGAAAGAUAUCUACAUCAGACAAGACAAUAAAAAAAAUGAUCAAAGGUCAAAAUAUAUAAAAUAGUUUCACCUCACGGUCAACUUCAAUAGAUUGUGUCAAAUUGACGGCCUUCAAAACCUCAAAAAGAACAUUCGCAGUUUGGUAUGCUUUUGUAAGUUGCGCCCUACAUAAAAAAAAAAAAAAUUGGAUGUCAAGUAAAGAACUAUGAAUAGCAAUUUCCACAAUAAUCACCCAAAUAACUUAACACCAUACCACCUUUAGGACUUACCGAUCAGCUUUAUCAGCAGCACUUGUCAAUGCCUGGAUGUACUUUUUGUAAUAGUGUUGAUAAAAACUUUGCAUUUCACGGGCAUCACUUUUCUUAACCCUUCCCUGUAGAGUUGGAUCAUUCUCCUGUAAUGACAAGAUGAAAUCUCCUCAUGAGACCAACAGCAAAGAAUAGAUAUAAAGAACUAGAAGCAUAAAUAAAUGCAAAUGAGGACAUGUAGACAGUAUAACGAAAUUUAUUAUACAUUAGGUGCACUUCAGCCAUGAAAAGCUCUGAUUACAGAUGAAAUUCUACUUACUAACAUGGACUCCACAUCAGAUCUGUUUGGUAAGGAUCUAAAAUAUUGGAAACUGGUGAUCCUAGGGAAGCUAUACCAUGAACUAUUAUUAGCAUGCCUAGGACACUUCUACUUAUGAACAAUUAACUCCUACGAAGCUCAUCAGCCUUAUUAACAUUCAACCAUCUCUCUAACCAAUUCAUGCUUUCGUAAUCCGUCUAUGAAAAAUUAAAGUCUAAAAAACUCAUCAAUCUAAACCAGUUUAUGAACCCAACGAUCAAGGGUUUAGUUAACUAUACAAGUGAGAACAAUAUGAGAGUUCUGAUUGCCCUACUUGAUAACUUUUAAGAACUAUGUCAACCCAAACAAAAUAAUGUCUUACUUUGAUGAUUAAAACAAGUAUCAUAUAAAUGAAUAAGAAAAAUUCCUGCUCAGAAUGUGCUUUAAACAUUCCCUUUCACAAGUUUCAAGGCUAUCAUUGGCAACUUGUUAUGCAUUUUCAAUGUCUCUGGGACAAACUAGGGUCCGUGUCAAAAAUCACUAUCGAAGCCAUGACCACCCUUCAGAAUAUGAAUCACGAAGCAUCCAAUAUAAAAAAAUGUAAAAGCUAAUAUGACUUCUCAUAAACAAAAUUAACAAAAUAUAAAAAUUUAUUAACAAAAAGGAAAAAGAAGUUAGCAAAAAAUAAAUAUAUACCAUGCAUGAGAGAAAGGAAGGAGAGGGACAAUUAUUCAGAGUUGGGUUGACUUAGAAGCUAAGAUGAAUUCUAAUAUAAGUGAAUUUGUGAAAAUCCCUCAUCGAUUUUCAAAAGUGAAACGAGUGGCAAGAAUUGUAACUUACAUUCUUAAGAAAAAACUAGAAGGGAGAGCAUAAACACAACUUUCUGCUAAAUCCAAAAGUUUUAAAUAACCAUCACCGACUAAAAACCAGUAGUUAAAACAAGGGAUAAACCCAGUUCCCUUCUGUGUUUUUCCCCCAUCUAUCUAAUAUUAAGCAGCAGAAUAUCAUAAUGGAAGCUCUAAAAAUACCAGGUUCCACAAAAUAUAAACUUGGAAAAAGUCCCAGAAAAAUAGUCAAUAAAUACUUCAUUAUUGGUUCAUGAAUCAUUAAGCUCCAAUGAUAUCAACCAUGCCACUAUUCUCAUGCUUCUCUACACAAAUUGAAAUUCACAAGCUCAUUCUUAGUUAGCCAAAUUUGUGAAAAUCCUUUUGGAAAGCAUGGAUUUCCAAAAACGACAUGAGCUGCAGGAAUGGUAACUCACAUUCUUAAGAAAGAAGCCAAUAGGGAGUGUAUAAACACAGCUUUCUGCUAAAUCCCAAAGUCCACCAUCACGACAAGAAAACAGUAAUUAAAACAGGGUUUAAACCCAGUUCCCUUCUGUGUUUUUCCCCAUCUCUCUCAUGUAUCAAGCAGCUGAAUUUCAGUUUAGCUGCUCUAAACAUACUAGGUUCCACUACAAAUUUAGGAUAAGUUCCAAAAUAUAGUCAAUAAAUACUUCUACUGGUCUGUGGAUCAUUAAGCUCAAAUGAUAUCAAUAAUGCCAUUAUUCUCAUGCUACUCUACCCAAAUUGAACGUCAUUUCUACAUUUCAAAGGCAUUUAAAAUAUAUGCUAAGCAAAUUCUUCAAAAGAGAAGAACGCAAGAUACUCACUCUUUCAAGACGUUGAAGCAGAGCAGUUUUAAAUUGGCGAACACCACGUCCACUGGAAGUGGGAUCCAGCCUGUGAGCUUUCUCAAAUGCAUAGAAUCGACCUACAAAGAAAACCGCGAUGAAAAGAUUCAACUUGAGAAUGCAGAUAAUUUAUAGAAUCACACUACAAGUAACCAAGAAGCAAGAAGCAAAUUCAUAGCAACAACGAACUGAAACAAGUGAUACCAAGAUGUUUGAGGUUGACUAAAGACAGAUAAAUAUAAAUGCCCAUAUUUAAAUAUUUGACAGAACAAAACAGGUGAAAUUUGAAAUAACACUCUCCCAAGGAAAACCAAAUAAGCAGGGAUGUCAAACAUCAACCAAAUCACAGCACCGGAAGAAGUAUGAUUUUAAGAUCUAGAUGACUGUAGACAAAAGUAGACAACACUAAUUCUAGAAAAUCCAGGAAAAAAAACUUCAACGCUAGAAAAUGUUACAAAGAGUUAUCGGCAUACUUCUGCUUCAUUAUUAUUGCAUCUUGCUUCUAGGGGAAAAUCAUUUAAUGGUUCAAAGUUGCAAUAGUUGCUGCUGAUCUUAUAAAAGAUUUACAGGGUAGAAAACAAAUUUUCUUAUUGAGAUGCAUCCGAAUAAUGCAACAUUAGGAAACCCCAUAAUGUACCAUUUUUAAGGCAAUAUAUAGUUGGAAAAAUCCAAGUAAUAGGUUCUCAAAUAUUUGAAAUUUUCAGUAGUUAUCUUAACAAAAAAGUGAGAUGCAAGUAAAAAUAGUACUAAAUAAUAAUUAACUCAGUGAAGUAGACAACAGUGUAAGCCAACUUGUCAAGGAGCUGCAAGCGUAAGUAUAUUUUCACUUUCACCUACAUGUGCGUACAACAGAAAAUAUAUCCAAUAGUACACAAUGUACAUAUGGAAUCAGAAAAGCAGGUUAGAUAUAUUGGGAUUUGAAACUGCUAUACUUUACACACUUAACACACAAGUAUAAGGCUAACUCGUAGUAAUAGUAAUAGCGAGAAACAUGUAUGAAAAUAGUACUGCAAAUAAUGGCGUUAAAACAUAAAGAAAAUCCAUAUUGUGAAAAGCAAACUAAGGCAGAAACUUACAGAGAUAAGCCACCCUUGGGUUGCUUGAUUCGACCUCAUUAGCAACACGGAGAAUGGGUGCAAUCUCGCUAAGAGAAGAUGGCACCACCUCACUGUCAAAAGCUGUCUCUCCUAGAUUACCAGCAGUCUGCGUGCGUGUGAUCCGCCUCAGCGGUUGCGAUUGAUCUGACACCCUGCUCGAGGACAUCUUUGCCCUCGCCUUCCACCCAAAAUCUCAACGGGGAAAAAAACACUAACUUCCCUGCAAGAAAAAAAAGCUGUUUCUUUUCAUCUUGCAUUAGGUUUUAAGAGAAAUACAAAAUCAAAAACCAAAAUUUAACCCUAUCUCAACUUAACAACACAUCAUAAACAUCCAGAAACCAAAAAUGGAAAAGGAAAAAGUCAAGGUUUCAGAAACCAACAAAGUAAAAGCUAGUGAAUCUAAAAUGCGAAGGAGAAGAAAAAGACUCUGGUAAGCAAAGAAACUACAGUGAAACGCCAAAAGAAACUGGAAAUUUUAACUGAAAAUAAAGAUUUCCAAGCACUGUACUUAAACAUAAAAGAAAAACACUCCUAGAGAGAACAAAAAAUAAAGAGUUAAGCAAAGAAGAUGAAGUACCAAGCAAUUAAAGAGAAUACUUUGAGCUACUAAGUCAUCUACCAAAAACAGCAACAGAUUAAACACCGAAAUGGUGAAGGCAAUGUGAAGAGGAAAGAGAGCUCACAGAGAAAAACCCUAAGAGAGAGAAAAACAACUAUAGAGUGAGAAACAGAGACCGAAGAGAGUGAGUGAGUGAGACAGAAGGGCAGCUACUUUAAGCUACUUAGCCUCAAAGGAAGCAAAACGGAGAAGAAUGAAGCUUAGAAAAAGGAGAAUGGACUUGUUUUUUUUCUUUCUUUCUUCGUAACUGCUAUUGGUGGAGCGGGUUGGGCAGAGAAUGAGGCUUCAUGUUUAUUUAAUUUGCAAAAUUGCCACUGUUUGCUAAACCGCUUCUUUUAUUAAAUAAAGUUCAUGCUCUAAAUUUUUCUCUAUGCUUCUUUCUAAUUAUUCGAUGGUUAAGAAAUAAAUUAAUCUUUGGAGAUAAAUAUUUUACAUCUCAAGCAAUUUGAGUUCAAUUAACAAAAUUGAAACACUAAAAAUCUGUUUAAAUCAAUCAAAUUUUUUUUAAACUUGAAUCUCACUCCAAAAGUAAUUAAAAAAAUUCAAAGUAAUUAUUAUCAAUUUGAGUAAAGAGGUUAUAUUUAAAAUUAUUUCAUAUAAGUUUAAAACUCAAUUUAAGAUUAAAUUUUUAGUGCGAAAUUAGAACAAACAAUCUUAAUAUUUAUUUUAAUUAUACGAGUAGGAUAAAAGUGUAAAUAUGUAAUUAAAUAUAUUUCUAUUAGUAAUAUAUUUUUAAAUAAAAGGAUCUAUACAAAUAUAUAGGUUGUUACAUGUCAAAAUAUUUAAACUCAAAAGUAAAAUUUAUUUUGGUUUAACUAUAACCUCAAACAAUCAUUAGAAUUUACUUGACUAAGCCAAAGCUUUGUCAUCUUGGCAUCUAUGAUCAUGUGGCUAUCAGUAUCAAGACAGGUGGUGCUAACUACAUAUCUAGUAGGACUAGUGUUGUAGGGUAUUUUCGACAGGUGAUAUCAAAUUUCAAAAAAAGAUAAGAUUCUUAAUGAACCAAAGCAAGGUUAUUCAGGAAAAAGAAAAAGUAACCGUUCCCAAUUCUUGAAAAUAUCAACUUACCUUCGAUAGAAUCAUCAAAUUCAUCAGUACCUAACUACAAGCUUGGUAUCACAAAUUCCAAAAUGGCCAUGGUCUGUAAGGUCAAUUCAGCAAUCAUUGUAAUCCUUUUUGUUUGGUAUUGAAAGACCUUGGGUGGGGUAAAUUAGAGAAUUUGAUGAAAAGAUAGAGGUAAGAACGGUGUUUCAAGAGCUGAUCCUACGAUUGGUGACAAUUGUCAAUUUGUUUUGUCUUAACUUGAAAAUUCCCAUGUCUCUUUUUUGAUUUUUCCAGUAAGAGCCCAUAAUCGCACACGAGUGUGCUCUCCAAGAAGACCCUUCACACUGACAUGGCAUGUUUCAAUUGAACACCAAGACACUAAUAACCCAAUUGUCUUUAUGAGAUUACUUAUUUAACUAUUAUUAUUUUAUAUAAAUAAACACUAGUGUUUUUUUUAUUCAUGAAACUACUUAAACUCUAUUAAAUUAAAUGAUUAUAUGUUACUUAUACUAUAAGAGAUCUCACAUUCUUCCUCGUGUAGGGUUUAUUCUAAAUUAAUGUGCUCCAUCAAUAAUAAAGGUAGUAGUUUAUAAAAAGAAGAUCCUUCCACAAGUGUUAUGUCUUGUGAUGAUCCAAAAGUGUUAUGUCUUGUGAUGAUCCAAAUGAAAAUAUUGUUUUUAUAUGAUUUAAUUUGAUGAAUGCUAGUAAUUACUUUCAACAGCCAAAUUUCAUACAUCCUAUGUUUGUAAUAAAAAGAAAACAUUAGUUGGUUUUUUUUUAUAAGAGAUUAGAACGCCAAUAGUAUUUUUAAGCAAAUAGUCAUCUAAUAUGAAAUCGAAAUUUGUGAAAACUCAUGAAGAUUCUAAAAAAACAUUAAUCUAUAUAGUUAGCUGAUUAAUCUACACAAAAAUGAACCCUAUAAUGAAUGUGAUGAACAUAGAAUAAACAAUCUUACCUAAUGAGUUUCCUUUUCAAUUUGUGAUCUAUAUACAAUGGAAAUAAAACUUAAUAAUAAACUAGCAUUAUUCGAUCUGAAAUAAGAAAAACGUUAGUCAUUUUUUAUUUUUUUUGUUCGGUUAAAGUCAUUUUUAAUUACGUUGAAAUUAAAAGCUUGUUAUCAAGUUUUGUGUAUAAGUUUAUUUGCAUGUUUGAUUUUAGAUGGAAACAUUUUAUAUAGUAUUUGUAAUAUUUUAAUAAUUACAAGAAUAGAUGAGAAAAAUCACUACAGAAAAAGAGAUUUAAUCAAUCCAAAACCGUUUUUUAUGAUAAAAGUAAUCUCCAUACGAUUUUAUAAAGAAAUGAAAAGAUUAGCAUCGGACAACUUACAUAGAAAGAGAAAAGGAAAUGGAUGAAUUUGCUAAGACAAAAGCAUGUAACUACUUGUGAAUACACGAGUUAGAGUCGCCCAUUGGUUUCAAGGAAAACAUUUUAAACUAUAUAUAAUAACAAGGAUUUGUUAUGGAUAAAUUCACCUCAUUUGCUAUUGUCUAAGGUUGUAUUUGCUAUGGGUAAUUUAUUUAUCAUGAUUAGAUCAUCAAAAUGAAAUAUCACUAUUUUAAAAAAUUAUUUAAAUCUCAUUUAAAAAGAUGUGGAAAUUUUAUCACCAAGAGGGAGUGAUCUCUAAAAUUAUUUUGUAACAUAUUUUCAGCACAACCUUCGUGACAUUGGAUUUUAUGAAAAUACCUUAAUUACUUUGAUAGGUUAUUUUAGGGAAUUAUACUCAUAGAAAUUGAUUCAUGGAUUGUAAUUUCCUAUGCAAAAAAAAUUAUUAGCUUAUAAAUUGUUUAUUCAAUAAUAACUGAAAUUGCUAUUUUCUUCUUAAUCCUAAUUAUUAAUCAUUUUUGGAUAUUUUGGACUUGAUGCUAUUACUUUUUCAAUGUAAUAUCAAACAUAACAAUUUAAAAUCACAUAUGAUUCAUAGCAUUACACCGAGCAAAGAUUACUAGAUGUUUAGAUAAUCUUGGUGGACUUAUCAACAUGAUGAUUAAAACAACACAAUACUCUUGAAAGUGUUAUCAAAUAAUGUGAAAAAGGCUUUGAAUGAUUACUACUAGGUAGAUUAGAAAGUAGCUCGGGCUACGCAGCAAGGUUUGUAAAAUUUUUAAGUUAUUGGUGAAAAAAAUUUAUUAGAGAAAAAUGAUAUUUUUGUAUAAAGGGUUUGUAUUAAAUUUUCUCAAAUGAUAUACAAAAAUGAUUAAAUGAUAUAGAAAAAUUGUUUAUAAGGGUAAACAAUUGAAAUAAUAAUUCAUACAAUUAAUAACAGACAAAGGUUGUGUCAUGAUAUUGACUGAGUUAUACAUCAGAAAGUCAAAAAUGAAUAUUACAGUAGUCUUUUUAGACCUAUAUGAUUAAAAAGUGCAAUGUUAUGGCAAAACAAAAAAACAAAGAGAGAUUUUUGCUAUGUUUACAGAUAAUAUUAUGAGAAAGAAAAUGUUACAUAGUAUAUAACAAAAAAUUAUUUGUUAACAAGAAGUUGAUAUCUUCAACAAAGGUUCCUGAGUGCAAAAUUACAGUGCAAAGUAAUAAAUGAUAUUAUAAUCAUUUUAUAUAUACUUUGGUAAAGUAAGCAGUUUUAAACAACAGGAAAAGAGAAAAAUAGUUUCAAAGGUAGAGAAAAUGAAUCCAAAUUCACUGAAAAUGGAAAAAAAAAACCUUUUGGAUGAUUUCAUCUAAGGAAGAGAAAACUUGGCAAUUAUCCAAAUUGAUCAAAAGUAAUAAAGGUUUCUUGCUUUAACUAAGGUCAAUGAUGAUCUCCCAUUAUGGUUAAUCAAAUAUAGGUUUUGGAAUAGUGUAGCUUUCAUUAGCAUUAAAAGAAGUAGAGAGAAACAUUACUUAGUAUUUAAUAGUUGCAAGUAAAAAACACAUGAGGACAGCUUAAGCAUAGGAUUUGAAAGAUAUAAAAUUUAGAAAAUGAGAAUAAAAACAACUCUUAAUAGAAAUUUCAUAAUCUUAGAAUGCAAUAGUUGGUUGUGUAAAUUUUUUUUUUAUAUAAUUGGGGGAAUGAGGAUUCGAACCUUACUUUUAGGUAAGGGGAUCAUGUACCAAACAAUGAGCCAAAUGCUCGGGUGUAGUUGGCUGUGUGAGGUUGAUCAAAUUAUUGACCGUACUCUUAAAUGAUAAAAAAAUAUAUGUAGUAAAUAUAUAUUUUAAUUAGAAAAUGACAAAUUAAGAUGCAACAAUGAUUAAACAUUCUCAUGUCAAUAAUCAAUUUUUCUGAUCUACAUGACUAAUAAGAUACGUAGGCCUAAAAAUAUGCUCAAUGUGAGUAACAGUUGUUCAAAGAAGAAAAUACAAAAAGCAUUGAAAAGAAUCAACAAAAACAUGGAAUAUAAAUCGAUGCAAAGAAUCUAAGAGAAUAACAACAAAAAAAUAGCAAACUCUAACAACAAUAACCCAAAUGUAGUCAAUUUAAGUUGUAAUUGGGAAAAAAAGAUUAAUAGACGAAAAUUUAUCAAUGAUAAAACCAAAACAUUGGAAAAAAAGAGAUAGGUUUACCAACGUAAGAUAUCAUGAAUUUCUUAAUUGCUUUAAAGGACAACUAUCGAUAAUAUGCAUUGAAGAAAUUUUGGAACAACUUUUAUAACGGUAAAUUUCUUAUAUUUGAAAAAGACAUCAAACUAAAUCAAGGAAGCAAAAAUCUAGUAAAAGAAUAAAAGAGAUAGUUGACUCAAUCUAAGAGCAAUAGAUAAGCAACAACCACUUUUAUGAAUCGAGAAAAUGUUGAUAUCAACUUUCAUAUCAAUCCAUUCAUUUAAUAUAAUAAAUCUGAACAGAAGUUAAAAGGUCUAUGUUUUAAGGUUCACACUUAUUUUAAUGGUAAAAAUAAUCCUUAAUCUUUCUUAAGGCUUAAGUUAUUUACUAACUUUUAUCAGCAUUUUUUUUCCAAAAUACAAUACUCAAAAAUAUAAAAGCAACUUAGUAACAAAAACAUUAUUUGACCUCAAGUACUUUGACAUCGGGAGCAAUGUCUUUGUUAAGUAUCGUUUUGAUUUGCUAAACAAUUACUUUCAAUAAGAUUUGAGAAUUUAUUAUGCAUGCAACAAAUUUUAUACCAAUAAUGGUGAUAAUCAGUACAUUAACAAUUAUAAAAUUGAUUUUUUUUAAUAGUGCAUUUUCUUCCAAUUGUAUCAUUUUAACAAUGGUUGUGUUAUCCAGGAACGGUCUAAAUUUGAAGGGAAGAAAUCGUUUUUGUUGCUAAAGGAGGAAGAGGUUGACCUGCGAUUUGCGACAGAUAAUGAAUCCAGAUGAACUAUGGUUGGUUGUAGAUCUUUUGAUUUUAAAAUAAAGAAUCUUCUCGCAAGCAUAAGAUUGAUUUUUCAUGCGCCUUUGUUUGUCAACUAAUUCUUCCUUUAACAACAAAAACGAUUUUUUCUACUAGAAAAAAGACCAUAAUUAACAGCAAAAAUCGUUAGUGAACUUAACAAAUUGUAAAAAAUAUAGGUUGACAGUAAGAAUUAUUGGUAUAUUUAUAUAAAAUGUUAAUGACAAUAUAACAUUAAAACAAUUAUUUAUUUUUUAAAUGAUUUACCUUUGAUAGGUUAAGUUUGUCAAAUCUAUUAGAAUGAGUAAUAAUUACUUUUUUUGUUAUGUUGUUAAAUUUUUUAGCUUUAAAUAAUUUUUUUUGUUGUAUGUAUUUUGUUUGUAACAAACUUAUUGCUACUAAAGAAGAAAACAUCAUGAAAAUAAUAACAAAUUGCACAAAAAAAUAAUUAAAGAGGGUAAUAAAACAAAAUGCCAAAGUAAAUAAAAGAAAGAAAGGCAAAAAAUGAAAAUAGACGAAUAAAAAAGGUGAAAAAUCUCAUGGCACUUUAUAGAUAUACUAAUUACUUGCCUUAACACCAAGCCAUAAAUAACUGCAGAUACUGUAGAAGAGAACAAUAGCUCAAUCUCAUGUUCAUAUGACCUUAGAGUAAGUACAUAAAUUAAGUACCAGUUUGGAAAUAUAGUCAAUGAUCAUGGAAUGAACAAAUAAAUAAAAAAAUGUCUCAUUUAGUUGUUCAACAAAAUAUUAAGGAGUUUAGAAUUUUUAGCAACAAAAUUGAAUUAUAUGGUAUAGAAUCUCAUCUUAAAGACAAUAAGUGGAAAGAAUCUAGGAGUAUUCUCAUAGAGGAUAGAUGUCGUUGAGAAGAAAUAGCUAAAACAAUAGUUGAUAUUUACAUGAUAAUUAUCCAAGUAAUCACGUGGACUGUACAAAGAAAACAUCUCAAUUAGAAAUUAAACUUCUUAAUAGCAACAUGAUUGAAAACUUUGAUAAGCUAAACAAUCAAGGUCAAAUUACAAAUCCAUUUGAAUUUAUAUCCAAUAUACAUUUCCAUAUUUUGUAUUUUAAGUACAAACAUUUCUCUUUUGAAGAUGUUAAAAUUUAAAAAAUUCUGUUUAUAUACUUUUCCAUUAUCAAACCAGGCUUAUGAAGCAUAGAAGUAUGUUAGUUUUAUUUUAUAAUUAAUGAGUUUGAUUUCAAUUUUUACAUAUAUUUAGGCUAGUUUUAGACUAUAUUAAUUAAUAUUGUAUUUAAUUUUUAAAAAUUUGGGUGUUUAGGUUUAGGUUAUAUUCUAUAUUUUACAUUUUAUUAAGGUUUUGGUUUAAUUAUAAAUACUUAUGUAAUCUUAGUUUCAAUGAGCUUUUGGGUGAUAAAUAUUUGAAAUUUUGAGUUAAAAGAUGAUUAUAAAGCAAAUAUAAAUCAAAAGCAAAGGCAUAUUCAAUCACAUAUAUAUUUAGAGAAAAGAUUAGCAAUAGAACUGAUUUGACACAAUAAAUGCAUACUAAUAUUUCAAAUAAAUAGAAUAGAACUUGGCAAACCAAAAAUCAUUAAACCCAAUUAUCUAAAGCUAGCAAGAUUUUAAAUUUAAAAUAUUGUGUAAAACAUAACUUGAGCUUAGUACUCAAUAAUAAAUACAACGCCGCUGCAAUGUCACGACCCAAUACUCCCUUCGAGCCCGUAACAACUGCCAUGAUGUCUAAACAGACAUUCAUUACUCGGAAUGUCAACCGAAACCUCGCAAGGCUAUUGCAUCAAUUUUACGUCUCCCCUGUGAGCAAUAGUUACUAAAUAUCAUGUUUUAAGAGAAUAUAAACUAUUUUUAAAUCAAAAACAAAAAAAAGUAAUUUCUGCCACACAAGGGUAUUUUGGUCAUUUUUACCCAAAAAUUUUGAAACCUGGUGAAUAUACAACAUACGAUCGAAAAAUAUACAUUUCUUAUCUAAAAAUAAUUUUAGUAAUCUAAAUCAUCCAUUUAAAAUAAAAUUUUGGCUAAUCAAACUAAAUAAAAAUAUUAAAUAAAAUAUUUUAUUUUCUUAUAAAACAAUAUUUAUAGAACUCUGCGUAAAUAAUUUUUAUAGCGUAAAAGCAAAAUAAAUUCAUACAUACAGUGGCACGUGCAGCCAAGUAUACAAAAUAUUCUACAAUGACAUGUGGGCCCCAAAAUAACCGCAAAUAUACAAGAUUGUAGACCUUCAAUUUUUAAGGAUGCAAAUCCAAAAGCAACCCUCGACAAAAUCGGCUGUCUAUAGACUGUCUUGAGCCAGAAAUGGGUAAAACGAAGGGGUUGAGUUUUUAUAAACCUAGUGAGUAAGCAAAAUUCAUCUGUAACAUCUAAAGCGGAGUAAAUGGAGACAAUUAAAUCAUCCCAUCAUAAUAUAGUUCAUAACAUUCAAAACUCAUUUCAAUUCCUAUAAAACAAUUACACUUCAUCAAAAUAAUCAACAAGGCUUAUGAUUCUCUUAAAAACUUGGCUUGUGCCAAAACUCAUAGUCGGUGACACCUUGGCCCGAGCAUCCAAUCGAGUUCGCCAAGGAUGUUAAAACGACAAAUACCCAUAAAACAUGUUUUUACUUUUAAAAUAUAGCUAUUCCAUAGCGUUGGCUGCGUUUCAUCCUCACAUGGUGGUUCAGCGUGAAGUGAACUCUAAACUUUACCUUAGGAGAUACCCUUCGCACCUCUCAUACUAAGAUAAAUAUUACGGGGUUUACAGUGCCCCUCUAAUAGGCUGGUCCACGGAAACCCGCACACUUCAAUAAGCUAAAUACAUAACCCACCAAAUCAAUAAAAUUUCGACAGCAUAACAUGGCUAAUAUAGUAUUAUCUAACCUGUCAAUGUAAGACAAAANCAUCACAUUGUCAUAAGCCAUCAAUUCAAACCAUAUGUCAAUUAUAAAUCCCGUUAUGCCGAUACAUUUAUUACAAAGCAGGGUCGGCAUAACUAACAAUAGUCAAAACAUAUAUAUAACACAAGUAUAUAGUCUCCACUUACUCAAUUUCCAAAACCAGGAUUCAAUUUCAAACCAAAUUAUGAAUCUCAUUUCAUUUAACCAACACUUUAGUUAUAAAACAUAAUAGUUUACAAUUUAAGUUCAUUAUUCUUUAAAAUCAUAAAAAACGAGUAUAAACUACUUUAGAUAGUUAAGAUGAUCGUCUGAUUACUCACUAUAACAGGAGUCCUCCUACUCAUGGUCCUCGGGUACGAUAUCCUUACCCUUACUAGAGGGCUCACCACCUAUACAUAAUACAUAACAAGUAAUUCAAUAUAUUUGUGCCAAACUGUUAUAAAAGUAUUUUAAGCUCUUUAUGAAUGUAUGAAAUUGAAUGAGAAGUGUUCGAAUAAUCACUUAAAGAUGGUGUUCUAUGUAGGUUCAAUUGUUGUUGGACUGAAAUGGUAUUUGACCUAACUCACACUAUACACUGUUUAAUUAGCCAAAACAUUCAAUUCAACUCCAAAUAGAUUCAUUGCACUUUCGGUACUCCAAUAAGUCGGUAUACCUCAUUAGAAAUCAAUUCUAAGUCCAUUUACUAUAAUUUUCUCAUUAUCAUUCAAUUCGUUUACUAAAGGAACUAUAUUUUUCGAUAACCGUUUUCGAUGUCCAACAUCACGAAUCAUCAAAUACGAGCUAGAUAACAUGAAAUAUGACAAAAUUCAUCUUCAAAAUAUUCCAUAUAGAAUUUGGCAAAUUAGGGUUUGAUGAAAAACAUGUUAUUUUCUUGCUUGUUUUUCAUACCGAAUAUCACAAAACACUAAAAACGCCUAGAUAACAUGAGAUCUAGCAAAACCCAUCCUCAAAACCUUCCCCCCUUGAUUCGGCCAGCAUGCUUCCAUCAUGAAAACUUGAGUUUCAACCAUAGAAAAUGAAAAAGAAAGCAUGGGUAAAAUAGAUCUUAAGCUAAAUCGUGAAAUCUUACCUUCGAUCACUUCGUUUUUCGAAAAUCUAAUGAAUUUCUCUUGAAUUUUUCCUCCUUAGGGUUUUUCUAUUAUUUCCCCCUUUGUUCUUUGGCUUUCACGGCAAUGAAGACUGAAUUAGGAAAGGUUUAUGCUUGGUUUAUAAAGGAAAUUAUAAAAAAAUUAAAACUUGACACGUGUCGCCACUUGAUUGGUCCAUGGUUAAAACUUAACAAUUAAGCAUUCUCUUACCACCACAUAUAAUCCCAUAAUUAUCCAAAGUAUAAAAUGAUAAUAGGUGAAAUUCAUAGGCUUGACAAGUAUCAUGGUGGUGUAAAAUUUAAAAAAUUUCAAUUACGUCCUCAUGGGCAUGUGGAAUGAUCGGUUUGCCCAUAUGCUCGGAAAAAUGUCAAAAUUGAAAUUUUUCACUUCUCAAAUUCAAAUUAUGCUCCAAUUAGUCAAACUUUGUCAAAAAUCUUGUCCAACAUUCCAAUUUUGCCCUCGGAUGGCAAAAUGACCAAUUUGCCCCUACAUUAUGAAAAUUCCCGAAUUAACUCCAAAUAAAUCCUCAAAUUCCGAAUCAUCAUAUUAAGACAUUAUAAGAUUCAAUAACUCUCAAAUAAAUCCUAAAAUCUUUAUUCAAACUAGUUCGAGAUUUUAAUCAACUUAAUUGUACCACUAGGUACAAUACCAACUUUUAACGAUUCAACGAGGCAUCCAAGUAUGCAGACAUUCUAUCAAGCAUGAAUGACUUGACAAGUAUAUAAUAGAGUAGGUCUUGAAAUGCAAAGCAAAAAGAAAAUGACAAAAGAAAUUAAUAAGAGAAACCAUGUUUGUAUAGUUUUAAAACUCAUAAGUAAAUGUAUAAAAUAUAGAUCAAAAACCAAAUUACUAAUAAAAUCGAUAUAAAAUAACAUCAUUCGUUCUUAUUAUUGAAAAGAAGCCUCUAAAUAUGACUAAACAUAUAACUUCAGUCUAUUCGAGCAUUAAUAUGAACUGUAACAUCAUAAGAAACUCCAAAGAAAUAAAUAUAAAAAGUAUAAAGAAAAACAGUUAUUGUUGUUAUAAGUACUAACAGACAAAGUAAAGCAGAGUUUCCUACACAAAAUAAAAAAGAGAAAAAAUUUAUUAUAGAAAGCAAUGAAAGCAUACAAACUAAUAUAUCAUUUAUAAUAAGUGUAAAACAAAAAAAAACAUGCAUAAUAUAAUAUUAUGUAAAACAUAACCUAAGCUUAGUACUCAAUACUAAAUACAACACCCUUGUAAAACAAAAAGAAAAUGACAAAAGAAAUCAAUAAGAGAAACCAUGUUAGUAUAGUUCUAAAACUCAUGAGUUAAUGUAUAAAAUACAGAUCAAAGAUCAAGUUACUAAUAAAAUCGAUUUAAAAAAACAUCAUUCGAUCUUAUUAUUAAAAAGAAGCCUAUAAAUAUAACUAAACAUAUAGCUUCAGUCUACUUAAGCAUUGAUAUGAACUCUAACAUCAUAAUCAACAAACUAAAGCAAAGUUUCCUACACAAAAUAAAAAAGAGAAAGAAACUAAUAUACAAAGGCAUGAAAGCUAGAAAUUAAUAUAUCAUAACUGUAAAAUAAAAAAAAAACAUGCAUUAACAGAUUAGUCCAUCUGCAAGAAACUUUUAUAGACAAUCACACAUUAUAUUUUAAUAGAAAGAUUACAUUUCCAAAUGAGAAAACAGAGGGAGCAAUUUGAAGCCAUUUUUGGUACUCAAUCAAGUAGCAAAUUGAAGUCCAAAUCAUCCAUGAAACAACUAAAAAAGAAAUAGGUGGACACGAAGAUCUACCAAACCGCGAAUACCCAAACCCAUUAGAAAUUAAAAUCUUAAACCUUAACAAAGAAAAUAAUUUUUAAAAAAAAUCUGAAGGACAUUAGAGCAGGGAAAACAUGUAAAGCAUGUAAAUUAUCAAUCAAAUGAUCGAGGAAAAAUAAAUCAAAUGUCUAAAUCCCUAUAAACCUAAAACUCUAAUGUGGCUGUGGAAAGACAAAAGGAACAAUGGACAAGAAGGAAAGAAUGAGGCGGAUAGCAGAAAACCCUAAGGCCAAAAGAUAAAAGGAAUCGAGGGCAGGAAGGAAAGAAUGAGGCGAAUAGGAAAAAACCCUAAGGUAGGUGAAAAAUGAUGUAGGCAUGCGGGCCGUUGAAGUUGAUCCCAUGCCAAAAGUAGACCAAACCCUAAUCCCACACAAUAAACCCCUUGCCUUCCAAAAUAACCCUUGAGAAAGCCAUGUGACAAAAAGCAAAGCCACAUGUCAGCAUCUUAGCCAUUAGGAGACGUGGCCAAUUUUGGAAGGCCCUUUGGGGCUUCCUUUUAUAUAAGGUUAUUGAUAUGUCCAUCGUUUAGCUCGAGUCUAGUUAACACCUUAAGUACCCCAUGUUCAAGAUUGAGCUCAAUUCAGUCUCCUCAUUCAAGUUAGGUAUUUGGUUUUAAUAUAAAAAUAUUUAAAAUAUUUUAAAAUGUAUUCAAAAUUAAAAUUUUGAUUAUAAUAUAUUAUCUAUUAAUACAAUAAGAUUUUCAUGCCAAGCCUAAAAAUUAUGUCCAAGGCUGGGUUGUGAACCUAUUGCAAGGUGAUCUUUAAAUUUUUGCUUCAAAAUUACAAAAGAGAUCUAUCAAAAAUAACAUCAAAGGUAGUUUAACAAAAAAAAGAGACAAAUUUUUUUUAGCCUUCAAAUAUAAGGUGUUGUUGGAAAUAACCCUCCCCAUAAUUUUGACUAUUUUUAGCCAAGAGAUAAGAUUUUUGGACAAAAAUGCCUUUAAUUGAAACCUUCUCAUCCACGUGCAAUCAUACACUUGUAGAUAGGUGAAAAAAAUAUUCCCAGAAUUUGGUAAACAACAAUUUGUUAAAACCAUCCUCUUGUUGCAAGAAAUGAUUUUCUCUUAUUUAUUAGACAUUGGAGUAAGUAAAAACACUAGGUAUAUAAAAUGGCGAGAUUAUUAAAUGAUCAUUUCAUUCAUUUUGAAAGAUAGGAAAGUGUUUGAACAAGUUCAGAGCAAAGUAAUCAGUGACAAUAAAGAAGCUGGCAACACAUGGUAAGUUAGGGAAUGUCGAAUUUUUUGUUGUGUUUUAAGUGGGGUUAGUGAUUUGAAUACCAUAUUGGUUGAGAAUGUGGUUUAGGAUUUUGUUGUUAAACAGUAUUUGAAGUUGUGGAAAUCGUCAUAGAUAUUAAAUGAUAGGGCCAUUUGGGUUGAAUGUUGUAGCAUAUGGAGAGAAAAUGGGCAUGGCAUGUAACAAUCUGAUGAUUUCCUUAAUUGCAUAAAUAUGGUGUGUAGAAACCAACGAAUUUGAGGCAUAGCGUGUGUCAUCGUAUUUUUAAAUGUACGGCGUGUAGAAUGUUAUGAAAUUUAGGCAUAGCAUAUAACAACAAUGGUAUUGUAUGUAUGGCAUGUAACAAAAUAGUUAUUAUACAAGGCGUGUAACAAAAGAAAUAUUUUUGUAAAUGUCAUGGAGCUUCUUUAAUUAACUGUUUAGUGCAUUUAGCUUACAUGUGCAUUAUUGUAUUCUGUUGUAGAUGUAUUUUAGAAAGUACAAAAACGUUGAGAUGAAAUAAAAUGAGGAAUCGGUCAUGGUGAGUCUAAAGAAGGAAGAGGUGAAACCAUAAAUUUUUGCUAUUACGUCGACUCCAAUUAAGGAAGAAGAGGAACAGGAAAUCCGCAAGGGUUAGUUCUAAGUCGGUUUCUUGAACAACAUCACGCUUCUCAUAAUCAAUGAACCAGCGCAGUGGAUCAUCAUUAUAGAGUAACUAGGAGAAACAAGCCAAAAUGGACAUAAUGUCCAAGGAUUAAUCUUCAUGGCUCUUAUUGCCAGUUGAAAAUUAACAAAAUUGGCGAGAUGGGAAUACGAGAGAAGAAGAUGAAUCAAUUGGACAUGUGGCCAUUUUUGCAUCAUUGUAGUGGUUCAGGGUUGACUGUUGACUAUUUAUGGUUUAAGGUUUAGGUGAGAAAUGAUAUGAGAGAACUAAAAUUCAGUAAAAUAUGAUUGACGCUAAAUUAACUAAUGGAAUUAUGGUGUCAUUGGGGAACGACUUACAUAAAUGACUUCACGUACAUGUUGAAUUAUGUAGGUAUUUAUUGUAGUUAAAAGGGUUUGGGUAGACAGAAAACAUAUAAAGAAAUUAAUAUUGAAAAUGGAGCAACUUAAGAACGUAACAGUUUUCAAGGCAGGCAAGUGAAGAGACAUUUAGUCUGUAUACAUUUAAUCAGAGUAAUGAGAAUCAAGACUGCUAAUUUAACUUAUCAAAACUCUACAUUUGAAUUUAAAGUUGUUGGAUGAAUGCAAAUGCUUCUUGGUAUGAUACUUUAUAUCAAACACAUGAACAGGCAAGCCAUCUGUUAGUUGUUACGCAUGGCUUGUAACAAUUGUAUUUGUUGGCAUGGCAUGUAGUAACAUGGAUAAUUUAGGCUUAGUGUGCAAGACUUGGUGAAAAAAUGUUGUUGUUAGACACUGUGGAUAAAAAUUUGAUUUUAAGGCAUGUAUUGUAAGAGUAAUUUCGCAAGGUGUGUAGCAACUUAGUGAUGACGCAUGGUGUGUUUUAACCAAAUAUCGUUAGGUUGACGUGUAACAAGUGAGCAUAUUUAGGCAUGGCUUGUAAUAAUUUAGUCUAGCAUGUAAGAAAAUUGAACUUGUUCUGCAUUGGGUUUAAGGUAUUAAGGAGUCAUUUUGAAGACAAAUCACUAAAUAAAGCUUCAAAUUCUCUCAUCUCUUUGCAUGCAAUUUUGUUUUUAUAGGAGUGAACACUGAUUAAAGUUUGGCUCAUGUGUUUUUAUAAUUGAAAACUCCAUUUUUCCCAAUCGAAAACACCUAUUUCAUUAAAAAAUAAAAAAAAUCCCAUAUGAAGCCCUAGGGUUUAGAAUUUUCAAAUUCUUGUCUAUACUCGGGCUCAAGGCUUGAACAAAUAUGAAGAAAAGCUAUUUGAAACCUUUGUGAUCAUUUCAAUUGUUUGAGUUUCACCAAAAACAACUAAAAAGCAAAAUCCCCAAAUUGCCAUUCCCCUUUAGUGCACAAGAACCAUUGGUCGACGACAUGAAGGUAACAUUAGCAUCAACAGCAGCAUCGAAAGCGUCAGUGCUUUUGUAAAGCCUGACCUUAUAAAAUACUUAUCAUGACAUACAUGUGAUGAUAGCAUGAUUGCAUGCUAGGAGAGUCUCGAAAAAUUUACAAAAGUCGGUAUUGUACCUAGAGGUACAACAAAGUUGAUUUAAGCCUCGAACUAGAUCAAAUAGAGAUUUUAGGGUGAAAUUCAAAAUUUUACAAUCAAGGAAUGACUUAAAAUGGUGAUUCGGAGUUCGAAGAUUAAUUUGGAGUCAAAUCGAAAUUUUGACUAUCUAGCGGUAAAAUGGUAAUUUUGCCACUUGAGGAUAAAAUUGGAAUAUUGGAAGAAGUUUUUGAUCAAGAUUGAUCACAUUUGACUCAUUGGAGUAUAAUUUGAGGUUGAUAAGUGAAAAAGUUAUAAUUUUGGUAUUUUUGGAGCAUAGGGGUAAAAUGGUAAUUUUGCCACCCUAGGGGCAAAACAAUAAUUUUCCACCAUCAGGACAUUUUUCCAGAACAUGGCCUUCCCUUAUCCUCAUUUUGACCUUUGACUAAUCAUGUGGUGGAGAUAAAAGGUUUAAAAUUUUUAAAGUUUAAAAAAUGGACCAAUAAGAAAAUGACAAGUGUCAAGCUUAAGAUAUUUUAUUAUUUAACUUAAAAUUCAGCAUAAAUCAGCCCAUUAUCUCUCCAAAUAUUCGGCCAAGCAAGGAAGAGAGGGAAAGAAAGGAAGAACAAACCCUAGGUGAAGAAUUUCAAGAGAAAAAGUGUGAAAAAUCAGGGAAAACAAGUGAAAAAGGUAAGAUUUUUCAACUUAAGCUUUAAAUCUAUUUUCCUAAAGCAUUUCUCCUUAUUUUCCAUGCUUAAAUUACAUGUUUUCAUGAUGAAUUCAUGGCUGGUCAAAAUGGGUAAGGAGAGAGAAAGAUGUUGGAUUGAUUUGAUUUUAAGAUAUGCUAGUGUUUUUAGUUAGUUUAGCAUAUUUAGAAACAAAACAACAAGAAAAGAAUUCAUUUUCUCCAACAACCAUCAAUGGCCGAAUUUACCAUGUGUUGAGUGAGGAUGAAUUUGAUUUUAUUCUAGGAGAAUUGGUUAGAAAAUGAUGAAUUAUGGUGUGGAAAAGUAGUAGGAAAAAUCAUGGUGUUAAUGCACUAUUAUUGGUCGAAAAUUUUAAGAAGAAAAGUGAAGAUAGUUUUGCCAAAUUUUAGGUUAUUUGAUUUGAGUUUGGUGAAUUAAGAUAUUGGAAAAGAAUUGGAACAAUUUGGAGUAAUUUGGGAUUAAAUUGGACGCGUUAGUAAUUUAAUCGGGUGAUAAGACGAAUUAGGCCAAUACCGGGUUUAGAUAGUUACCAAUGCAUUUUUGCAUUCCAUAUCAUGCAUUAGUAGUCUAAAUUAGUUUAAUUUCAAUUUAGUACCAAUGUGGUGAAUUUCUUGAUUUUGUACUAUGUCAAGGUGGUGAGUCCUCCGAUAAAGGUAAGGGAAUUACGCCCGAGGAUCAGUAGUCUGAGUAUUUCGAGAAUCUGCACUUUAGACAUUGUGAGUAAACUUACUGUCAUUUUAAUUAUCUAGGGUGAUUUUUAGAUGAUUUCAUGAAUUCUAUGGAAAAAGGGAUUUAAAAAGGUAAAUUUUCAUGUUUUAUGAAUAAAUGUGUUUCAAUUAAAUUAAUUUAUAAAUUGUUUUGAAAUUAAUAAUGAUGUUGAAAAAUAGAGUACACGAAGACUAUUAAUUGUUGCAAUUCGAUUGUUUAAAUUGAUUGGCUUAUGAAUAAUCUAGCAUGAUUGGCUAGUUGGCAAUUGUAUUGAAAUACGAAUUGUUUGGUUGCCUUGAAAGAUUGCGAAUUACAAAAAUUGCCUUAUCAUGUUAUUGAAUUUUAUUGUAUGGUGGAUUAUAUAUUAAUUAAUCACUGCAGUAGGGGGUUUCUGUGGAUUAGCCUUUUAGAGGGGCACGAUAUAUCCCAGUAUAUUUUUACCUCGAUCGGAGAGGAGCGUAGGGUAUCUCCUGGGGUAAAGUUUAAGGUCCACUUCACGCUAAACCACCACGUGAGGGUGAUUCAGCCAACACCAAGGAACGGCUGUGAUGUCCAAAAAAAAAUGUGUUUUAUGUGAAAUGUGAAUUUUUAACAGCCUUGGCAGUCUCGGUAGGAUGCCUCGGCCAAGGUGUCCCCGAGGAUAGAUUUAUGGUACAAGCCUAGUUUUUAUGAGAUUCAUAAGCCUUUUUACGUAUUUUGAAUGAAAUGUGUUCUAAUGUUGUGACCCAGUUUAUGAUAAUUUAUUUUAUUGUCUCCAUGUACUCAACUCUAGAUGUUUAUGAUGAUGUCUGUUUACUCACUGAGAUUUUAUAAUCUCACCAGCCUCCUUUCCAUCCAUUUCAGGCUCAGAUUAAACUGUAGAUAGCUGAUCUCAUCGAGGACUACUGUGGGAUUUGCAUUCUCUAAACCGUAGGUUCACAGUCCUCCUUACUUUUGGUUAUUCGGGGGUCCACUGGUUAUUGUAAAUUAAAUUUCGUACUCUAGAUAUCUAUACUACUGUAUGUAGGAAUUUAUUUUGCUUUGACGCUGUAAAAAUUAUUUACGCAGUGUUUUAAAAAUAUUAUUUGAUAAGAAAAUCGAAUAUUUUACUUAAUAUUUCUUUUAUUUUCUUAUUAUGUCCAAUUAAUUAUAAUUUCAUUUUAAAUGAAGAUUUUAGAUUUUUAAACUCAUUUUGAUUAUGAAUUAUGUGUUAUGUACUUGUAAAUUAGAUUUUAGCAGAUUUCAAAUUUUUGAAAAAAAUGACCAAAAUACCCCUGUGAGACGAAAAUUAUUAUUUUAUUUGUUUUAAGUUGGAAACAGUUUAAAAUCUUUUAGAACGUGGUAUUUGGCAACAGUUACUCAUAGGGGAAAUGAGAAGUUGAAAUUAAAGCCUUACGGGGUUUCGAUUAACAUUCGGGGUAAUGAGUGUCGAUUGGGACAUCGCAGCGGUUGUCAUGGGCUCAAGGGGAGUACCAGCUUUAUUGGAUUCAAUGUUGUAUAAGAUACUGUCUUUACUUCCCAUAAUAGAUGCAGUGUGCACCUCCUUUUAACAUGUAGUUGGAAUUUUUCUUAGUUCGUCAAUUUCUACUUUUGAUUGUUAAUCAGAUCUUGAUGGUUAUCAACUUUUUUAGGUGUAUUAUAUCUAUUGCAUUAUGUUGAAGUCUUGAAGAACUUUAGUUACAAAUGUCCAUGAGAGAGAAUUGUUGGGGUUUGCUACCUCGUAGUCUCUUUAGAAAUAAAACAGUCAUCAAAUUGGAACUGUAUUUUAUACUACUAUUGUUAUGAGCAUUCUUACUGACGUAUCGUUUCCACGUAUGAAGACUAUCCAUAAUGGCGGUGUAGACUUUGUUGAUGAUGAUUCAGUUCGAAGGCUUUGGUUUGGUUACCCUGCAAUUGAAAAGUUGUUGAUUCGACUUGCUCAUCAAUUUGAAAGUGUUACUAAGUUAAAUAUUUGUAAACCUAAUUGAAGAGAUUGAAUUUAUAUGAUCAUGGUGAAAUGUUUGAUAAACCUUUUCAUGUUGGCUUUGAUGGCCCAUGGAUUUCAAGAUGAGUUCAACGUUGAUGUUGUAAGUACUUUGUUUAAUGGCAUGAGUAAUGAUGAGUUAUUGCGAGUAAGUUCACUGACUUUUUUGUGGAUGCAACAUUUUAAUUAUAUAGUUGGUAUAAAUAUCCCAAAAUGUAACAAUUUAAAAAAGACUUGAGAGAAAUGCUUGUAAAUUAUUGCCUUGUAGAUCUAUGUGUAAUUUUUUGCAUAGUGUAAUAUAUUGAAUUUGUAGUUUUAUUGCAAGUUAUAGUAUAAAACUUGGGAAUUUUUUUUCAUUGUCUCAUUUUUAGGCUUUUGGUUUAGGGCAGAAGCAUGUGACUCUUUGUUCGUUUGAAUUAUGAAGCUUCUUUUGGCUGUAAAAGAAUCAUUAUGUUAGCUACAUAAUGAGGGUUUCCUUAAAAUGGUGUUAAGAGAGUAUAGAAUGACAAGGUAUAUUUACGCAUAAAGUGUAACUGACAAAAUAUAUAGGCAUCGCGUGCAACUAGCAAUAUAUAUAGGUAAAGUGCAUAAUUGAAUAUAUAUAAGGUUGGUGUGUAACUGACAAUAUAUAUAGGCAUGGCUUGUAAGUGAGAAAUAACAUUGGCAUGGCGUUUAACAACAAUUGCCUAGUAUCCAUGGCUUGUAAUAAUAGUGUCUAUAGGCGCAUUUCGUGUAAGAAAUUGGUCAUAACACGUAUUGUGUAGAUGUCAUAAAUUAGAAAAUAGAAAUAAAAAAGUUACAUCCCAAGAAAUGUAUCUUAAUUUAAUAAUGAUAAGAGAAAGUUAUAACUGAGCAAUGUUGGUAAACAUUGUGUUGGAUAAUCAUACCCUUAACAUGAAAAACAAUGGACAAAUGCAUUAAAUUUUUUAAGGAAAAAGAAAAUGAUCAACAAAACUCUUUCAAGCUGGAAAAAAAAGAAGAAUUGAAGCAAUUGUCAUUGAAGAUUGAACGACAUUUUUAGUAGCCCGAGCGAUUGUCUCAUCUAUAUGGCAUCUCCAAUUUGACAACAAUGAUACAAAAAGCAAAGGUAUGUGGAUUGGGUCACAUGAUGUGGGUUAUAACAUGCCACAAGUAAAAAAAGUGGGUUUUAACAUGUCGCGAGUAAAAAAUAAAUUUCGUUCACACGUGUUGAAACUAAUAUGCUCCACGGCAUCUGAAAAAAGGUUGUUGUUUCUAGAAGAGGUGGAAAAUAAAAGUUACAUGCCAAAUUAAGGUUGGUAAACAUCAUGUUGGAAAUUUUUGUUGUAACACGCCAUGGCCAGAUUAUGUGACACACUAUAAAUUUAACCACUGUAAUCUAAUAGAAAAGAGUUGAAGACAAAAAUGCCCUUAAUGAAAUUAUUCAAAAUUUCCCUUAAUGUAUAUAAGCGGUGAGGUAUUUAACACUCCAUCACAUUUUAUACUCAUUCGUAAAUCGAAGGAUCAACUAAGAGUAGAGAGCAGAGAAGGUUUGAUUCAUUCUUAUUUCCUCAUUCCCAUAGGUAUCAAAGUGUUGAACCAAGUUCUGAGCAAAGUUAUAGGCAAUUGCAACAAAUUCGUUACUGUGUAUAGGUUAGUUAGUGGAUGGUGAAUUUUUUUAUAUGUUUUAAGUGGGUGUUUUGGAUGAUUAGGUUGGUGUAUGAAAUGUUUGGGUUUAGGGUAAUGCUUGAUAUAUUUUUCCUUUUUUCUUUUUCAAUUUGGGGGGGUUUCAUCUUCAUUUUACAUGCAUUUCUUGGAGACAACUACCACAUAUAAUUGACAUCUUUUUAGGCGUGUAAUAAUAGUUUAAAAAAUCUGCAUAAUGUGCAACAAUGAUAAAUUUGUUAACUUGGCAUGUUGCUUCAAUUUGGUAUAAUGUUAAUGGCGUGUAGCAUGUGCAUGGGUGAUAUGUUUUAUAAAUGGAGUUGAGACAGUACGAUAACUUUAAGGCAUCUCUUGUUUUGUUGAGGGAGAAGUGGGCCUUCAACGUCUCCAUCAACACCCACUGUAAAUGGUUGCAACUGCCAUACAUCAACAAGAUGCUUUUUGAGAAAGGGAAGUACACAAUAGUGAAACACACAUGUUUAGGUAUGAUGCUGGACGUCCAUCCAAAGGGAUUCUUCUGCGUUGGUUUCCUAUAGAACAUCAUGGCUUGUCUCACUGAGCCUGAUUCAAUGGAGCAUGAGUUGUGGUUUACUAUUAACAAGACGAAGGCAUGGUUCUCCAAGUGGGUGUUCUGCCUCAUUACAAGACUGAAGUUUGGCCCCAUGUCAGAUAUAUUUUGUUGACUGUAUGAGGUCAUCCUCAGAGGCAUUCACACGAGAUACCGAAAUGGGAAUAAGAAUUUGAAGGUAUAACAAUUUCUUGAUACGUUACGAAGAGGCAACUUUGAGCAACCAGGAGAUGUAACAAAGAUGGCCCUCACCUUGAUCGUAAAUAAUAGUUUAUUCGAACAAGACUACAGAAAAUGAGUGACGCUUUGGUUGUUGGCAUUGGUUGAGGAUAUUGACGCUUGGAAUGUCUUCCCAUGGGGUCAUUCUGUAUGGAGGAUGACUAAGGACUACCUAUUGAAGGGGUUCAAAGUUCCUGAUGAAUGCUUGGACAAGCAAAAUCCUUUAUGCUACAACCUUUAUGAAUUUACGUGGGCGAUACAAUUACUAUCAUGAAACAUUUUUCAGUUUACUUUUGACAUAAAAUUUUUUUGUUAACAUGUCAUGUAUCAAUUAGAUGAUUAUUAAGUUUACAAUUGACUUGUAGUUUUAGGCAAUGGAGGCCAUUCUUGCAUUCCAAACUUUAAUUGUGCCAAACAUAUGCAAGGAUGACAUGUAUCCAUUUAUGUGUAGAUGGUAGUGCAAUCAGAAGCCGAAGGAGUUCUACAAGGUGGUGCAACAGUUAGAGUCAUCUCAAUAGGUGAGGGAAAAUCUACUAAUAUAAACUGUUCAUCUGUCAACUAUCUUUCAAAAUCUAAUAUUAAAGUAUGUAUUUUGCAGUUGUGGGCACAUGAAACCUUAGAGCCAACCCCAGAGGAGGCCAUUCGAGAAUAUUGGUUAGACAUAAAGGUCCAUCUAUUUGAGUGGAACCAGCACGUGCCAAUAGGGCAUAUGGAGAAUUGACUAGAAUGAGGUCUCCAACAAAGACUAAAGAGGAAAGUGUUAAAGGAGAAAAGAGUGUUUGUCCAUGUUAAGCAGAGGCGCAUAACUACUGGUCGAGAAGACGACCAGUCACUCCCUCAGUUGUAAGGUGUUAUUUUUAGAUCCCACUAAAGAUGCAUGGAUCACAAUGGUUAGCAAAUACAGGUCAAGCCUGUACAUGGACCUAUCAUUGCAUUGCCAAGACGAGAAGGAUGCAAUGGUAGAAACAUAUGAAGUGCUCAAGAAAGACGCUAGGGUAAGGUAAGCUUAAAAUUGUACAUUUCAUGCAUGUGCAUUUUCAAUUAAUUCAAUCUUGCCACCUUUUGAUUUUGGUAGAUUAGAUGUCUAGUUGCAACAUGAGGAUCUUAGGGGAUCAAUGACCAACAUUUUUCAUGAAUUAAUAGUAGUUUGAUAGCCAAAUAAGGAGUGAACAAAUUGAUGCUUACCUUGGUGUCAUCUGCAAACACCUUACAAGGUCGAUGUCCAAGUUGUACAGCACACAUUAUUGUUUGGUUGAUACAACAUUCUUUGUAAGUUUAUGGUUUACAAUUCUCAAUAUUGAUAAUCUGUCUAUGUUUUGUACUUAACGAUGUCUAAAAACUUUGUAUAUAUUUGAAACACACCAUUUGUAUGCUAUGCAUUCAAAAUGGUAAGAUGUUGAACUUAAGUAAUAUGAAAAUUCCUCUUCAGUUGUUGUUUUACUUGCACAGUGAUAUGCCAACAUACUAAAGAAAAUGGGCAGGAGUGGAGUUCAUACUCGCACCAUGUAAUGUGGAUGGGCACUAAGUGGUUGCGAGUAUCAACUUGGUUAAGUGGAGUAUAAUGAUGGUGGACUUCGCACAAACUUUUAUUGCUAUAGAAUCUGGACUGCAGGUGGCUCAGAUGCAAUGCCUUUGUACAAUGAUGCCUACUAUCUAUCAGUAGUCCAGUUAUUUCAAUUAUAAGCACCACAAGAAACUAGACUUAAUGUAGAUUCCACUCGAGAUAACAUUACCCAAAUCGGUAACACAUCGGCAGAAUGAUUGUUCUAGCUGUGGUAUGUUUGUUGUUGGAUAUAUUGAUGAUAUUAUACAAGGGGGACAAAUCAAAGUAAAUUAGUCCCUUAUUGCAAACAUGCGGAAGCAAUUCACUUUUGAAAAUUUUUCCAACAGUUGUUCGAGUGAACCCAAAACUCAUCGUAAUUGAACAGUUGUAUGCACAUUUAUGAACAAAAUUAAGUUGAAUAUAUAUAGAGAUCAUAACUUCUUUGAAUGUGUUAGAGCUUUAGCAAUCAUGAGCGCAUUUUUUGAAAUGAGUAUGUAAAAUUAUUAGAAUACGAACAUGUGAGUCAUUUGAUUCAUUACGUGUGUGAAAGAAGCAGUUUUUUUUUAUUUUUUUAGGAUGGCAUGUUGCAUUUUCUCAUGUUAGGUACGAUGUGUUGCAUAUUCGCAUGUUAGGGAUGGCAUGUGGCAUAUUGGCAAGUUAGUCAUGGCAUGUUGCAUAAUCGCCAGUUAGGCAUGAUGCUUGCAUAUUUGCUUGUUAGGCAUGGCAUGUCGCAUUUUCACAUGGUAGGGUUAGCGGGUCACAUUUUCGCAUGUUAGAGUUAGUGUGUGGCAUAUUGGCAUGUUGCAUAAUCACUAAUUAGGCAAGGCGUGUUGCAUUUCGUUUGUUAUGCAUGGUGGCUCGCAUAUUUGCAUAGUAGGCAUGGCGUUUUACAUAUUCCCAUGUUAGGGUUAACGUGUGGCAUAUGCACAUGUCAGGCAUGGCGUUUCGCAUAAUCGCUAGUUAUGUAUGGUGUGUUGCAUUUCGCUUGCUACGCAUGGCAUCUCGCAUAUUCAAAUAGUAUGCAUGGCGUGUCGCAUAUUCGCAUGUUAGGUUUGGCAUGUGGCAUAUGCGCAUGUUAGGCAUGGUAUGUCACAUAAUCGCUAGUUAGGCAUGACAUGUCGCAUAUUCGUUUGUUAUGCAUGGCGUGUCCAGUUUUCACAUGGUAGGCAUGGCAUGUCGCAUAUUCGCCUAUUAGGGUUGCCUGUUGCAUAUUCGUUAGUUAGGCAUGUCUUGUCACAUAUUUGCCGGUUAUGCAUGGCUUGUUGCAUAUUUGCAUGUUUGUCAUUGCUUGUAGCAUAUGCGCAUGUUAUGAAGCGCAUGUUAUGAAUGGCAUGUCGCAUAUUCGCAUGUCAUUCACGGAGUGUGGCAUAUUCACAUGUUAGCCUUGACCUGCCACUUAUUUAGGUAUUUGGCAUGUCCUCUAUCAUUUUACAAUAUCAGGCAUGGCGUGUUAUAUCGUUUGACUUUUAGGACUAUAUGUUACAUGCCACUCUACAAGUAGAUUAUCAUCUUGCGUAUCUUCAUGUAGCCGCAUGUCUGACAAAUCUUGCUGCAACAUGCGACGCUAACAUCAUUGGCAAGUUUUGAUACAUGACUAGUUGAUGGAAGAUAGGGAUUUCUAUCUUGGAUGUUUUUGGACACUAAUACAUUUGACCAACUUUUGUUAGAAUUGCAUAGUUUUGUUGAUUGUUGGUCUCAAAGAGCAUGCUAGAGGGGGGGUGAAUAGCACGUUUGGAAUAACACGAAAAUUCUUUCCAAGUAAAGAGCUUAUUAAGGGAAUUUGAAAAUGGAAGUUUAAAGCUUGUUGGAGGAAUGAUUUAAAUGUUAAGAGUAAGAAGGAAAAAAAAAAAAGAAAGUGGACAAAACACAAUGAUUUAUAUUGGUUCGGUUUCCUUGACCUAUAUCUACUACCUUGAUCUCCCAAUCAAGGAUUUUCAAACCAAUUCAUUAAAAUCAGUGAAAUUUCCAAGCUUCCACCAAGCUUUUACAAUGGCUUUUCACAGGCUCAGCCAUAAUUUUUAACAAUGGUUUUUCAUAAGAUCAACUAAAACCCAAAACUAACUUUUCUAAGGCUAAGUUAGAACCUACAACAACAACCAAGCUUACCUAAGCUGGAUCUACCCUUUAAAGUGUCUCUCACACUUUAAGUAAACAAGAAAUAGAGAAAUGAUGAAGUAUAAUUGAUCACUUAGCUUAUUUAAGUUAUAUAAAGUUAAGCUCAAACACUUUUUCAAAGGAUGGGAGUGAAAUACAAGUGUAAAGAGAAGGUUUUUGGUCUUUUAAGCUCAAAAUCACUUUGGAUGGCUUCACUAUAUGAUUUUUGACAGUUAGAGAGGUUUUAAAUACUAGAAAAAUCACUUUUAGUCGUUGGAGACAAAAACUAACCUUUUUUUCCAUUAUGUUGUCUUUUUGUGCUUAAAUUCAAAUGUGCAGACAAUGCUUCAUUAACCGGUUAAAGGUGAGCUUUAACUGAUUAAGUCUUCUCUGACUUGCAUUGUGUAUAUUUAUGUUAACCAAUUAAUAACAGCUUUAAUCGAUUAAUAACUUUCUGUUUUCAAGCAUUGUUUUUGGCUAUCCUCAUUUUAAUCGAUUAAUAUUCCCUUUAACUGAUUGAAGCUUCUCUCCAUUCAUCCUUAACUGAUAAAAAUGAGCUCCAACUAAUUAAGAAGUAUUCAACUUUAAAUCUUUUGGUUCAAUGUUUUGGACGAUCAUUAAUAUUUUGAAUAUGAGUUUGAAUUUUGGCGCUUCUUGACACUUUAACUUUGACCUUUAACCUGUCAAUUCCUUUCCUUUAAUUGAUUACAAGGCUCUUGUUUUGCAUCCAGCACCCACUUAACUUAUUAAAUCUUAUGUUAACUAGUUAAGACCUUUAUUUUUGUCCUUAGUGUGGCACCCAAAAUUGCUUUAAUUCAUUAAGCAUUUGUGUUCAUCGGUUAAGACUAAUCUGUCUUCAUUAAAGCUCUUUCUUCUUUACCUGUUUAAACAAUUAACUCAUCUUGCAAUUGAACAAGCAUAUUGACUUGGUUUCAAAUAUCAAAUAUAUUAAUGAAUUUAAGCUUUCUCCUGCACACUUAAAUAAUAUAAUUAGACACCAAUGAAUGUGUAUGUUUUGUUAUCAUAAAAAACACAUAAAGUCAACAUUCUCUCUAUCUUAUUUUUGAUGAUGACAAAACACUCCUAGAUCAAGAGUGCAAUGUUUAUGUUCAAUAUGAAUGCUUCAAAUCUUUAUGCAUAAUGAGUUGUUUCCCCUUAGAUAAUGCAUUUAGUUUUCUUUAAAGAUUUGCAAUAAAAUAUUUAUGGCAUCUACAGUAGCUAAACAAGAUAUACAAUACCCACAGUAACUAAGUAAGAUAUAUUAAAUAUCCAUAAUAACUAGCAUAUAAUAUUCAACAAAACCAUAACUAAGCAUCAUACACAUAAAUUAAAUAUGAAACCUAUCAAACUUUAUUUAACUUAGUCUUUUUUCUCUCCUUUUUUGUCAUCAUUAAAAAAAAAAAAUUUAAACUCCCCUUUAAUGAGUGCAUCUAGAUUUUCCUUUAAUCUUUAAAUCAAACUUUAAUGAAUAGGAAUCAUACGCAAUCAUACACCUAAGUCAUACAAGCUUAUAGAUAUAGUUCAAUAACUUCAAGAGACAAGCUUGUAACUAUGUAAGAACAAAUGUAUGGGAGUUAAAUCAUUUUAAGAACUUGUCAAGGAUCACUCAAAUAAUGUUAAAGCAAAUUUGAUCAUUUUGUCAUAAUCAAAACUAUAAUAAUUUUAAAGCUAACAAUCUUCCCUUUUUGAUAUGACAAAACUUUGAGCAUAAUUUGCAUUUGAAAUGAUUUUAAAAUCUCCCUCUCAACAUUUGCAUAAAAUUAAAUUUAGUCAUAAACCUUCUCCCCCUUUUUGUUAUAUAAAAAAGGUUAAGAAUAGUGAGCAUUAAAUACUUAAGCUCAAGAAAUAAUGGUUAGCAAAAUCCAUCAAGAAUAUAACCAUUAAGACCAUAAAUAUGUAACCAUAAAGUCACCAAGUCGUUAUAUAUAUGCACUUAAUAUUCUCAACCAAGUCAUUAAGAAAUAUACCCAUUAAGCACAUUCACGUAUUAAUUCCUCCAGAGAAUCAUCAAUAAGAAUGCCAAAUGUAUAUACAUCUGUAAGCAAAAUGUGGACAUAACAAUUAUGAAGUUCAAGAAAGAGAAUCAUAAAGAUAUUCAAUUAGCACAUAAGCCAUAUUUCAGCUCCAAUAGCAAGUGUUAAAGCUCAAUAUAUCAAUUGAUGGAUAUAAGUAAAAUCUCCCCCUUUGUAAAAGCACAAUAUCAAUUAUGAGAGAUGAAUCAUUUCAAAGCUCAUUAUAUCAAUUAUCAAAGCACUAGUAAAGACUUUCCCUAUCAUUAAGCAUUCUAAGCAUAUCAACUUCAAAGCUCAAACACAUUUACAAAAGAUAUGAUCGAUUUAAAGCUCAAGGGAGAAGAGAUAAUUCUAAAGCUUGGUGCUAAUUUUAAAUAUAGAUAUUAAUUUAGAAAACUUAAGGCUUGAUACCAGUUAUGUAUUUCAACAUUCAAGUUUAAUUGAAAAGCAAUAGAAGGCACAAUAUCAAUUUUGGUGUUUAAAAAGAUGUUACCGGUAGCGAAGAACACCAAAUGUUGAAUUCUCACCAAACCUUAUUGUGGUAGUUCUUAAUUUCUUAUGAUAUCAGUGACAAUGAUUGAUUCCCCUUUAAGAAAUCAUAAACUCAAUACAAAUUGUUAGAGAUCCUUAAUAGAUCAAAUAUUAAGAGAGAAAUUAUGAGCCUAGAAUAAAUAAGCAUUCAAAUGGAUAUUAAUUUAUUUCCCUAAUAUUCAAGUAUUCAUGGAACUAAAAGAGUAUAAGCAUUUGAAUAGAUGUUCAACAUAUGCAUCAAAUACUCAUAUUUUCAAGAAAUAUUUGCAAAGUAGUUCCUAGGCAUGUCUAAGGUAUUAUUAGUUUUCAAGCAUCAUUCUCAAUUAUCAUCAAGCAUUAUCAAUAAUUAAUCAUCAUCAAGCAUUCAUUAUUUAUUCUCAAUAUCAACCAACCAAGCAACAUCAAUCAAGCAUUUCUAAGAAAUUCCCUAAUUCAUAUAUAAAAAUAGCAACUCAAGGAGAAAUUAUAAAAAAAAUCAUCAUUAAGCAUUUUUAGUGAGUAUUCUUCCAAUUCAUUUUCAAGCGGUCAUUCAUCUUAGUUGUUUUGAAGCAAGCUUUGCAAGAUGUAUUCUCCAAAUUAUAUAUGGCAUUAUCAAUUUAAGGAGAGUUUUCACAAAAGGCAUAUCAUUAUUAAUAAAACAUUACCAAAGCAUUUUGCAUUUAUUGCAAUCAUGUAUGAGAGUUAUGACCCAAUAAGCACAAACAUGAUUACAAUAAAAAAAUGGCUAUCUUCAUUAAUCAUGAUUCCAAUUUUGUUUAUCAAAAUGCAAGCAUGAGUUUAAUAUAGACAUAUACCCAUUCAAAAAAUAUGCAACAAUUGAAGUUCAAGGUACAUGCAAUUUCUUAAUAAUUCAUAAUUCAUGAGUGAUAUCAAUUGUUAUAGAAUAUUGAAAAGUAAAGCACUUAACUCAUGAUAUAUUCAAAGUGAACAUUCAAUCAUUAAUGAAUACCAAUUGUCAAGAUUUAAGAAAGAAAUAUUUAAUAAAAGCACAUUAGGCAUUCAUUGUUAACUAAAGCUAUAUUUCAUUUGACAUAUCAAGUUCUUCAUGGUAACUUAUAAGCUAAAGUUUGAUGCACAUAAAAUCUUUAGAUCAUGUUAACAAUAAGGCUCAAUGAAGACUUAGUUAAUAUUUAAAUGCAUUUUCAAAAUAAAUUUCAACUAUGUCAGUUUAAAAUAUAUGUCAUGAUCAAACUCGACAAUUAAAUACAUAAUCAAAUGCAUAGCUCAAGUUAAGUUUUAAACUUCAAACCUUAAGGUCAAGAAAAAUAAUAAAUUAUGUAAGCAUGUGCCUUGACCAAUAUAAUAGAUGAACCAAAAUUUAUUUUCAUGAAGUUCAACAAGUUCAUCAUAAUCAAUUUCAUAAGUAUAAUCAAAGAAUCAAUCUUGGAACAAUCAUUUAAGUACAAUAAUAAAGCAUAUUUCAAGAAUUGAUCUUGGGAUUCAUUGAAAAGAUUUUUCAACAUAAGCACAUGAACAUUUUAUUCUCAAGAAAUGAUAUUAUUUAUGUAAGCACAUAAAUUCAAGCAUUCAUGAAUAAUUUUCCAUUUUUCAAUUUUAACAUUGUAAACACAUGAAACUUUAUGGAAUCAAUAUGAGUGUCAUGCUUGGGAAUAGAUAGAUUUAAGCAAUCAAGAAAGUUUUCCUAUUUUUCAACGAAUGUUGUAAUUUCAAGAAUAUGUACUUGCACCAAAUGAUCAUGAGAAUAUUAAUAAUGCAUGUUUUAAAGGUAAAGAAUCAUCUUCGAAAAGGAAAUUCAUGGAAGAAAAUAUUGCAAUGGACAAGAAAUGAAGUAGGAAACAUUUUGGAACUCAAAACUUGUCCAUUUUGACUUUAGAGCACUUAAGAAUCAACUACACAUCCUUGGGGGUCAACUUUUAUCAUUUCAGCAGCAUUUGUUUUUGCAUUUUGUUCUCCAAGAGUUGACUAGCUAUGCUUAGGAGUCGACUAUGCUUCAUCCUAGUACAUUAAAAAGUCAGAAAAAAAAAUGCAAAAAUGUAACAUUCUAAGGUACAAUGAUCUCAAAAUAUAGACUUGUGUGAGAACAAUUUAAAAUUUCAUUUCAACCAUCUUUGGAACAUCAUUUUGGACAUGCACGAUCAAAGAUUCUUCAAGAAAAAUAUAUGAACUCAAAUUUUGGCUUUUAUUGCUCAUUGUUCAUAAGUGCUAGAAAGUUGAAAUGCUCAUUUGAAGAAUAAUGUCUCUAAUAUGAUCAAGCAUGUUCAAUUUUCACAAUGAUGCGUGAAUAUGACUUAUAAAAUGUACAAGCAUUUUAAACAACGUUUAAGCAUAAUAAGCAUCAAAUUUCACAUUUUCAACAUUUUUUCAGUGUAUAGACAAAAAUGCCCUUGAGGUCAUUCAUGCAUUCAUUUGCAAUAAGAACAAGUUAUAAUAGCAUUUUUAAUAUAAGAUACACUUGUUCAAGUUUUAUAUCAUCAAAAUCAUUGUAGCCUUAAGCAUUACAAGAAGGUUUGUUCAUUUGCUUAAAAUAUAAUCAAUUUCAAAUUAUCAUACUCAUGAUUAUAUUUAAGAAAACUCUUUCAAUCUAUUUCAUAAAUCAUGAGAGAAAUAUCAAGCAAAAUGGGAUUUAUGUAAUUCAUGUAUAAAAUCAAUUUUGCUUAACCAUGCUAUGUCAUCAAAAACAAUAAAUCAAUUUCAAUCAAAGAGAAUAAAAAGAUUUUGCAAGAAAAUCAAUUGAUAAAGAUUUAAUCUUUCUUUGCAAACUUUUCAACUUGAAACAUUCAAGAUUAGACAUGUUUUGUGAAAAAUCAUGAGUUCAAUAUCACUCAAUUUUGUUCAAUUAUACUUUAAAUGAUUUAUGAAAUGUGUAAUGAGCAUAAUGAAUCAUGUUUAUGCAUGUCAAGGGUCAUUUUCAAAUAUCUCAUAAUCAUGUGCCAAAAAUGCCCUUAUGACCAUUCAAUCUUAUAAGCAAGCAUGCACAUCCAAUAAGAGCAAGUCAUAAGUUUUUUCAAUAUAAAACAAACUUGUUCAAUUAUAAAUCAUUCAAAACUUAAAGGAUGGCAACAUUUUCCUCAUAUAAGUUUUUUUUGCUUUAAAAGUACCAAUUAAAGUAGUCAAUGCUUAUCAUGCUCAAUUUUAACCAAUUUGAAACAUUCAAUUAAGUCUUAAAAGAAAAGUUGUUCAAAUGGUGAAAUUAUCUUAGACAUAAGGAAAUAAAAAAGUCAACUCUUCAAACUCAAAUUUCCUUGUCUAUAGGCAAUUAUGUAAAUCAAUCUAAUAGGCACAUAUUAGCCAUUUCACACAUACCUUUAAUCACCAAGCUCUUGUGCUCAAGGUUAGGCUUAAAAAUAAUUUUUCUUCAAAAACAUGGUAUGAACCAAUUUCACAAAGCAUCAAGAAAAAUUAUUCAAUAUAUACACAAGUAUUAUAACAAAUCAUUUUACGUAACAAAGCAAAAUUAGUCCAAACAAAUACAACUACCCAAGCAAUUUUCUCAAUUAAAAGAAUGACUAACUUUUGGCAAGAGAUUAUGAAGAAAUAUUCAAGCUCAUAUAGAAGCACAUACGUAUCAAUCUUAGACUUCUACUUCCGUCAAGAUUAUGCAAUUUAUAACAUGUAUCAUAUCAAAUCAAGUUGCAUAGCCAAGAUUUAUUAAUAAAGCUCAAAGAAUUAUGCAUUUAAUAUUCAAGCAAGAAUAGGCAACCAAAGUUUUCAAUUAAGAAAAGCAAACAAUUUAAGAAACCAAGCUAAAUAAAUGAAACAUACAAUAAACAAAUAAUCAAAAAUCUCAUUUAAACAAAAAAAAAGCUUUUAGCAUAGAGAUCACCCAUUUUUCUUUAUAUAUGACUAAAAAGCAUUCAUUCUUCAAGAAUUGUUCCUCCUUGCUCUAGUACACCUACAAGAGACAUUUUUCAUUUGAUUUUUGGUAUCCAAAUCACUUUGGAUCCUUGAAAGUUAAUCUCGUUGCACAAAGUUCCUUUCGGAACCCACACUUAUCUAAAUUUGUAAGGUACAUAUUUUCUAAUUGGACAAAUGCAUGAGUAAUAACUAUAAAUUGUACAAUGAUUGUAUUUGGUCAUUUUGGAAGAUGAGGAAUUCAUGAAAACCUUUUGUUUCUCAUUUAAUAAAUCUUCAAAUUUCUUUGUCACAUCAAAAUUCCCUUUUUCCAAAAUAUCAAUUUUCUUUUAGUAAGCUUCAAAAUCUUUUUUUAAAUUUUCAUUUUCUUUUUCCAAAUCAAUUUUUGUUUUCACCAAAAAUUCACUUUCAACAUUAAGUAUGGAAAUGGUUUUCUUGUGCUUUAAAUUCAUUUUCUUAAACUUAAAUGUUAAAUCCUCAAAAGCAUCAUGCAAUUCAUCAAAAGCAUAUGAAUUAAGUAUACAAGAUGAAGAAAUUACUUUUAUCUCUUCAAGAGCCAUGAGGCAUAAUUCAAUUUGAUUUGAGCAUUCAUCUUCACAUGAUUCCUUGUUUGCAUUUGCUAUGUUGCUUGUUGAGCAUUGAUUCUCACAAGACUUAUCUUUCAAUUCCUUUUUCUUCUUUAUUUCUCUAUAUAACUCUUUUAAUUUUUUUCAAAUUUCCUUGGCACUUUCGUACAUGAACACAUUAUUAUAUUCUCUAUAAUCAAGUGCACAAAUGAGAGUGUGCAUGGCCUUAGAGUUGAUUUGUACUAUCUUCAUUUCAGCUUCUGUCCACUUACUUUUAUUUUUAGGAGUUUUCUCACCAUUUACUGAAUUAGUAAUCAUAAGGAUAAAAGGACCAUCAGUAAUGACAUUCCACAUCUCAUAAUUGUAAGCCCUAACAUAAAUGAACAUUCUAGUACUCCAAAAUUGGUAAUUGGUUCCACCAAAUAGAAGAGGCAUAUUUAUGGAUUGACCCUCAGCCAUAUUAAAAUUUUAAGUAGCCAUUAGAUCUUCACCUUAAGAUGUUAAGCCUUUAAAAUCAAGGGUUAGGCUCUAAUAUCAAUUGUUGGUCCCAAAGAGCGUGAUAAAAGGGGAUUGAAUAACACUUUUGGAAUUACAAGAAAAUUCUUUGCAAAAAAAAAAAGCUGAUUAAGGGAAUUAAAAAUGGAAGUUUAAAGCUUACGGGAGGAAUGAUUUAAAUGUUAAGAGUAAGAAGAAAAUAUAAGAAAGUAGACAAAACAUAAUGAUUUAUAGUAGUUCGGUCCCCUUGACCUACAUCCACUACCUUGAUCUCUCAAUUAGGGAUUUUCAAACCAAUUAACUAAAAUUAGUAGAAUUCUCAAGCUUCCACCAAGCUUUUAUAAUGGCAUUUCAUUGGAUCAGCCACAACCUUUAACAAUGGUUUUUCACGGGAUUAAUCAAAACCCAAAACUAACUUUUCUAAGGUUAAGUUAGAACCUACAAGAAUAACCAAGCUAACCCAAGCUUGAUCUACCUUUUUGAGUGUCUUUCACACUCUAAGUAAACAAAAAAUAGAGAAAAGAUGGAGUAGAAUUGAUCACUUAGCUAAUCUAAGAUGUACAAAGUAAAGCUCAAAACACUUUUUCAAAAGACGGGAGUGAAAUACAAGUGCAAAGAGAAGGUUUUUGGUCUUUUAAGCUCAAAAUCACUUUGUAUGGCUUCAUUAUAGGAUAUUUGAUUGUUGGAGAGGCUUUAAAUACUUGAAAAAUCACUUUUGGCCAUUGGAGAUAGAAAUUAGCCAUUUUUUACCGUUAUUUUAUCCUUCUGUGCUUAAAUUCAAAUGUGCAGACAGUGCCUCAUUAAUUGGUUAAAGGCAAGCUUUAACUAAUUAAGUCUUUUCUGGCUUGUACAAUGCUUCUUUGUGUUAACCAAUUCACAGCUGCUUUAACUAAUUAAUAACUUUCUAUUUUCAAGCACUGUUUUUGGCUAGCCUCUUUUCAACUGAUUAAUGCUCCCUUUAUGUGAUUGAAACUUCUCUCCAUUUGUCUUUAACUGAUAAAAAUGGGCUCUAACCAACUAAGAAGUAUUCAACUUUAAAUAUCUUGGUUUGGUGCUUUGGAUGGUCAUCAAUAUUUUGAAUUUGAAUUUUGGCGUUUCUUGACACUUUAACUUUGGCCAUUAACUAGUUAACUUCUUUCUUUUAAUUGAUUAAAAGGCUUCUGUUUUGCAUCUAGCACCCACUUAGCUUAUUAAACUUUGUGUUAUCCAUUUAAGAGCUUUCUGUCUGUCCUUAGUGUAGCGGCCAAAAUUGGUUUAAUUGAUUAAGGAUUUGUUUUAAUCGGUUAUAACAAAUCUAUUUUCAUUAAAGCUCUUUCUUCUUUACCUGUUUAACUAAUUAACCCGUCUUAUAACUGAACAAGCAUCUUGACUUGCUUUUAAAUACCAAAUAUAUUAAUGAAUUGAAGCUUUCUCCUGCUCACUUAAAUAAUAUAACUAGACACCAAUGAAUGUGAAUAUUUUAUUAUCAUAAAAAAAAAUUACUUUAUCUUACCUCGAGAUGGCAUGGCUAUUCCCUUGCCUUUAUCUUUCUUGACAUUUCUUGUAGAGGGUGCCACCCUAGGUGGUGUAAUUUCCAUCGAAUGAAAAUAGCCACGGUUAUGUCCCAUUGAUUGUCUAGGCCUUAGACAAUCUUUCAUCAUAUAUCCUGCCUACCCACAUCUGAAGCAUAACCCCGUUGAUCUAAGCAUGGUCCACCAUGUGCCUUGCCACAAUUAUUAUGUAGGACAUCUCUCUUUUUGGGGCCUAGAUUCGAUGAUCCAUUGAAUAGCUCUCACCUUCCAAGAAGACUAAAAGAUUCAUUGUUUUGAGGCAAUCUACUUGUAGGAGUAGUUCCCUUUCGACCCCAAUGGUCCAUAGGAAUUGGACUUCGUGUUUCAUUAAAUGCUUCUAACCUCAUUGACUUUCCAUUCUAGCCUUCCAACCUCUAUUCUUUUCUUUCAUAGUCCCCAAUCUACGGCUCUUAAUCAAUCUGGUUGCAUCUACCACUGCAGAGUAACUAGCAAACCUCUAGGUGGAAAUAACUUUGAAUAACAGCUCUAUCAAGCCUUUAACAAAGCUUUUAAUUCUUUGUUCUUCAAUCAAGACCAAGUCAGGUGCAUAACGGGACAAUUGGGUGAACCAUAUAUCAUAGCCCACCACCGCCAUAUUUGGAGUCUGCAUUAGGAUCUCAAAUUCCUAGGCCUUAACAUCUCUCACGCUAUUAGGCAAAAAUCGAUCUAGAAAUACUUGGGCAAAUUCAUCACAUGUAAGUGGAGCCAAUCUUCUUUUUCUUGAAGGUCACAAACUAGAUUUGGGCUACAUUUUUCAGUUAAAAUCCUACUAACUCAACUGACUGCUAGCUGAAACAUCCCCACGCUGAGCAUAUACGUUCCAUAUCCUCUAAGAAUCUCUACGGAUCCUCUUCGACAUUUGAGUCGAUAAUCAUAGAGGGCUGUAGUUUCAUAAAAUCUACUAAUGUCACCAUAAUUGCCUCAUUGUCCAAUUGCACUACUGGCAUAUAAUCCCGAUCCUUAGAACUAGAAUCUAUCCACUCCUCUAUUUGCACCUCAUCCCUGCUACGAAACUUGGCAAACUCUUAUGCUAAACUCUACAACCUUGCAACUAAAUGCUUUAGAGUGACAACUCUUCCCGUUGGGUAAUCAUCCCUAGCUUCCUCAUAAUCAUCCCUAGUGCACUAGGGUCUACAUGUCGAGUGCAUCUCGUAGCUCUAGCUCUUCCAUGAAUCCUUGAUAGGGAAGUUUAUGCUCUAACCGUAACCUCAUCGGGGGCAUCAUGUUCUACCCUAGCUCUAGAGGCAGCCUUCGUCUUAGGUGGCAUCUUUACCUAGACAAGCAAAAUCAUAUUCAAAAUCCAUAUUUCAAAAUCAUGGGUGGCAUAUUACAUGACUUAGGGGUUCGCGCAACCUCCCGCUCAUGAAUUGCGUUGUAGUCACAAAACAUCAACAACACUCCACACUAGAACCUAUCUACUCCAUUGAUUGACACAGACUGACCUAGGACUCUCUCUCUAAGACCUAGGUAAAGCUGUGACACCAAGUUUGUCACAACUCAAAUUCAAAGGUCUGUGAUCGACACGCACGAGCUUGGCAAACAAGCCCACUAGACUUAAGGAAGCCUUCAUAAUUAAGUCUUAUUUAACAUAUCUCAUAAAGCCUCAUGGCUAACAUCAUUUCAUUAAACUUAUACCUUGAUUUUCAACAUUAGCCCCUUGACUCAUAAUAAUGUUCGAGACUUAAACAUAAUAUACACGUAGGCAUGCAUUGGCUAGCUUGUCAUGUUACUAAACAUCUAAUUACAUAACAAAAAGCAUUCUGUGCCGACAUAUUUCCUUUAUGAUAGACUUUGUAUACAUUUUUACGGAAGCGUACAUAACUAUGACUCAGACUAUGAUGCAGCGAAGAGUGCAUCAGCAGAAAACCUACCAAUUAUCAAAAUCCUGUGUUUGUCUAAGCAACAACGCUAGCCACUGAUCCUCAAAGUCUAUUUAUCUACAUGAUACAAUUGAGAGGGCGAGUCACACUAGUACUCAGUGAGCGAGAGAAUAAAAACAAUUAUAAAUGUGUAGGGAUAGUUGCUACACAUAUCCUUUAAUCUUGCAUGCAUAUCAUACAUCUCAAACAUGUACAUAAUGGGACAAGUUAGACGUCACCUAUCGAUCAUAGUUUAUCAUAAUCAUGGCAGCCGUACUAUGCUGCGUAUUUACAUCUAUUAGCAUAAUGAGAAGAUAUAAUUCAUUCCCACUUUACUCAUUCAAUAUCAUUUAUAACAUAACCACUUAGCGACUCAAUCUAUUGCAUGAACUAGCCCGCCAUAUGGCCGUCUACAUACGUGGCUUAACAUACUUACCUCGUAACACUCACCUUGACGCUGAUUCAUAAUUUCUCAAGCUUACAGUACAUCAUUUCCCAUAUAACAUAUGCACAUGGCUCUUACCUUAAGCCUUUACAUUAAUCAUCAAUUCAUAUCAUAACAUAUCAUGGUGUACAUUUCAUAUCCUAUGGUAUACUACUGCAUAUUCAUAACAUCAUAACAUGUCGUAGAAAGGUCCUCUCUAGACAUAACAUAGUCACGUACGGUGGCCAACCAAUAGAUAACGCAUGAUAUCAUGUCAAACCCCAUUGCUGUGACAAAUGAUAAAGUCAUCUCACGCUCUAUUGCCGAAACAAAUGAUGGAGUCAAUUUACAUCAUCCGAAACAAUCUCAACAAAUGGCAUCAAAGCACUACAUGCAGGAAUCACAGCUAGGACGAAACCACCAUCCUUACCACCAUCUCUAUAGGCAACAUAACAUCAUCAUUGCACAACAAGCAGGAAUCACAGGCGAGAUGAAACCACCAUCUCUACUUACCACCAUCCAUACUUACCACCAUCCUUAUUGCGGAACAUACAUGGUCACAGGGAUAUGGACACCUUCUAUCUCAUUUCAUUCAUUCAUUGUCUGGAGUCAUUUACAAACAGUACGUACAUCAUAUCAUAGACACACUUAGUCAUGCUUAUCACCACACUAUCACAAGUCAUACAUGAUCACAUUCAUUUCAUUGUAACUUACUCAUAUCGUCAUCCUAUCACAUUCUAUAUUUAGCGUAGGCAUAUCCUUCUAGGCAUGUCAUACAUCCUUUCAUAAUAUUCACUAAUCUAGACAUAACUACUCUAGACGUACUUAUCAUGUGUAUCUUUAUCGUAACAUCAUAUUUCUAAUGAUAUUGGCUGAUACUUAUAUUAACAUCAUUAGCCUAGAUGUAAUCUUUCUUUAGGCACAUCAUAGUGAUCAUAAUCACUUUCUAAUCUAGGAAUUCUACCUCUAAACAUACUGAUAGUUCAUACAUAACAUACAUUAUGCAUUUUCAUUACUUAAGCAUUCAUGCACUAUAGUCAUUAUGCUUUUAUGUGUAAAAGUUCCCCAUUCACCUUGACAAUUUAAGCAUUCCAUAGCAAUCCAAGCCAAAUUCCUUCUAUUCAAUAACUGUCCUUUCACCAUACAAUAGCAUUUAGCUCAAAAACUAGGGAAUGGGUAAAAUUCUUACAAUAGCAUUUAGCUCAAAAACUAGGGAAUGGGUAUAAUUCUUACUCCCAUUGUACAUCUAGCAAUCAACAAUGCACAAACAUCAACAUUUACAUCAUAAUCUCAAUUUUAUAGCCAAAUCCUGGCUUUUAGAUUAUUUCUAACUUUUCAAUAUAACACAUUCUGUAACCAAAUUAUCAUAUAAGCUCAACUUUCUCAUGUUCAUCAAUAAUGACCACAUCUCUUACCUUUAAACAUAAAUUUAACUCACUUUAAACUUCAAUCUCCAGCCAUUUUCAACUCAACAACUACUAAAGCUGAAACAUAACAUUUCUAAUUAUUGAACUGUUUAAUUCAAAAACCAAUCAGUAAAAAGCUUCAAUCCAUACCUCUAGAUCAAUUUUCCAGUCUCAUAAACACCUUUUCCAAGCUCCAAGUCACCAAAGGGGACGAAGGUUUUGAGAGAGUGUUAAGAAAGCUUUUAUUUUCCUUUUAUUUGCAAAUAGGCAGACUACCCAAUGCCUUUUUUUUUUCUGCAAAUCUCCAUGCAUGUAUCGAUACAUUUGGCAAUGUAUCAAUACAUUUCCACGGGUUAACUUUAAAUCUAUUGAUACACAAGGUAUGUAUCAAUAGUUUUCCCAUGGACUACUCUCUACUUCAAAUCAUCGAUACAUUUGGACAAUGUAUCAAUAAAAAUUACAUAAAAUGCUCUCCUCUUCAAAUCUAUCGAUAUAUUUGGCAAUGUAUCGAUACCUUUUCUAUAAUACCCCUCUUAUGUGCUUACUACUUUGAAUGUGUCUAUACACAGUGCCCAUGUAUCGAUACUUUUCAUCCAAAUUGCAUUUUCUUCAACACUUAGAGCUUUUUAGUUCCAUUCUCUAACUCUCAUUCCACUUCCCACAUACAUUCCUAUCUCAAUUCAUGAUAUACCUCAAAUUCUCAUCUAUGUUCUAUGUCACAUAACAUAUGAAUCAAACAUAGCAUAAUUGCUUACAUAACAUACUCAUUUAAGUUCCAACAUAUGCACCAUUUCAUUCAUGUGCCAAACAUAUGCACAACAUCAUUCGAGUCUUUAUAUACUCAUACAUUUUCAUAAUCAUCACUCUAUGGACGUAGGCAUUCCUUAAAUUCAAAGUCAUAUACAUCAAAAUAUCAUUAGCUCAUUCAAAUAGCUUAACAUACAUUAAGCAUCAUUACCAUCAAAAUUGGGGGUGUUAAACAAUAUGCCAUGAUUAAAUAUAUAAUCAUAUGUUCACAUGAUCAAUCAAUCGACAUAUACACAUAUAAAUGCAUACAAAUAUAUUCACAUGAAUAUUUAAUCAAAUCAUCAAUAAACUAUACUAAAAACAAAUUUCAAAAAUAUUAUGACUAUAGUGAGGAGCAUAAUGAUUCUAUGUUUCAAUCAUUCAAGAAAAUAUUAAAAGCAUCAUUAAGCACAUGAUUAAUAUGGUGCUUGAGAGAUAUUACCAAUAACGUAAAACACCAUUUGUUGAGAUCUCACCAAGCUCAUUGUUGAAGAUUUCAAGUACUCAAACAUCAUAGGACAAUGUCAAUGAUCAACUCCACUUUAAUCAUUCAUUAGAUUGCUUCCAACAAGGAAAAGGUGUUAAAUGGUUAAUCACAUUAAAGCAUUAUCUUACCUUCCCUUGAAUGAACGUUGUUAAACCACUUGAGAAUAAAUCAUAAUCAUAUGAUAAAUGAGUAUUUAAUUGAAUGUUCAACAUGUUAAUCAAUACUCAAAUAUUCAUGGAAGUAGAAAGUCAUUAGCAUUUAAAUAAAUAUUCAAUAUGUGCUUCAAAUACUCAUAAUUUUAAGAAAUAUACACAUUAGUUCCAAUGCAUGUCCAAGAUAUCAUCAAGCAUUAAUUGUCAAUUUCAUCAUACAUUAUUCAAGCACUAUCAAUAAAUCAUUUUGCAAUAAUUUUCUAAUGAUAAUUCAAAAGAGAGUUUCUUCAAUAAGAGUAUAUUAUCAUUAAGUACCCUUGGCAAGCUUAUUUCUUAAUUUGAUAAGACAUGUAUCAAGUCAAAUCUAUAAGAAUUAAUAAUCAAUAUUGCACAUGCCAUAUCUCAAUGAUCUUAAUCACCAAUGAGUGAUUUAAUUUACUCUUUCUUAUCCUAUUGACUUAGAUCAUGUAUGCUCUUCUUACAAAAAGAAAACUCAAACUUUUGUUUUUGGUGCCUAAAUUUUCUUGGGUCUUUUACCGUUAGUAACCUUGGUUCUCUUGUGAACCAUAUCACUCUCCACUAUCUUGUAUUGAGAAGAUUUAUUUCCCUUUGGAACCCAUACAUUUUUGCUAACCUUGUCUCUUUGUGUAACAAUUCUUAAAGGACAAGAUGAAGUAAGGUGUCUAAAUUUAAAACAACAAAUACAUCUAGAGGAUCCAUCAUACUUCUCAUUCUCUUUAGUCAAGAAAUUUUUAAGAUGGAUUUCUUUUUGUGUGAAAUCGUAGCCUAACCCUUUUUUGUUAAAAAAUGUCCUUUGUAACUCCAACAUGUCAUUCAAUAUUUGUUGGCUAUCAUGAAAUCUAGAGAAUGUCUCAUGCAUACUUUUGUCUUUUUUUUAUCUCAUUCAUUUUAGCUUGCAUGUUAUUCACAUUGUUUUCUAAUUCAAUCCUAGUUUUAACUAGGUUCUCAUUUUCAACCUUAAGUUUUGGUGUGAUGCCUUUAUAUUUCAACAUUUUUUUCAAACUUAAACAUAAGAUCAUCAUUAGAAUCUUGCAAUUCAUCAAAGGUUUAAUCACUUUCAUCAUGAUUAUAAAAAUCAAUAUUAUGAGGAGUAGGAUGUACCUUGUAGCCAUUGUGUGCCAUGAGACAAACAUUUGUAAUCUCAUCAUCCUCUUCAUCUUAUGAAUCAUCACUAUCACUCGAAGUUGCCAUCAUUGAUUUCUUCUUGAAAUUUCUUGAAGUCUUUUUUUUAAAGGCAUUCAUGCUUGGUGUGAUUAGGCUUCUUGUAAUCAAAACAUAUUACGUAGUUUAUUAAAUACUCCACUUUAGCCACAUCCCUUUUUGUAGGUUUUCUAGCUCGAAAGUCCUUCAUGAACCUAUCAAAUUUUCUUGCUAACAUAGCCAUAUUAUCUUCAUUUUCACUCUCACUUUUAGUGUUUCUCUUAUCCUCCUCAACCAAAGAUUUAAAGGCUAAACCCUGUUACUUGAUCCCUUCUUUCUUAGUUCUUCUCUCUCAUUCUCAUGUUUAAGUGUCAUCUCAUAAGUGAGUAGGGAGGUUUCUCUAGCCUAAAAUCAUUUGGGUUUCUAGCCGUUUCUAUAGCUGUGACUUUAGAUCUCCAAGAUUUUGGUAGGCUAUAAAGGAUUUCUUUCCAAGUUGUGCAUUUGGGAAAUCCUUUCCUAAGACUUUUAGACCUCCUACAAUAUUGGUGAAUCCCUCAAACAUCUCAUUAAUAGAUUCACUCUCUUUCAUCUUAAAAAGCUCAUAGUCAUGUGUAAGCAAUCCAAUCUUGGAUUCCUAAACUUGGUUUAUUCCCUCAUAGGUAGUCCCUAGGGUGUCCUAAAUUUGUUUUGCAUUUUCACAUAUAGACACUCUGUUAAACUCACUAAUUCCUAGGGAGCAAAGGAGAGUGUUAUAUUCAUUGCAAUUGAUUUGAAUUCUUUUCUUUGUCAUUCCACUCCUUUCUAGUCUUAAUCACCAUCUUACCAUUUACCUUCUUAUAAGGAAUAUGUGGACUACAUAAAAUAACAUUCCAAACAUCUAACUCCAUAGAUUGUAUAAACAUUUACAUAUGUUUAUUCCAAUAAGGGUAGUCAGUACCUACAAAGAGAGGUGGCCUUAGAUUGAUUACCUUUCACCAAGGUCAAUUGUUGUAACCUCGAUUUUGAUGAUUUUGAGCUUUUACUAUGGGUCACUCAAGGUUGUUAGACAUGAAAAAUUAAGCCCUAGCUUUGAUACCAAUUGUUAGUAGUAUAAGCUCAAUGCAAUUAAUACUAAGAAAGGGUGAAUUGAUAUUUUAAAAUAUUCUUCAGAAAAUCAAGUAUAAGAAUCAAGUCUUUACAAUCAAAAAAAUAUUUCUUGUGUCAAAAAUAAAAUGAGUGAUUUUUUUAAGUUAAAUAUAAACAAUAAAUUACAAUGCAAAAAAGUAAAUCAAGAAACAAGAAUUUUUAUAAUGGUUCGGCUUUCUUAAAUGCCUACAUCCCCCAUCAAUAAAUGCAUGGCAUCUAUCGAUAAAUAGCAACCCAAAAGUUUCUUAAAGAACCCUGAAGCCCAUCUAUCAAUAGAUUACGUCGAUCUAUCAAUAGAUGACGUUAUUUUCAAAAAAAAUAAAAAGGUAAAAAUGCAUUUUUCACACCCCAUACUAUAAAUACGUCACAUUUUUCGAGAGUUGGCAACUCUCAGCCACAUUUUGCAAGGUAAGACUCCAUCCAAAACCCUCUUAACUCAUUUUUAAGACAAAAUCUUUGUUUUUGAUGAUUUUAAACUUGUUUAUGGGUUUUUAAGAAAAAAUGAUAUUUUAAUGCUUUAUAGUCUUUAAAGUUUAGAUUUCUAGAAUUGAAAUAUUUGUUUUAAUGCCCAGAUAUUUCUGUUGAAUGACAAAGCUCAAAGAUUUGUGGUUUUUCUAAUCAUCUAACCUCAUCUAAGGUAAGAGUAUAGCAUUUAUGGGCGUCUAGCAUGCGUUUCAACUAAAAACUGGUCUUAGUUAAAAGUGAAUAAAUUUUGAGGUCGAUGUGCCAUUCACGAGAGCAUGCUAAGAACCUAAGAUAGUGGGGGUUUGUACCACUAUUAAUUAGAAUACGGCGAACACACUCAUAGUUUAAGAUGUUAAGAUGAAUAAGGUUAUUGAGUCUAAGCUAUGAUUAAAUGAGUAUACAAAUGAUGUGUUUUACUUUGAAUGUUUAUGUUAUGAUGUAAUGUCUAAUGAUGAUGUUAUUCACAGUAGAUUGUGGUGACUUUUGGCUUGGUUAGAUAGAACCUUAGCUUAGGGAAUGAUCCUUUAAGUUAGAAGGACAUAUGGAAUGGUAAAGUGUAGGAUUUUAUCGAAAAAAUAGAGUUUUAAAAGCUUUUUAUCAAAACUUGAAGAACAUCUAUCGAUAGAUAGAAGACAGAAUAUUUCAAGAAGCAUUCUGUGCCCCAUCUAUCGAUUGAUACCUUAAUCUAUCGAUAGAUGCAAGACAGAAUUGGUUUGUUAUGCAUGAUUAAAGGUUUCUCAAAUGUAAAAGGGUUUCUAAAGGUUAUGUAAACUUGCUUUUCAUGCAUAUGUUAUUUAAAAUAUAUUUAAAUACAAUGUUUCAUGAACUAUAUAGAUUUGAUGAAAUGGUUUAUGAAUUGCAUGAGAUUUCAAGUGCAUGCUUACGAAAGAUUGUAUUCCCCUUGGCUUAUCCCCUUCCCCGUAUCCACUCACGAAGUCUUUGUGACUCACAUGUUAUUUUCCCUCACUAUUUUUGUUGCAGAUCAGUGAUAGCACUCUCUUACUAGUAGCCAAUGUCACAGAGACAUGUUUCAUUCAUUCCUCAUUGGUAGGUGUCUAGUAGCCUCUUGAUGCCUAGUGAGUCGGGUCAUGUUCUGCUGACAAGUCGGUCUUAUAUUUAUGUUUAUGGAUUACUAACAUGUUAUGUUAAGGUAGCCAAUGUUUGGACACUUUACAUUAUGAAUGUUAUGUUUAAAUGUAUAUAGUGGCUUAAGAGCCCAUAUGGACACUUGAUGGUGUUGAUACAUGUAAAUGAUAUGGUGCAUUGAGAACGUGGCAUUCUGAUGAUAUAUGAAAAGUUUGCACUUACACUGAUAUGUUAAGAAGUUCCAUAUAUGUGUAAUGUUGAGUAUGAUGGUAUGCAUAAGUUGAUAUUGUACGCCUAUAGAUGUUGCUGUAUGCUUCUGCAUUUAUGAAUGUUUAAUGAUGAAUGUUAAAAAGGCUUGCUUGGGCCUAGCAAGCUAUACCCCAUCUAGGUUCAUCAUCGAACAUGUUCCAUCACAAAAUGGGAUGUGACAACAUUGGUAUCAAAGUCAAGUUUAUAGAGUCUUAGGUUAUUUUUAGUUGUUAGUAGAAUGUUUGGAGUCGUGUAUAGGAAUCUUGUUCUUAUUUUGUAAUCAAGCACAAACCGAGAACAAGAGACCCAUAUAUAAUUCCUUGUUUAUCUACCCACUUUAUGCUUAAGAGUUAUGUUUGGAAUUAUUGUGAGUCUAUAGAGUUAAGUAUUACAGUAUAUCAUUGCUCUUGUCUAGAUGAGAUAUGUCGCUUAGGACAUGGGCUAGUUGAUAACUCUAUGAUAUAGACUCAUUUUAUCACAUUUCUGGGGCUUAAGUAGCUAAGUCUAGAGAUUUUAUUUUUGGAAUUUAAAGUAUUUUAGUCAUUUUGCAUAAUUUUGUUUAAUCCAUAUUGAUUAGUUAGUUGAAAGUAUUUUAGUUUAGUUUUAUGUUAUUUCGCUUUAAAUUAUUUUAAGUUUAGUUAUUGUUCAUUUAUUUUAUUACUUGUGUAGGAAAUUUGAUGAAAAGAACUUCGUUGAUGAAAAUCUGUGCAAGUAUGGCGAUGGCUUUAUUCGUAUAUGCUGUAUUAUUUUGAGCAUAACAUGAGCUAAAAAAGUCCAAGUAACAUGAUUUUUGAGCCAUUGGAAAGCUAAGAGAUAGAGAUACAACUUUCAUGUUUUCUAAUUUGCCCAGUUCAAAAUAGAUCAAGGUGAAAAUCACAUUGGAAGAGGCUGGAUUGUUGUAGUUCUACACAAGGCAGCACAAAGGAAUGACAACUAUGACCUUGAGUUGCUCAAGGCUACGACAUCGUGAUGCACCAACGCAUCAUACAAAAUCCAGAGAACAAAGCACCCUGGCACUGGUGGAUGGGAAAUAGCCCAUACUUGGACCCAAUAGUUGAACAUUGCGACAAUGAGGGUAGCAUCGCAGCACCACAUGGUUGAUGUUCACCAUAGUAGAGCUCAUUAGCAUGCGCCGCAACACCAGAUGAGAUUCCAAAAGUAAACUUUUGACAAGAAUUUGAAAAUUAAGGAUUUUGGAGCUUGUUUAAAGGACCUUUUUUUAGAGGUUUUCAAAGUAAGACAUCAAGCAAUUAUUCUGGAGAAAAAGAACCAAAAAAUGAAGCAAGAGAACAAGAGAAUUUGAGAGAGAAUUGAGAUCGAAAAGCUUCAAUUAUUAGUUUUCUCUCUUUACUUUUAUGUUUCUCUUAAUAUUUUUGACUUGGAUUAAUGGUUAAUUUAUUUUGGACAAUGUUUUUAUUAGACAUUAUGAGCUACACUAUUUUUCUAGGAUUGUGGUGGAUUUCAACAUGUAGAUUAAAUAUUUUUUUUCUCUUUUAUUUACUAUGAAAGGGUAUGGUUUUGUUUAUUUAAAUUUGUUCAUAAUGCUUUUUAUUGUCUAGCCAACAUUUGAAUGAUUUGUUAAUCUGAAUGAGACUUAACAGAGUAAUUUUAGAUUUGUAACACCCUUAAUUUUUGAUGUAAAUUAAGUAAACAAAUAAUGAUUUCUAAAUAUGUGAAGUCUUGAGGUACGUUGAUGAUAUGUUAUGUAUGCCAAGUGUUUAAAAGUGCACAUAUUGACACUUAGGUGAAAUUUUGAGGAAAUAUGUGAUAAAUCCCAUAGUUUGAGCUUUUGAUCUAAGUUUGAUGUUAUGUUUGUGAAAGUAUGUUUACGGGAUUAAGUUAAAUAAAUGAUUUGAGGUGUGAUAUUAACAAGGGAUGAUUUUGGGGUGUUAAACUUGGAUUUUUGGAAGUUUUAGAAGCUUAAAACUACCUACAGGAGAAAAUGUAUCGAUACAUCCCCUUAUGUAUCAAUACAUUCUUGGCAGGAAGAACAACAUAAGGUGUUUUGGAGGAAUUCUAUUGAUACAUUUAAAGAUGUAUCAAUAGAUUUGGCAAAGGAUGAACAUGUAUCAAUGCAUUUCCUUAAUGUAUCGAUACAUUUGAAGCAAAAAGCAUUCAGGACCAUGCUAUCUGAAAUUUAUCUAUACAUUGCCUCAAUGUAUAGAUACAUUCAUUUGAAAUUAGGGCAAAUGUAUUGAUACAUUUGGCAAUGUAUAGAUAUAUCACAAACAAAAGGCAAAAAGAAAAAGGGGUGUCGACCCAUUUGCACCAAGCCCUUUCUCUCAACUAUUUCUUUCCCUUUCUCUCCCUAAAAAACUCAAAACCUUAACCCCCAAAUUGAUUUUUAGACCCAUUUGAGGCUAUUUAGAGCUUAGGAAGCCAUCUUGGAGGUAAGAUUUAACGUUUUAUUGAUUAUUUUUCAAUUUAAUCAGGAAAUAACUUUAAAAUCCAAUUUUCUCCAAAUUUGGUAAUUUUCCCUUUUUCGUUUGGAUGGGAGAAUUUUGAUCUAAGACUCGUGCAAUCCAACUUCUAAGGUAUGGGUUUAGUUCAUUAAUGAAUGAUUUGAGCUUAAAUAGUUGGAUUGCUAAGAUUUGGUUAAUUGUGAAAAAGUUGACAUUUUUUUCGAAAGCCAAGAAUAAUUAAUAUUUUCAUGUUCUGAUGUGUUUGAAAGGGGAAACAGAGUUAGACCAACUUGUUGGCAAUCUAGAGGGCGAUUAAAGACUAAGGAUCGAAGCUUGGCUGGGAGUACCUCUAAUUUUUCACUGUAAGUGGGUUUAAAUAAAAUGCAUAUAAUGCAUUACGCAUGAUAGAUGCGCUGCCAUGGUAUUAGAAUGAAAUAUGUAUGCCUAGAUGAAUGAACCUAGGCUAGAGAACAACAUAUGUGUAUAUGUAUAUAUGUGAAUCGUGUGUGGCUGUGUGUCGUGAUGUGAGCCACAUGGGUGGCUUAUGCUAUGUGUGUCUAGACUAGAAUGUCUAAAGGCUAUGAUGAACCCCUAAGAGUUGAUUACCCAAGGUGAAUGAUAUGUUGAGAUGAUUUGAUUAAAUGAUGGCUUGGAGAUUUAGAGACAUUUAGAACCUAACUGAACUUAAAGACAAUUGAAGCUUGAUAAAUGUGAAUUGAGGUUCGAUAAGGAAAAUGUGAAUGAUAAAGGCAUGAUGGCCUUUUUUGUGGUUUUGUAUUUUUGUCUGAAGAAUGAAUUGUGGUUGGGUGGAGUUCCAUCCCCUUGUGACUAUAUGUGUGCUUGUAGGGAUGAUGGUAAGUAGGGACGAUGGCACUAAUCCCGCCUAUGAUUCUCGCUUGUAGUGCUUUAAUGCCAUCCAUUUAGAUUCCUCCGAGUGACGUCAAAGUCAGGAGAUUACUUCGGUCAAUGAUUUGAUUCUUCACCAGCUAGUUUGACGCUGAGCGUGAUUUGUUCUCUGCUCGUUUCUUCAGCACGUGUGUUAUUUGUUUCUCUACCGCACCUUUGCCCUGAGCGUGAUUUGAUUUUUUGUUAGUUGCUCACUAAGCGUGAUUUGACUAUGUCAAGGAGAGGACCACUCGUUGAUUCGAUUUGCAUAUGAUGUGAGAUAGCCAUAAGAGGUUUAGAUAAAUAUGAAAUGAAUAUGAUGUGAUACUUUGGCAACUAGAAUGUGCCGUGGAGAAUAAUUUGAAUAAAUUUGAUCAAUUUUGAGGUUAAGCCCAAUGAUAUGCGUGAUAAUCUUUAAAGACAUUGAGGAUGAUGACAUGCCCUCACAUUGAAAGUUUCAGGGAUAAUGAUAUGGCCUAUAUUUGGAGAUGUUUGUUGAAUUAUGAGGUUGCACCUAAAUUGCGAUAUUUAUUAUGUGAUUAUAUAUAUAUGUAUGAUUUUGUUUAUUUGCACCACUCACUGAGUAUUAUAGUACUCACCCAUUUGUAUACCAUGGACAGAUAAAUAGGCCAUAGAGCUAUGGUAAAGGUCAUCCAGCAACAAACCACUUUCGGCAUCUAAUUGGUCCCCAUCCAUUGUGUUACUCCACUGUGUCAGUCAUGAACUUCCUCUCCACACUUAAGUUAUUAUUUAUGUAGGCACGAUGUGUCAUAUGAACUUGUGUAAGGGUUGUUAUGUACGAACCUGUCUUGGAUGGCUAACAUAUAGCCCUAUAAACAUUUGUAUGAAUUACGUGACAGGGAUAAUGUAUUAUUACAUUUGGUUUUAUUGUGAAUAUUUGAUUAUUAAAUCCUUUGGCUUAUGUUAUAUGAUUUUUCAUUCUAAGGCUUGCUCGGGUCUUGUGGGCUUGCCUAUUGGGCUCCUGUGUAAAUCACUGACCCCCAAAUUUGGGUCGUGACAAGAUUAGACUAAGGUUUGAAAAAUGUAUAUUCAUGUCACUUAGGUGAUCUGAUUCACAAUUAGGGUAGACAUACGUCUAGAGGCCAUACAUAGCCAAUUUAGAACAUUAGCUUAAUGAACCUUAUUUAAUUGAUUAUUAUAAACAUAUAAUGACCCAAUUAAGUUAGCUAUUUAUGCAAGCAUCUUGAAAGAGACUUGUGUCACAACUCGAUACUCUCCUCGAGCCCGUGACAACAGUCGCGAUGUCCAGAUAGAUAUUCAUUACCCGGAAUGCCAAUCGAAAUCUCGCAAGGCUUUAAUAUCAGUUUUCUCACCUCCCUUACGAGCCACAGUUGCUAAUAUCGUAUUUUAAAAGAUUAUAAGCUAUUUCCAAACCAAAACAAUAAAAAAAUAAUUUUCGUCUCUCAGGGGUAUUUUGAUCAUUUUUAUCGAAAUUUCGAAACCAACUAAUAAUGUAGUCUGCGAGUGCAAAACAUAUAUUUCAUAAUCAAAAAUAAGUUUAGAUGUCUAAAACAUUCAUUUAAAGUGAAAUUAUAACUAUUUGAAUAUAAUAAAAAUAUUUAAUAAAAUAUUCCAUUUUCUUAUAAAACAAUUUUUAUAGAGUUAUCUGUAAGAAAUUUUUGUAGCGUAAAAGUGAACUAAAUUCAUACAUACUGUAAUACAGAUAGUCAAGAUAUGUAAUUUAAUUUACAAUGACACGUGGGCCUCUAAAUGACAAAAGUGAACGAAGGCUGUGAACUUACGAUUUUUGAGGAAGUAAAGUCAACUGUAGCCUUCGACGAUAUCAACUAUCUAUAAACUAUCCUGAGCCUGAAAUGGGUGGAAAUGAGGGUGAUGUGAUUAUAUAAUCCCAGUGAGUAAAAAAAUAUCAUCUAAAUAAUCUAAAGCCGAGUAAAUGGAGACGAUUAAAAUAGAUAAUCAUGAAAUGGUUCAUAACAUCAAAACACAUUUGAAAUCAUCUAAGCUAGAUACAUUUCAUCCAAAAUAUACAACGAGGCUUAUGAAUCUCUUAAAAACUUGGCUGAUGCCAAAACUCAUUCUCGGGGAUACCUUGGCCGAGGCAUCUAACCGAGUCCGCCAAGGUUGUUAAAAAGUCAUAUACGCAUAAAACACAUUUUUACGUUUAAAAGCACAACCGUUCCUUGGAUUUGCUAAAUUCACUCUCACGUGGCGGUUCGGCGUGAAGUGAACUCUAAACUUUACUCCAGGAGAUACCCUACGCCUCUUCAACCGAGGUAAAAAUAUAACCGAAUUUCGUGCCCCUCUAAUAGGCUAGCCCACAGAACCCGCCACUACAGUGACCAAUCUAUAACCCACCAAUUCAAUAAAUAUUCAACAGCAUGAUGUGGCAAUUAUUUUACAACAUAGCAUGUCAAGGCAAAACAACACUUCAUAUAUGUUUAGCACAAUUACCAAUCUAGCCACUCAUGCCCACAUUAUCAUAAGCCAUUCGAUUUAAAUCAUGAUUUAUAACACAACAAAUAGUCUCCAAUUACUCCAUUUUCAAAACCAUCAUUCAAUUUCAAGACAAUUUUAUAAAAUCAUUUCAUUUAAUCACAUUUUCCAUAAAAUUGAAAAAUUGGAUAAAAACAUACUUUAGAUAAUUAAGACGAUAAUAAGGUUACUCACAAUAUCGGGAGUCGAAGUACUCCUAGUCUUGAUCUUCGAGUGCAACUUCUUUACCCUUACCAGAGGAUUCACCACCUAGACAUAAUGCAUAAUCAAGCAAUUUACCACAUUGGUGCUAAACCGUUAUAAAACUAAUCUAGGCUCUAUAUGAAUGCAUGAAAUGGAAUGCGAAUUGUUCGAAUCAUCGUCUAAACACGAUGUUCUACAUAAAUUCAAUUGUGUACCUAAAUAAAACGGUAUUGGCUUAAUUCGAUCUAUCACCCGAUUAAUUGACCAAUAUGUCCAAUUUAACUCUAAAUAACUCCAUUUCUCUCCCAAUACUCCAAAUCAUUAAACACAAUUUAAAUAACUUGAAAUGUGGCAAAAUCAUCCUCACAUUUUCUCUUGAAAAAUUCGGCCAUGGUGAGUGCAUUUACAAUAUAAUUUUUCAUGCUUGAUUCUCACACCAUAAAUCAUUCAUUCCUAAUCAAAUCACUUGAACUUCAAUCAAAUUCAUCAUCAAUAUUCUACAUGGAAUAUUCGGCCAAUGAAGAAUCCAUGAAGAAUAUGUGAUUUUUCUUACUUGUUUUCCUUCCAAACAUGAUAAAUCAACUAAAAACACUAAAAUAUCUCAAAAUCUAACCAAAUAAAUCAUCAAAUCUUCUCUCUCUAAAUUUGGUCAGCUAUGAACCCUUCAUGAUAUCUUGUGAUUCAACCAUGGAAAAUGCAAAAGAAUGCAUAGGAAAGAUAGAUCACAAGCUAGAGUUAAGAAAUUUCACCUUUGAUGUCUUGAUUCCUUAAAAUCUAGUGAUUUUCCCUUGAAUUUCUUAGCUAGGGUUUUGUUCUUCUUCUUUCCUUUCCUUUUCUUCCUUUGGCCAACCAAGAGAAAUGAGUUGGGAGGGUUUAUGUGCCGAUUUCUAAAGCCAAUUAUAAAUGAAUGAAAAUUUGACACAUGUCACCAUUCCAUUAGCCCAUGUGUUAUACUUACCCAUUAAGCAAUCUCUCUCCACCAUUUAAAAUUCCUUAAUUAUCCAUAAUAAUAAUGGGUGAAAUUCAUGUGCUGGACAAGUGUUGGGUGGUGCAAAAUUCCAAUUUUGCCCUUGGGCGGCAAAAUGACUAUUUUGCCCCUUAUGCUGAAAAAAAUAUCGAAAUUAAAAUUUUUCACCUCUCAAACUCAAAUUAUGUUCUAAAUAGUCAAUCUUGGUCAAAAACUUCUUCCAACAUUCCAAUUUUAACCUCGGGUGGCAAAAUGAUCAUUUUGCCCCUACGUUAUGAAAAUUCCAUUUUGACUCCAAAUCGAUUCUCGAACUCUGAAUCACCAUAUUAAAUCAUUCUAGGAAUUUAAAAUUCUAAAUUUCAUCUUAAAAUCUUUAUUUGGUCUAGUUCGAGGCUUAAUUCAACUUAGUUGUACCAUUCAGUACACUACCAUCUUUUGACGAUUUUUUUCGAGGCUUUCCAAGUAUGCAAGCAUAUUGUCAAUCACAUGAAUGACAUGGCAAGUAUUUUAUAAGGUCAGGCUUGACAACUUGUGCAUAGGUUUGGAUUCUAGAUUAGCAAAACUACCCGAGAAUGUAAAUAUAGAGAGAAACAGAUGUCAAAUGAAGUGUUGAAUGAACCCAUAAUCCUAGGUUUUAAUCUAUUGCUUUUCUCUAGUGGAUUUUUAGUUUUCAUUAAUUAGUUUAGUUUUUUGAUUAAAUUUAGUUUUAAUUAAUUGUCUACAAAAUCGAGUUACUUGAAUAAGACUUAUUUGUCAUAAUUUUAUUAUUUAGUGAACAAUUAAAAGCAAAUCCUUGUGGGAUACGAUUUUGAACUUACUGUCUAUAUUGCUUGUUUGAUAUGUAAACUUGCGUGUACUACACAACAAGUUUUUGGCACCAUUGUCGGGGUUUAUUUUUCAUAUUUAUUUUGCUAAUAUUAAAAUUCAACAGAUUAGUCUUAAUUUGAGUUUUUCUUUCUUUAUUUUUCAAGUUUAAUCUGUCGUUGUUUGAGAAAAGCAAAAAACUUAGAGAUUGUAUCUUGUGAUCCAGUGGUUGAGAGAACAUGCCAAAGACUUCGACAAGAAAAUAAACAAGUUUGUGCUCAAACUGAUACAAUGGUUGAUCAAUAAGGUGAGUAGUAAAUCCAAGAAUGAGUAGUGGAAGAGAAUCGUUGCUUAAGAGAUUAUGUUAUUCCUUUAUUGUAAGGGAUUCCAUCAAGCAUUAUGAGGCCAACUAUUUAAGCCAACAAUUUCAUGAUUAAGCCGUCCAUCAUCAGCAUGAUCUAAACUUUAAUCCAGUUUAAGGGUCUUCCAAAUGAUGAUCUAAAUGCCCACACUUCGAACUUCUUGGAGAUAUGUGACACCUUCAAAUACAAUGAGCUCACAGAUGAUGCAAUUUGUUUGAGGCUUUUUCGUUUUUCAUUGAGGGACAAAGCUAAAGUGUGGCUGAAUGCGCUCCCUACUGGAUCCAUCAUGAGCUGGUUAACCUUGCUCAAAAGUUUCUUGCUAAGUUCUUUCCUCCUUCUAAAACAGCAAAAAUGAGGAAUGAUAUCACAUCAUACAUGCAAUUAGAUUCUGCAUUAUUGUACGAGACCUAGGAAAGAUAGAAGGAUCUACUUAAGCAUUCUCCUCAUCAGUGUCUUUUAAAAUGGCUUCAAGUGCAAAUGUUCUACAAUGGAUUAAGUGGUCAUGUUCGAACCACCAUUGAUGCUGUUGCGGGAGGAGCUCUAAUGGCAAAGUCAAUUAAUGAGGCAUACGACUUGUUAGAGGAGAUGGCAUCGAAUAAUUACCAAUGGCCAACAAAGCGAUCAAAGCAUAGGAGAGUAGCCAAAGUUCAUGACGUGGAUGCUAUUACGACAUUAUCAACACAAGUAGCAAUUCUAACUAAGAAAAUUUAUUCUUUAGGUGCUAACUCAAUUCACAGUCCUUUUAUAGUUUAUGAGUAUUGUGGAGAUGGCCAUGCUAGUAAUCAGUGUCCAAGCAGUACAAUGACAUUCAAUUUGUGGGAAUAGACAACAAAACAACCUUUACUCCAACACCUAUAAACCAGGGUGGAAAAACCAUUCAAACUUCUCUUGGGGUAACAAUCAGGGAUCAUUUUCAGUUUUAAGGCUAAACAUGCCUCCCGGAUUCUAACAAUAAGUAAGAGCUCCUAUUCUAGAAAGGAAACCAUCUAUAAAGGAAUUGUUCAUGCAGUACAUGGCCAAGAUCGAUUCCUUCAUACAUAGUCAAGCGGCUUCGAUAAGGAACCUUAAGACCCAGGUUAGUCAACUAGCCAACUCAUUAAAAAACAAAGCUCAAAGGAACUUACCUAGUGAUACAAAGGUAAAUUCGAGGAAGAAAUGUAAGGAACAUGCCAAUGCCAUUACCUUGAAAAGUGCUAAGGAAGUUGAAAGAAGCCCAAAGCAAGUUGAAUAAAAAGGCAAGAUAGUUGAGAGUGAGGCAUAGAUUGCAAGUUCUAAUGAGUUGUGUUAAAAGAAGGAGACUAAGGCAACUCUACCACCACCACCAUUUCCUCAGCACAUCAAGAAACAACUAGAAAUAAGCCAUUUCAAAAAUUUAUGGAAGUGUUUAAAAAGCUUUACAUCAACAUUUGCUUUGUUGAGGCUUUAGAGCAAAUGCCUUCAUGUGUAAAAUUUCUUAAGUAUAUCUUGUCCAAGAAAAAGUGAUUGGGUGAAUUUAAUACAAUAGUACUCACUAAAGAAUGUAAUGCAAUCAUACAAAACAAGCUUCGUCCAAAGCUUAAGGACCCUGGCAUCUUUACUAUUCCUUGUAGAAUUGGUGCAUUAUUUUUUGCCAAGGCUUUGAGUGAUUUAGGGGCAAAUAUUAAUUUAAUGCCUUUGUCUAUCUACAACAAGUUGGGUUUAGGGGAGACUAAGCUUACUACUGUGACUGUACAAUUGGCAAAGAGAACCUUCAAAUAUCCGAGAAGUAUAGUGGAAGAUGUGCUUAUAAAAGUGGAUAAAUUCAUCUUCCCAAUGGAUUUCAUAGUACUAGAUAUGGAGAAGGACAGAAAAAUUUUUAUUAUCCGUGGGAGACCUUUCUUACGCACUGCUAGAGCACUCAUCAAUGUGGAGCAAAGAAAACUUACCUUGCGAGUGCAAGAUCAAGAGGUAACACUUAACAUUUUUAGAGCUUUAAAGUUUACAAAUGAUCAUGAUGACAGUUUUGCAGCUAGUGUGGUGGAUAAGGUCACAUGUGAACUUUUCAAGGAAAGCCAUCCUACUGACCCACUUCAAGCAUCAUUGGUUGCUGAGUUUGAGAUAAGUAAUAAGGCUAUCAUAAAAUGUGUGAAUGUGUUGAAUGCUCGAUUUUGUGUCUUCAGAACACAAUUUGAGUUGUUGGAUUUCUCUUCCUCUUCAUCCUCACCAAUGAAGCCUUCUAUUGAAGAACCUCCUAAGUUGGAACUCAAACCGUUCUCAAAUCAUCUAAGGUAUGCAUACCUUAGUGACUUGUCCACUUUUCAUGUUAUUGUUUCUUCUACUCUUACUAACAAGCAGGAAAAUAAGCUAUUGAGAGUUUUGAGAGAGCACAAGAAAGCAUUGGGGUGGACAAUUACAAACAUAAAGAGGAAAAGUCCUUUGAUAUGCAUGCAUAAAAUGCUGGAGGAUGAUCACAGAGCCACUAUUGAGCAUUAGAGAAGAUUGAAUCCAAUCAUGAAAAAGGUGGUAAAGAAAGAGAUCUUCAAGUGGCUCAAUGCUGGCAUCAUUUAUCCUAUUUUGAAUAACGCAUGGGUAAGUUUGGUGCAAUACGUACCAAAGAAAGGUGGUAUGAGAAUGGUUGCAAAUGAAAACAAUGAGCUCAUUCCCAUAAAGACAAUAACCGGAUGGAGAGUUUGCAUGGACCAUCGAAAGUUCAAUAAGGCCAUAAGGAAAUAUCACUUUCCUUUACCAUUUAUUGAUCAGAUGCUGGAUAGGCUAGCUAGAAAGGAAUACUAUUGUUUCUUGGAUGGAUAUGCAGAACAUAAUCGAAUUGCAAUUGCUCCAAAGGAUCAAAAGAAAACAACCUUUACUUGUCCUUAUGGCACUUUUGCCUUUGGGAGGAUGCCAUUUGGACUUUGAGAUGCUUCAUCCAGAUUCCAACGACGCAUGAUGUCUAUUUUUUCAGAUAUGGUGGAGAAGACAUUAGAGGUAUUUAUGGAUGACUUCUCUAUUUUUGGAAGUAAUUUUGAUGAAUGUUGUUGAAUCUUGACAUGGUUCUGAAAAGAUGUGUGGACACAAACUUUGUGCUAAAUUGGGAAAAGUGCCAUUUUAUGGUACAAGAAUGCAUCAUUCUUGGUCACAAGGUUUCUAGCAAAGGCUUGAAAGGGAACAAAGUAAAGAUAGGAACAAUUGAGAAGCUUCCACCACCAACCUUGGUAAAAGGCAUUAGGAGUUUCCUUAGACACACUUGUUUUUAUCGACAAGUCAUUAAGGUUUUUUCUAAAAUUACUAAACCUUUGUUAUUGUAUGUCAUGUUGCAUUUAUAAAAUUGAAAAAGAAAUUGACAUCUACACCAUUAUUGUAGUUCUUGAUUUGUCACUCCCAUUUGAGCUUAUUUGUGAUGCUAGUGACUAUGAUGUAGGUGCAGUGUUAGGACAGAGAAAAGGUAAAGUUUUUCAUUCUAUAUAUUAUGCUUGAAAAACCUUGAUUGAAACUCGGAUGCAUUACACCACUACUAAAAAAGAAUUAUUAGCUGUUAUGUAUGCAUUUGACAAGUUUCAUUUAUACUUGAUUGGCACAAAAGUUAAUGUUUAUAUUGACCACUCUGCAAUUAAGUAUUUGAUUGCUAAGAAAGAUGCCAAGCCAAGAUUGGUAAGGUGGAUAUUGUUGCUACAAGAAUUUGAUUUGGAAAUUAAAGACAGAAAAUGUUCAAAGAAUCAAGUAGUAGACCAUCUAUCAAGGUUAGAGAAUGACAACUAAGGUAAGGACUUAACUUUGAUCAACGAAACCAUUCCUGAUGAACAACUACUAUAUGUUGGUCAACAGAAUUUGCCAUGGUAUGCUGAUUAUGUCAAUUAUAUUGUAAGUAAGCUUCUUCUUCCAAAUUUAAAUAUUAAUAAAAGGAUGAACAUUUUCAUGACAUUAGAUUUUAUGUGUGGGAUCAAUAGACCUUCUUGUACUUAAGAUGAAGGAGGAUCGAAAGGUUCUAAUGAUACUGGGACAUCCAUUCUUGGCCACUGCAGGCUCACUCAUCGAUGUAAAAGAGGGCAAAAUAACUUUCAGAGUUAGAAAUGAGGUAGUUGAAUUUACUAUCUUUAAUGCAACUUAGUACUUUUCCUCCACAACUCAUUGCUAUAGAGUGGACUUAGCCAAUAAAGGUAAAGAUCAGAUUACUCCACCACCACCACUUAAGGAAGCACCAAGCCUUCUUGCUAAACUACCACCUUCAACCUAUCUUGAUUUCGAGGUUGAGCAACAAGUCUCAUUACUUUCUAUCCCACUUCAACUUUUUUCCAUGGAAAUGUAAAUAAAAAAUGAUGGGUCCUUUCAAGAUUGCGAAGAUUUAUCGUUGUGGCAUUAUAGAGGUCGAGAGUGAAGAUACCGGUUUGUUUGAUGGUCAAUGUGUUGAGCCUCAAGCCUUAUGAAAAAAAAGGAUGAAAAGUUGAAAAUAGAGUCUAGCUAAAGACAUUAAAGAAAACGCUACUUAAGAGGCAACCCAAGUUUCUACACUUAGAUACUUUGUGCAAAUAAUUUUUUUCUUUUUUUUUUAGUUUUCUGGAAUUUUAAUUAUUGAUUAUUAAUUUUCUUUUAUGACUUUUUCUUUUAUAAAUAAAAAAAAUUUGACCACGACGCUAGUGAAUCACUCAAGUUCCAUACAGGAACUUGAGGCUAAAGCGCUGCGGUGCUACCUAAUGAGCGUUGCAGUGCCUUAUAACCUAAAAAAAAAAAUUAAGUAUAAGGCUAAGGGUCCGGAGCAACGUCACGGCAUGCUAGGUCCAGUGUCACGGCACCAUGUCGAGCCCAAGGCCAUAUAUAGACCUUCUUCUUUCCAAAUUUUUAAACCUAGGCAACCAUUUUUCACUCUUUUUCUACCCCACUUGUAAACUUUUAUUCUGUUUACACUUACCCAUUACAACAUCACUUCAAAAUACAUAUUUCCUUGCAUCAAACCUUGAGUUUAAAGGAUUUUAGAGAAUUUUUACUUUAUUAGAAGCAUUAAGGUACAAGAAAUUUUGGUAAGUGCUCUAUUUUCUUUGUCUAAUUAUUUCUUAUGUACAAAAUUAUGUUUUAAAGAUGGGUUUUUGCUUAGAAUUGAUGGGCAUAUGCUAGAUUUGGUAAUGUAGUGAAUGGGUUGAAUUUUCAUGAAGUUGGUAUUAAAUAAUACUAAAUUUUUGCACGUAGAAUGAAUUAAAAUAUUAUGAUAGGUUUAAUGUUGUUCAAGUUGUUGUGCUAUUAAGUAGUUAUUCUUGAACAUUCUAUGCUUAUUGGUUUUUAACUCUCAUGUUAUACUAAUGUCACGACCCAAAUUUCGGGCCAUGACCGGCGCAUGGGCUCAAUGGACAUAGUCCACUAAGCCCAAGCAAGCCUAUCAAAUUAUUCUACUCAUCAUACCAUCAAGUAUUGUUAAGUCACAAAUUGUAACUUUAAACCAAAGUAGUAAUAUACAUUGCCAACUCGUACUGGCAUUACUCAUUUAAAAUGUACAUACUUUGCCUACAACAUGUAUCUUAAUAAUUUACAUCAAGUUUGUCUAUACAUCUCAAAAAGAAUACUCAAUUUCUAGCGGAGGGACUCAAAUGAAUGUACCACUACUGAAUGCCGAGACACCUACCAAAAGAUGGACACAGGUCUACAAGGAUACCUUGUCCUAGUUAUCGGCUGCCUCGUGAUCUGAAAACAUGAAUUUGAAAUGGUGAGUAUAAACCUAGUGAGUGAACAAGGAAGGGAACAAGCAACAACAAAGGAAAAUUUAAAAUCAUGAUGCACUAGUUUCAAAACAAUGCAAUUUGGUUCAUUCCUAAUAAAAUCCCUUAUCGAGCCCUUAAGUGAUUAAUCAUUUGAAAAUCAUGAACCCAUACAUAGAGAAUCAUUUGAAGAAUGAAAGCUUCAAUAUUGCACAAGCAAGUCAAUUGCGAGAAUGCCUUUCCGCUGAACCGACGUUGGAAUUUAGUUAUUAACCGAACGAGGGUUUCUCAACUGGCCGAGGGUUUCUCACUAAACCUCCUCAUUUUAAACUUAACUCUUUUAAUCCUUAAUGUUGGAAGUCCAUGCUCCCAUAUGGUAGUAAAGAAGUGAAAGAUAGGGCAGCAAUUGGACAAGAUAAAAGACCAAAACAGAAGGUUUUUCGCUGCAGCGAGAUUGAAUCUCGCUGCAGCGAAAUUUCUACCCAUAAACAAAAUGUUUCUUGCUGCAGCGAGAUUCAAUCUCGCUACAGCAAAAUUGCAACCCAGAAAACAGAAAGUUUCUCACUGCAGCGAGAAUGCAUUUUGCUGCAGCGAGAAGCUACAGUGUCAUUCUCGCUGCAACGAAAAUGCAUCCUCACUACAGCGAGUUUUCAGCCAGCCUACCCUUUCAAAACCUGAGAGUUUCUCACUACAACGAGAAUGAUUCUCGCUGCAGCGAAAUACAGGGCAUCAAUGCAAAAUUUACCUUUCUCCCAAAGGAAAAACCACCCUGCCAAAAGGUCCAAACCAACAUGAAAACACAUAACAAUUUCUCAAGGUUUAACAUGUCAAGUUUCACAUGCAUUACAACCAUAACCCAUUAUCCAUCAAUUUCCUAUAACACACAUAUUUACAUAUNNNNNNNNNNNNNNNNNNNNNNNNNNNNNNNNNNNNNNNNNNNNNNNNNNNNNNNNNNNNNNNNNNNNNNNNNNNNNNNNNNNNNNNNNNNNNNNNNNNNNNNNNNNNNNNNNNNNNNNNNNNNNNNNNNNNNNNNNNNNNNNNNNNNNNNNNNNNNNNNNNNNNNNNNNNNNNNNNNNNNNNNNNNNNNNNNNNNNNNNNNNNNNNNNNNNNNNNNNNNNNNNNNNNNNNNNNNNNNNNNNNNNNNNNNNNNNNNNNNNNNNNNNNNNNNNNNNNNNNNNNNNNNNNNNNNNNNNNNNNNNNNNNNNNNNNNNNNNNNNNNNNNNNNNNNNNNNNNNNNNNNNNNNNNNNNNNNNNNNNNNNNNNNNNNNNNNNNNNNNNNNNNNNNNNNNNNNNNNNNNNNNNNNNNNNNNNNNNNNNNNNNNNNNNNNNNNNNNNNNNNNNNNNNNNNNNNNNNNNNNNNNNNNNNNNNNNNNNNNNNNNNNNNNNNNNNNNNNNNNNNNNNNNNNNNNNNNNNNNNNNNNNNNNNNNNNNNNNNNNNNNNNNNNNNNNNNNNNNNNNNNNNNNNNNNNNNNNNNNNNNNNNNNNNNNNNNNNNNNNNNNNNNNNNNNNNNNNNNNNNNNNNNNNNNNNNNNNNNNNNNNNNNNNNNNNNNNNNNNNNNNNNNNNNNNNNNNNNNNNNNNNNNNNNNNNNNNNNNNNNNNNNNNNNNNNNNNNNNNNNNNNGUCCAACUAGUGAGAGAAAGUGUGAAAACCAGAUUUUUGAAGGUUUUUAAAGUGAGAGGAUGAAAGAAUUCAAAGGUUCUAGUCAAAAGGGUUCAAAGGUGUGAAAACUAGAGCUAGAGAGAGAAAAUCACUCAAGCUUCAAAUCAAGCUUCCAUGGAGUUUUGAAGAAACGUGGGAGAGGAGAAGGGAAGAAGAAGACCAGAUGCUGGAAAUUCAAGAAGGUGUUGGAAAUUUCAAGAUAUUUAUAGGCCAACUUUUCCAUUCCCAUAAAAUUACCAAAUUACCCUUCCACCAAUUAGCUUAUUCUCCUCCAAUCUUUUAUGCAAUCUUUUGCUCUUUUAACACUAAGACAAGAUUCAUAAUGGUCUAGACAUGUUCGGGUUCAUAAAAACUUAAAAUUUUAAUUCGAGGUGAAAAUGACCAUUUUGCCCCUGUUAUGAAAAUUAUUGAAACUUCUAGUUUUCUUCAUUUUUUUUCAUCAGCACACAUCAUUUAUACUGUCUUAUGCCUAUUUAGGCCUUAAAAUAUCAUAAAACGUUCUUCUGGAAGCUUAUUAGAGAAAAUGACGAAACUACCCCUAGCCCAUAUUAUUACAUCUAUACUUAGUCACAAGCCUAUAGAAGUUGGGGUAUCACAACUAACUACUUGUGGUCGAAAGCUUCUUAUUGAUUGGGUGUGUUCCGAUAAUCACCAUGGCAUCAAAGAAAAGGGCAUGCGCUAGUGGAAGUGGAAGCAGUUUUGAUCAAAGCAAAUUUGUUUCAGUCGAAGUUGAAAAACACCACGCUUAGUCCCUGGUGCAGAAAUUCCCAAUACCAGAGCAUGGCAUUGAUGUUCGAAGAGGGCUUUAUCUUGACAUAUGCAACAUCAUUGAUGCACGGUAGUGAGGCAAAUUUUGUGCCUAACCAAAAGUAGCGACAAUGUUAAUUAUUUGUGAAUUUUAUGCCAAUGUCGUUAAAAGUGUGAAUGUGAAAGCAUUCGUUUGAUGACGUCAAGUAUCUUUCGAUGCUCACACUAUUAAUCAAUUUUACAAUGCACCUGACAUUGAGAAUGAUGAGUACAACCAAUUCAUGAAUGGUGAAGUCAAUCUGGGUGAGGUUUUAGGCUUCAUUAGCAUCUUGGGCUCAGAAUGGAAAUUGCACAAGGGUGUUCCAAUUUCUUUCAAAGCUAAUGCCAUGGACAGGGACUGCAGGGUUUGGUAUCAUUUCUUAGUUGCAAAGUUGCUUCCAAUAAAACACUUGAGUGAUGUGAUAAAAGAUAGAGCGAUCCUUUUGUACGUAAUUGUCACUGGGAAAUCUAUUGACAUUGAGUAAUUGAUCUUUAACAACAUUAUCAUGUCAGCCCCGUUCACCAUGCGACAGUUGUGGUAUCCAUCAUUGAUCACUGCCUUGUGCCGUCAAGCUAGAGUUGUUUGGUCGCCCAAUGAGAAAUUGGUACAUCCCAAAAUUCCAUUAGAUGUUGGAAUCAUUCAUCGGUUUCGCAUGCGAAAGCCAUUUACCAUUGGAGGAGGUUCCUCCGUUACAACUCAACCCCCACCACUAACCAAAAUCUUUCCAUGCCUCAGUGAUUAGAACAACUUGAGCGUCAUAUGAACCAUCAAGCAACGUUUUUUAGAGCCAUUGAAAAGGUGAUAAGGGCAUAUGCCCAACAUGUUAGCAUGGACAUAGCUACUUUCUCGACGUUGCUAGCUGACCCGACCCUAGAUGACCGUGCUGAUGAUAAGGUGGUGGAUGAUACAUGACAUUGGUAUGCAAGUUUAGGGGAGUAUUCUCUUUCUUUACUUUUAUUAACAUAAGGGAUAAUGUUAACUUUAAGUUUGGGGGGAACUUAAAAUUUAUUUUUAGUAGUUUGCACUUAUGUAUUUGAAGUUUGAGUUAGUUGUGUAGCAAGUUAGUUAGGAACGUGUUGAAAUAUUAAGCUAGAGUUUGUGCACCAAUAAAAAUUGAUUUAUCUAUCCAAUGAUAAAAACUAAUUGCCUUAUUAUUCUUUUCACUUUUAGAAAGCAUGAAUAUUGUUACAAGAUUUUGUGGAAUUCUUGUGCAUAGCAUCAUUUUAGAAUGUGAUUUCCAUAUUUGAGCACCGUGUUUCUUACACUAUUUUAUGAUGUACAUUUAGAAAAUGAUUAUGUGAGUGUGAAUCUUUAAACUAUGUUUAGAAUUUUAGAAUUUCUUUUAUCCUUUCUUGAGGUGAAAUUGUAGGUUACACUUAGCUAGGAAAUGACUAAGGCCAGCUUUGGAUCGAUUGAGCUUUUCAAGCUAACCUAGUCAGAUUUUAUCCCUAGUAUACCCCUUUGAGCCUAGAUUUAUCUUUUUCUUUGUCAACCAUAAAUAUAUUAGCUUAGCUUGUAAAUAAUUUUCCAAAUCCACUACCUUCACUCCUAAGCAUGUACAUGGUUUUAGGAAUUAUGUAUGGGCUAAAUGAUGAAAAGGUGGAAAUGAUGAGUUGAGAAAAAUUUCAAAUUCGAUCUGAAGUAUUCAUUCUACUAUUAUUGAAAGAAACAAGUUUGGUGGGUGUUGAAUUGAGAAUAAAAAAAAUAAAUGCUUGAUGAAUGAAAAGUGAAAAAAAAAAAGGAAAAAGGUGUACUUGGUGAAGAAAGAUAAGGCCAAUUAGGUCGUAGAAUAAUUAUAUGAUUACGGUGAUUUAAGCCUUAAUAUAUCCUAUAUCAUACCUUAACCCUAGCCAUACAUUAUAAGCUGAAUAAAGUCCGAAGAAUCCAUAGCCAAGUGAUGGCCUACAUUAGUGGAGAGGGAGGUGAAAAAUGAACAUAUGAAAUUCUAAGCUCGUUGAGAUUUGCAUGAACAUAAACUUAUCCGAAGUGCAUGAUGUUCAUUGUAAGAAACUGCACACACACACGAAAAUUCAUUCAAACAAUAAGCAAGCACUUGGAAGAAAUAUGAACUUAGAUAGUAUCCAUGUUUUUUUUGGAGUUUGGAAGAUAAGGUAAUUUAUGAGGAAAUUAAAGGUGAUCAAUGAAGUGGUGCAUUCUCAUAAUUGAUGUUUUCAACUUUGUUGUUUCAUUUUAGUUAUUGGUCAAGGACUAGAAAAAUAAUAAGUUUGGGGGUGUGAUAACUCUAUGGUGUAGAGUUAUUUAGUCAUAUUUUGGAUGCUAAAUUAGCUAAGUCCUUAUGAAUUUUAGUUAGUUUGAGUUAGUUUUUAUGCAUUUUGUUAUUUAGUUUAAGAUAUGUUGAUUUAGUUAAAUUUACAUAAUUUCAGUUCAAUUCAUGUUGAAAUUCUCAAUUUAAGCCAAUACUGAUUUAGUCCUUGUUUUGGUAGGUGUUCAAGUGCAUAAAAGUGCAUUAAUUUAAACGGUGAUGAACUAUGCAAAGAAUACUAAAUGCAGAUUUCCACUAAAUAUAUUGUGGUAAUUUGGACAUAACUUGAGCUACAUAAAUUCAAUCAAUGUGAUUCUUAGACCAUAGGAAAGCUAAGAGGCAGACCUACAACUUUUAUAUUUACCACUCUACUUAGAUCAUCCUUGAGGUAGGAGAAAAUCACAUUGCAAGAUGAGUUACUAAAGCAGUUUCUACACCAAGGUUCUACAAGGAGUAGCGCCAUGGCCUUAAAGAACUCAAGGCCGUAACCCCCAAGGGAGAAUCAAUGUUUCCAUACAAAAACCCAAGGGCUCGGUACCAUAGUGGCCAAAGAAGUGGGCAGCGGUGCCGAUUGAAAGACACUGAAAAAAUAUACUAGGUUGGAGCGUCGUGGCACUUUGAUGUGGAUUAAGUGAUUUCAGCCAAUCAGGGAAUUGAAUUUUUAGGGCUUUUUGGAGGCUAUAAAUAUGUGAUUUUCAGUAGCUGAAAGAGGGAAGACAGAAAAUGAACAAACGAUAGUUUUUGAGAGAAAUGAAAAAGGCUCUCCAACAAGAGAAAUAAAAAGAAAUCGAAGAUCAAGAAUCGAAAGAGGCUUUGUUAUUCUUUAUAGUUUUUCAUUUCUUUCUUGUUUUUUUUUUGCUAUGGAAAUGAUCUUUUCUUUUGAAAUGGUUAUGUUUGUUGUAAAAAUGAUGAUGAACUAAAUUCUUUUUCUAGGAUUAUGGUUUAUUUGAAUAAGUAGUUUGGUAUUAUGAUCUCUUCUAGUUUAGUAUUAUUAGGUGUUGCAUGGUUUAUUCAAUCUAAUGCUUAUUGCUUUUCACUACUUGAUCACUGAUUGAAAUGUAUUGGGUCUCUAAAUGUAACUCAAUGGAAGGGGUUUAAAAUAAACCAUUGUUUUGAAUAGCCUAUGUUUAAUUCACUUCGGAGUUAGGUGAUACUUAUGUAUUCAAAAUAGACAUAUACCUAAAUGCCUUUGGCAACCAAAUUAGAGCACGAAUAUAAUGAACCUUUUCUAAUUAAUUUACAUAGACAUAUGGCAUUAUUUUUAAAAGUAUGUGUGCAUGAUCUCGACAGAGACUUGUACAUAAAAUGGAUUCUAAGUUAACUGUGUACCCCAUUAAUCUAAGUUAAGGAGAAUGAUUAAAUCCAAAUGAAAUAUUGAGAAACGCCAUAAUCCUUGACUUUUGAAUUAAUAUUUUUCUUAGUGAAAUUCUAUUCUUCUUUAUUUACUUUGUUUUAAUAAUUACUUUAAGCUUAAUCAAUUAUUCAAAAUUGAGUGCUUGCAUAGGAUAAAUUUUGUUAUAAAUUUAAUACUUAGUAAGAAUAGGUGAAAAUCUCUAUGAAAAUGAUACUCAACUCACCUUUAUACUACUUAUACCACCACAUGCACUUGCAUGUAUUAAAUCGACAACACAUCUUGAUAAUUUUGCAUGUAAUAACACAACCCUCCUGUAAAACUUGCCAGCAAUAUUAUUCACUUUCCAAUGGCAUUUCCAUCUAUAUCACCUUUCAUCAAAGCAUCAACAACUCCUUGGAACACUUCAGUUCUAUAUUUUUUUCUAAUUUUUUAAAUUAUAAUAUAAUCUAAUACCUUCAACAGUGGUGAAUGCAUCAGUUAUAUAUUUGUGAAAUAACUUCCCACCCAUGAACAAUGUCAAUCCUUGACUCAAGCAAAACAUAAGCAUAUACACGUAGAACUUUCUAACAGUGAUUGUGCCUCGUUUUGUCUGAGUUGUGUGAUCUUUCUUAUAUGGAACACCAAGACCAAAUUCCUCAUAAGGAAAUAGUAGUAGAUACUGUAUAAAUAUAAAUGAUGGAUGCAAAUCAUUUAUCCUUCACAAAUUAUGCCAUCUAUGUUCCAAAAUGAUAUCACAUUUGUCAACCAAUUAAUCCAUAUAACCCACAAUUAAGGUAGCUAUUUCUGAAGACACAAGAUUCAUAUAUUGCAGACCAUCAUUUCUUCAUCUUUCAAUAAAUUUUAAUCUAAUCAGUAGGUAAUCAGACUCUUGAAAUCUCUCUUUAGCCAUUCGAAAAGUCUUGACAAUCUCAUUAGUUUCGUCAAACAUCUUCAUUAAUUGUUCCGCAAUAUUUGCAUCCAUAGUCAAUUGAUUCAGGUCACAUCCUAAUGCAACAACUAUGUUAGACAUUUCAUUCUCGGUGUCAUAUAUGUAGAGUAGAGCAAAUUUUGUUUUGUAACCAUCAACAGCUAAUAAAAAACCUAUCUUAUGAUGGUUUUACCUGCUUACCUUAAAGACUUAUGUCCUGGUUUCUAUUGAUUUCAUUAUCUAUUUUACCACUUAUAGAGAUGAAUUGAAACAUUAAGUUAUAAACUCAUCUGUUAUCUCUAAAUUUCAAAGCAGUUUGACCACCUCUAAAUCAAGUAAUGCAACCAAUAAUGGGGUUGGUUGUUUGGAAGGCGGUAAAAAAACAUUUUACCUUUUAAACAACACAUAGUGAAUCUCGACUAUUGUUGAUUCCUAUUCUUAUUUUUUCUCUCUUCAUACAACAUCUGCACACCACAAAAGAAACAUGUGUAUUUUGGGCCACCAAAAUCUAGAGGUAAAAAAGAUGGAUCUAUAAAUGGAAUGUAUAGAAUAGUUAGAAACCUUAGGAGGAAAAGCAACAAUUCUAUAUGUAAGAAAGACGUUCAUGGGGAAGCUAACCUUGAUGAAAAUGUUCUGGAUUUGAAUUCUUAGCAUGAAAAUUCAUAGUGCUAUCAUUGUUGAACUCAGUAGUUGUUCUACUAUGAAUAGAUUGUUGAUUAAUUGAUGAUGCAUUGUUUUCAUCAGCAAAAGGAUAAACUAUGGAAGGAUCAUCUAAAACGAUAGAACUGCACCCUGGAAUAUUAUUGUCACAAUGUUGACACUUAACAUCAAUAGAAACAGUUUUUUGCCUUCGAGAAUGCGGACAGUCAUAUUCAAAGUUUUGAAUGUCAUAUGACAAAUCAAUGCCACCAUAACUAAGUCUUUGUUUAGAAUUUGUAAUCAUACCAGGUAUAUUUCAAUAUAGCUUAUGCUUGCUGAUGAACAAUGAUUUUCAUAUAGACGUGGGUUCAUGAACCAUGAAUUAUGAAAAUUUGAAGAAAUAAAAACAUUGGCCAAAUGUUCAGACACGGUGUGCAAUUCACCAUUAAAGCCAACCAUAAAGGGCAAGAAAACAUCGAAAUGACAUACAACAAAAGCAUAGCAAUGAAAGCGAAAUUUAUUGUAUUCCAUUUUGUAACCUUCGAUUUUUUCUAUUCUUAAACAUAUGAAAAAAUGAAACACAUAUAGUUGUCUAAAAAUAAAAACAUCAAAUGCAUCUAAAAGAAACCUCACCCGCUAUUAUUAAAACAAACAGCAUGUCAAAGAAUAAGAAACAGAUUUAAUGCUUAAGAAGAAAAUAUCACUAAUUUUUCAACAUAAUGGUAUAAUCAAGAACGAAGAAAGAAAAUGAAAGAAAUAUAUGUCAAGCCAAAGAAAAAAAAGGUAAAAUAAUCCUGACCCUUAUUUAUGCAUAUAAUGGUCUAAAAUUUUAAAAGUAAUUACCUUUAAAAGUAGAAUGAUGAAUAGUCAAUCAAGUAGAAUAUAGUUCACUAUGGAUUUAUUGAAGAAUACAACAAUCAUUAGCAUUGUAUAACCACUACAUGAAAGCAAACAAAACAAAAAGUAUGAAGAAGACAAAUCACAAAAAUUCAAUAACCAAAAAUUCAAUGAAACUGAAUAUAUCACUCUAACUAUAGCCGUAAAUCAUACGAUUUCUCAUAUGACAAACUACAAAAAUUGGAUAACCAAAAACUCAAUCAAACCAAAUAUAGGAAAAAUGUGUUCAUAGCCAAUGAAUAACAAAACAUUAAUGUUAAACGUGAAGGUGAUAGGUAGAGCUAAAUUAUAAGUUAUAAUGCAGCAAAUUGUUACGGGUACCUAAAUACACUCUUUUUGAAAGCAAUUUGUCAACUUCUUAUGCUUGCUUGCAAGCUAAAUCUUUAGUAUAAGCAACCACAACUUCAAGUAAUGGAUUGUACUUGGUGUUUUAGCAGUAAGUAAUCAAUAUUUGUUGGACAAAAUAAACAUAGACAGCAUGGACAUGUUUUUCUUCAUACCUAUUUAACCUUUUCAAAAAAAAUUCUUACAAGCUCCUCAAAAGUAAUCUGUUUUGUCUUAAUGAGUUCUCCUACUUCAAGAACUUGGUAAAAUCCAGAGAAUGUCAUAUAUAAAAUUAAAUCAUAGCUAGUGAUUUUUUUUGUAUAAGUGGCCUACCACAGCCCACCAACAAAAGGUUUUCUUCUUAAGUAUCAUUACAUAAUCAAAACGUGGAAACUUUGCUUAGGCUCUUAGUUUCCAAAUUUUAGGAGAAAUAUCCAAUCCAAGAUUAAUUAAUUAAAGUAAAAAAUAACUCAUGCAAUUAUAUCAUUAACAUGUAUUUCUAUUAAAAUGAUGACAUUUAUAUGCCGUUGACAGUUUGAACCUUACAUCCAUAAAAUCUAAUAGUUGACCCAACAAUCAACCAAAAUAAGUCAACAAUGAAGCAUUAAUCAUCAUAAAUGCCAUUCAGGAUGAAUUUGCCCAACACUUGCACUACAAUCUUCAUAGCCAAUAAUUUUCAGCACAUCAUAUCUAAGUAUUUAUGUUUCUACUAACUACUAAAAAGUAUAAAAAUAUGGUAGAAAUGAAGAUGAUCUUAUUGACUUUCCUUAUUUAAUAAAAAAACUAUAGUAAAUCAACAAGAAGAAAAGAAAUAAAUGUAUUUCAAGUGUAAUAUCAAACAACACAACAAUUCUUAGCCAUGCAUAAUCAUUGCAUCAAAACAAAUGAAACAAAAAUAAUAAGAAGAUGAAUCAUAGAAAUUCAAUAACAAAAAUUCAAAAAAAAAAUUAUUCUUUUUUGUAGGAGCAUCAACUAACUAACACUCAUGAAGGCAAUAUCUUUUUCACUCUUAGGUUUUCGAAUGCUCAAAGUCAACGGAUAAUUAAAUCUAUUGGGCUCACUGUUUUAUUCAAAUAUCAAGGUUAUUAAUUGACAAAUCGAUGUUACUAUAACAAACACCAACAAUACCUCGUGCAUCAUCAUAAUAAGCAUUUAAAUAACAUAAACUAUUAAUCAUGCCUCAAAAUGCAAACCAAAGGCUUAAAGUCAACUAGUUAGUGUGUUAGUAUCAGAGUGUAGGGCUAAAAUGCGAUGCAAAUGUAUAAGUUUUGGGUCAAUGAGGAAUACAUGAUAUAUUUAUGCAAAGCAUUGGAUUAUAAGAAAUAGGUUAUGCAAACAUGAAAUACAAAAAUGGUGUCAAAAGUAAUUAUAUUUUAAUCUUUGCAGGUUCUAUAUCAAUAUUUAUGUUGUUUAAAUUGUAAUCAAUUGCUUGUUUUGGGGCAUGGGAAAGUAUUAGUUAAACUUUCCUUUGAUUGUGCAAUAGAAAUCGAAGCAUUGGCUUAACUUUUUCUAUUUCUUUACCUCUACUAAUGAGAUAUUCAACUUUGAAAUAAAUGCAAAAAAGAUAAUGUUUCUUUAUCUUACUUCUUUUCUCUGAACCUUAAAGUUGCAUGUUUAUUACAUUUUCUUAAUUUAUACAAUUUUUUUUUAGCAUCUUUGGACGCUACAAAGCAGACAAGACAUGCAAUCAAAGAUGAUUGGCAUAAGGAGGUCUAUCAAAAGGUAAACAGCAAACUAUCUUGACUACUCUUAUUGUAGAUUAAAUACACUUAUUGACUUGUUUCCAACACAGUUUUAAGAUAUCUAAAUGAUUACUAAUUUAGGGUAAAAAAAUGGCUAGAAUGCAUUACUAAAUUACAAACAUCAUAUCAAAGAUUAUCUAAGGUGUGUGUUAUUGGAUUGUAGCAAGAAGAUGGAUCUAGUUGUCUUAUGGGAAAGACAUCAGAGAUGGAAUAGAUUUUCUCUUUUCUUUUUUUUUUUUUUUGCUUACACUAGUUAUUAUAAUCUAUGAUAAUUGAUGUAUGAGGAUGAUACCAUCAAGUAGGCCAAAAGGCUCUUGCAUGCUUAUCCUAAUAAUAAUCAAUUUCAUACCUCUAUUCGUGAAGUUCGUUUGAAGUAUUAUAUGUAUAUUAUUAAGACUAUUAGAUGCAAAACAUUAUGUGUUAUUGUUUUACUUUGCAAAUUAAAGCAAUGAAAGAGAAGUACUUACCUGUAUUAAAUGGGAUGCACCAAAAAAUUAUCGUUAUACCACAGCAGGUCAGUUUAUUUCUUUAUAUAAUUUUGUAUCUUCAUUACUUCACCUUAAUAAAAGAGUUUGAAAACCCAUCUGAACCAUAAUUCGCCUCUCGAAAUCCCUAAAAAAUCAUAAAAAAGCUCGAAUUCGUUUCUCAGAAAUCAAACAGAAACUACUCGCUUUUUGGGUAACACUUGAGCAUUUAACUACCCAAAAAAGUAAAAUAAAAAAGUGAAAACACUACAUAUGAACACCCAAAUGCCUAAAAAUUUCAAAAGAUAAUGAGUAGUGAAUCAAAAUUCCUUUUCUUUUUUCAUACAUUUCCCCAGAAACCAAAAAUAGGAUAGGAAAACAAAACCGAAUUAAAUAGUGAAACUGAUGAAGCUGUAGCUACCAAUUAGUCGAUCCACCUUAAAUGAGUCAAGGCUGGUAAUGAGACUCACUCUAUAGAGUCGAUUUAACCAAGUUCAACGCCCAAAUGAUAGAUAAAAAUUGAAAGGCAAGUGACGAACAAAAAGAAUAGAAAACAAAAAGAAAAGAUAUGAGAAAAUCCCAAAAUAUCCUUCUAAAAACACUAAAAGACAAACACAAGUGUCAAACCAAAGAAAAGUCUGUACAUCAUAUUCAUUAUAUUAAGAUAUGUGAGCACAAUGAUAAAAAUAUGUAAGAGGAAAUUGUGAGAAAAGGAUUUCAUGAUAAGGUGAUUUCAGAAAUAACCAUCAAUAUAAAGUUAUCUAUUUCUAGCCAAAAAUAAGCAUGAGUAGACCAAAAUGCCUUUAAAAACAUCAUUUCAAAUAAAUGCUUAGUUGUUUGAGCUAUCUGCCUCCCGCCAGAGAGAAAAUAGAAAAAAAUAAAAAUAAAUGCGUGCAACUGUUUGGGCUCGGUCAUCUUUCUCUCUCAACUCUCUGAGCUGUCUCCACUCUAGCAAGUCUCUAUUGAGCACCAUCUUUGUCAGCUCUCUUAGAUCUCUGAAUUGUAUGAGCUCUAUCAACUCUCUGUUGAGCACCAUCGUCAUUGGGCUGUGGUCUAUCUCUUGGCAUCUAGCCACAUUGUCGUCGAUUAACAAACCCUAUAGCAGAGAUGACAUCAAGGUACCUAUUGUUGUGUUUAUUUAUGUAAUACACUUAAAUUUUUGAAACAUUUGGUGUAAAUUAGAAGAUGGAUUAGAAACAUUACCCGAAGUUGUUACACGCCAUGCAUCUAUAACAUGUGUUAAGAGUUAUUUUAGCGUGUUACGGUUGUUCCUGGCGUGUUGUGGGUUAACUAGUUUUUUUGGUUGUUAGCGUGUCACAGCUGGUCCUGGCGUGUCAUGGGUUAACUGAAUUUAUGGGUUUUUGGCAUGUCACGACGUUCUUGGCUUGUCGUGGGUUAACUGGUUUUUUGGGUUUUUAGCUUGUCACGGCUGUUGGUGUAACGAGUCAGUAUUUACAGUUAUUGGCAUGUCCCGACAGUGAUGCAUGGCAUGUCACAACAUUUUACGUUAUAUGCAUGGCGUGUAACAACAUGACUGACAAAUUUUUAAUCACGGCAUGUAUUAUGUAAAAUGAUUAACAAUAUUUUUUUUUCAAAAUUUCAGUGGGGUUUCAAUUGUGCGACUUGUGAUAAGACACGAUGGUCAGUGGGUGGAUGGCAUUUAUAGGGGUGGUGAGUCACGAAUGCGGGGGGUUAGGAGUGAUUUGUCGUUUGUGGGCUUGAUGAAGCUGGUGGAAAAUGUUGUUGGGGUAAACUCAAAAAUUGACGAGAUUGAGUUACAUGCAUUGAUCAGUACACCCGGAGAGCUAUCACGGCCAAUUAUCAAGGACGAUGAGGAUGUUGCAUUAAUUUUGCUAGAAUAGAGGAAUGUUCCGACUGUGUAUGUCAGCAUUAAGGGAUGCCAAACAAAUGUUAUGUCACAUGAAGAAGUUGGACAACAUGGUAAUCAGCUCAAUCAAAAUGAGAUUUAUAAUGCUUCACAUAUACCAGAGCAUUUGGUCCGUAACCCACAACAAUGGCAAUUGAAGUAUGCACAAUAGUUUGUGCAGCCCGGUAGACAAAGACAUUCGCAGAACAGUUGGCUGCACAAUUUCAAUCAGGAUGUGCAUCAAACUGAUUUCUUGCUUCUCUUAAACAAAUGCAACGAUUGGGUGAAACUGUAGAGUGUGUAAUGCCAUUGUCAAAUGAGAAUACGACAGUUGAGGACAACAAUGUGAUGUGUGGAGGGUGACAUUGCGAUGCUGGAGGAUAAUAUUGCAUUUGAUGAAGGAAAUGAGGAUUUGUUCACUACAGGUGAAGAUAGAUUUGAUGACACUUCAGAUGAUGGGCUUGAACAAUCACAAGAUGAUAGUUCAGACGAUGACCGCCUUUAUGACAGUGGCAUUCCAAUUUGCAAUAAUGUUGAAGGCAAAACGGAACCUGUUGAAGGUGUUGAUGUAGGAGAUGUUCAGUGUGAUGACCCCAUAUACAAUAACCCCAUCGUUGGUGAGAAUGGGAUUCAUUCCCUUGAUACAUUGCUCGAUGACAGUGAUCAGGAAAGGGGAAAUGCAGGGAUAUCUCGUACGUGGCUAAUUGCAGGUGCAGAAAGGUUCUUAUUGCAAACAAUUACCACUAAGGAGUCAACAUGUGCUGAAGAUCGCUUAUACAAAGGAAGAAUGUUUUCGUCGAAGGCCGAGUUGAAACGAGUUUUGAACAUGUUGGUUAUAAAAAAGAAGUUUGCGAUAAGAGUAAAAAGGUCAUGUAAAGCUCGUUAUGAGGUUGGUUGCAAGGACAAGGCAUGCAAGUUCAGUGUUCUUGCAACGAAGUUACCUGAUAGAGGAGAAUAUUGGCAAGUUCAGACAUUCCACAAAGUACACACCUGUACCGUUGAUGGUUUGCAAGGGUAGUUUCCAACUACGAGUGCGAAGAUGAUUGGUGAACUUAUGUCACAUAAGCUUUGUGUUAAUGGAGUAGCAUUGAGACCUAAGGACAUAAUUUGUGAGAUGAGGGUUCAGUGAGGAUUGGAAUGCUUGUAUGGUAAGGCUUGGCAAGCGAAAGAGUAUGCGAAGAGGCUUGUUUUUGGUCCACCGGAGGAGUCAUUUCAACUACUACCAUCGUAUUUUUAUAUGUUGGAACAAGAAAAUCCUGGCACAGUGAUUGUAGUGGCUACUGAUGAGGAAGAGAGAUUCAAAUAUUGUUUUUGGUCAUACAGGGCUUGUAUUCAGGGGUUUAUGGAUGUAAUGCGUCCUAGGUUGCAAUUGAUGCUACACAUCUGAAAGGCAGGUUCAAAGGUGCUUUGUUUGUCACUGUAUGCAAAGAUGCGAACGAGUGCGUAUAUCCAGUUGCAUUUGGCAUCAGCCAUGUUGAGGACGAAGACUCGUGGACGUGGUUUCUUAGCAAGCUGCGUGAUGCGGUUGGUUGUCCUGAAAACACUAUGUUCAUAUCUUAUCAGUAUUUCGGCAUUAAGAAAGUAAUCCAAAAUGCAUACCCAGAAGCGCACCAUGGUUUAUGCGGUUACCACUUGAAAAAAAACUUUAAAAACAAGUUCAAGUGCGACGAUGUUUGUAUGCUUUUCACCCUUGCUCGAGAUUGCUAUAGGUGGUCGAUUUCAACAGACAUAUGAACCAAAUACAGCAGAUUCACCCGGGAGCCCACGCGGACCUUAUGAGAAUAAGGCCUGAGAAAUGGGCACGUGCAUGUUCACCGGCAAGGCGAUACUAAAUGAUGACAUCCAACAUUACGGAAUGUAUUAACUCAUGCUUGAAGCAUGCAAGACAAAUGCCGAUCACUGUUUUGAUCGAGUUCAUCAAAGACAUGUUCCAGCGUUGGUUCCAUGAACGGUACUAGGAGGCCGUCAAGGUGACCACACCCCUCAGCCCUUGGGUUGCCAGGUAGCUGAGCAAAAGGUUCAAUGAUGCACAUCGCUUUCUAGUUAAGCCUAUCAAUCGAGUGAAGUUCGAAGUUAAAGAUGGGAAGAUGGACGAACUUGUAAACUUGUCCAGGAAUAUGUGUUCAUGUUGUGUGUUCCAAAUAGAUUUACUGCCACGCAGCCAUGCCAUUACAGCAAUAAGGUCAGAAUAUCUUUAUUUCUUAUUUGAACCGUAAUUGACAUAGCAUUUACAUUGUGCUUGAAGAUUGAGCUUAUUAUGUUUUUCAGUAAAUGCAAUCGUUAAGCCAUUGAAUUCUGCGCUGACUACUACAAGACAACCGCUUUGGUGGAGGGUUAUUCAGGAUCUAUUAGGCCGGUAGCACAUCCUAGUGAGUGGGACAUCUCCCCUCAUGUGAAACAAAUUGUCAUCUUGCCCCCACCUUGGCAAGGCUAAGCGGGAAGACCUAGGAGGAGAAAGAUUCCAUCAGCUGGUGAAGGUAGUCGAGCACGGAGAUGUUCGCAAUGUAAGAGGUACGGGCAUAAUAGACAGAACUGCCCAUCUCCAUUUGCAGUUCAAUCCACAAAUCCGGCACCAUCUCCAAGUCAAUCGGUGCCUCCACGACUAUGUUAACCCAAAGCAUGUUCAAGUUGCAGACAAACCAAUCACACACGUAACAACUGUCCAAUACGAAAGACAAUGUCUAAAAAUGUAGGGUGUGUUGUGGAUAAAGAUAGCUUGUUCGCCUAACUAAAUGUGUCUGAAAAUUGUAGUUAAUUUCGUUUUUCUUUACGGAUUUGUUUGCUCGGUCAUUCUAUGAGCCACUUUUAGUUACGGACUUUGUUGCCAAACAUUUCAGGCAAAUAAGCAUGUCAAGGCCUCUGUCUGAUCAAGAUCGUGUUAAAGUACAUUAUUACAUUGUUUGUAAGAAUGUUUUCGAUUACAAUCUCCAUCAAACAGGAGCGUUGACAGGCUUAUCUGCCUGAAAUGUUUGGCAACAAAGUCCGUAACUAAAAGUGGCUCAUAGAAUGACCGAGCAGACAAAUCCGUAAAGCAAAACGCAAUCAACUACAAUUUUCAGACACAUUAAGUACAAAUGGCUACACAAAUCUUAUGAGGGAACAACAAGCAUGGAAUGGCUACCAAUAUUAAGAGAUAAAGUCCCUAUACUGUUACCCCAUUUGUCACAUUUUAUUACCACUUGUAUCAAAUAAUUAAUGAUUUGAUUUAAUUCCUUUCUAUUUCAUUUGAUAAACUGUUUAUAUUCUUACUGCAAGUCUUGUGGUGACACGUUGAGUGCAUGCAGACUUUGCAUCUCAUGUAGACUAACCUGAUAUUUUAAUUUGGGGGUUUUUGGCUCUCAUAUGCUUAUCCAUACUCAAUAUUAAAACCCACUGUAAGUGGUGGCAGUUGCAUUACAUCACAAAGACUCUCGAAGAGAUAUGGGAGUAUAAUGCAGUGAAGCCUACGUGCUUCAGGAUGCUCCUGGAUGUCUAUCCAUAAGCUUUGUCUAUCAAACUUUGACCUUGCUUACACGGUUGAGUUGAUUGUAGCCCAGUACAGUUUUCCUAGUACCCCAAGGGAAGCAUACAUGGGUUUGUCAUCCCUCUGCAUGAAGUUUGGAAACUCCCUUGGUUUCAGGGAUCGAGCCAUCUCAGCUGGUGCUGCUGUCUUUACAAAAUCAACAGCCAUAGAGUGAAGAGUUGCCAAUUCUAGGCUUGAUCGAGACGUCGAAUCAUGGACCUAGAAUUGGCAACUCUUCACUCUAUGGCUGUUGAUUUUGCAAAGACAGCAACACCAGCUGAGAUGGCUCGGUCCCUGAAACCAAGGGAGUUUCCAGACUUCAUGCAGAGGGAUGACAAACCCAUGUAUGCUUCCCUUGGGGUACUAGGAAAACUGUACCAUGCUACAAUCAACUCAACUGUGCAAGCAAGGUCAAAGUUUGAUAGACCAAGCUUGUGGAUUGACCUCAAGGAGCAUCCCGAAAAUGUACGCUUCACUACAUGAACUCCCCCGUCUCUUGGAGAGGCAAAAUAUCAAGAUCCUCAUUUUGUAUGCGUUGGAUUUGCAAAACAUGGCAUAGAUGCACCAAUGAGUUAAGCCAUCAUGUGCAACAAGGUAUACAAAAGAAAUAAAUAAGGAAUAAAUAUGAGACACUCCAUGCAAAACAAGUAAAAUGUUGUGACACGUCGUGUAUAUGAAGUAAAAUAUUCUAACACGUCAUGCAUAAAAAGUAAAUUGUUUUGACACGCCAUGCAUAACAAGUUAAACGUUGUGACACGCCAUGCAUAACAAUUAAAUUGUUCUGACCCGUCAUGAAUAACAAGUAAAUUGUUCUGACCCGCCAUGCAUAACAAGUUAAACGUUGUAACACGUCAUGCAUAACAAUUAAAUUUAUAAGUCUUGGAGAUUUCUGGUGUGACACGGCACGGCCCAAUUGUUCUGACACGCUGAGUGAAAGCAGAUUUAUUGACUGACACGCUGAGUGAUAGUGGAAUUACGAUGUCACACGCUGACUUCUUGCAGAUUUAUGGGGUCACAGGCUGAGUGCAAGCAGAUAUAUGUGGGGACACGCUGAGUGGUAUCAUGUUUAUGGUGUCACACGCUGACUUCUUGCGACUGUGUAUCAAAUUAAAUAUAUUGUAUAUAGAAAAGGAAAAAAAUUCUUGGUAUCAAAUUAAUUGUAUAUAGGCAAAAAAUUGUGUAUAAAAUAAUUGUAUAAAGUAUAUUGUGUAUACAGAAAGAAUUAAUUAUGUUUACAAUGAAUUGUAUAAAAUAAAUUGUGUAUACAAAAAAUUUAUGUAUAAAAUUAAUUGUAUAAAAAAAAUUCUGUACACAAAAAAAUUAUACAAACAAGGGCCGAUAUGUUCAGAGUUCGCUCUCACAACUGUUGAAAAAAAUUUCUAGAGCAUAUUGCCGAUGCAUUUUUGUAAUCAUAUUCUACUUAAUUUUGAUCUUUUCUGAUUGCAAAAUAUGGUCCAUGUACCCUAUCAUGAACAUACCGCAGCUGACACUAUCAUUCUGUCGAUGCAUUUUAGCUUUUGGCAAAUGAAUAUCCAAUGGCAUCGACGUCAAAUCCCAUCUCUUCCGAUGUAUGUUGUUGAAAUAACAGGCUUGGUGGCAGAUGAAUGGCAACAUUGUCGUCAAGGGUGUCAUCUGACCCGCACGAACUCUUUUAUCCUUAGCAUCCGAAGUUCUUGCUGAGUCCACCACCUUGAUCGUCCACUUCACCAAGUCGAUCUUUACAACCACCCAAUGCCCACCAACGUUGCAAGGCGCGAGGAUGAAAUCUGCAUCUUCCCAUUUUUUGGCGUAUGUUGGCCUUUCACCCUCCACAUACCCCCGUAACUCAUUUGGAAUUUGCAUUAUGGCCCGAGCAUCUUCUGUUGAAAAUUCGGUGUGUAGCAUACGGAUGGUGUCUUAUGAAACAUGUAAACAUUAGCUUACACUUCAUGCAAUCAAAAACUUAGUAUUUAUAGAAUUGAACAAUUUUCAAAUAAACUUACGAAGAAUAUCGUGUCAACCACGCAUGCACGGGUAGUGUACAGCGUCGAUUUCGACCCUGUCAUUCGCUUGUAGAGUAGGCUGAGGCAUGUGUCGAUAUGUUCACUUGUCAUUUCCUCAUUGGGAUCUUCUAAGGUUAUGAAAAAGUCAGCCCUUGAUCCCCUAAGAUGCCGACAUUAUGCCUGUAUAUGUAACAUAAUGAAUUUCAUAAGUCUUGGUGGAUUAAUGUUUCAUUAAAAAACAAUAUUUGCAAUGUUAUUUACGAGCUUACCUCGUGGACUCGUCUUUCUUGAAAGCUUCAUAGUCUUCUAUGAUUUUAUCCCUCACAUCUCGACGGGUCACUAAGGGGUCGACGAAUGGGCUUGCCAUGUAUUUGCUCGCCAUUUUUAGCCGUGCCUGCUCAGUUGGGUCUGAAAUGUCUACUGCACCAUGAUAGACAGUAGAUGACUCUAGUGACGAUAAUCGUAUCUCAACUACAUUAUGAGUGCUCCCACGAUAAAGAACGAUAGCUCCUGCUGCUACAUCAACGAAUGCAUCAGCCGGAGGAAGAUGUUGUCCUUCAGCCAUGACUGAGUCAGGAUGCCAGUCCCCUCCAGCAGAUGCAUCAAUAAUGGACUCGGGCAGAGGAACAUGCUCUCCUUCAGUAUCAUCUGAUUGAAGGGUGACAUCCAUUGCCACAGCUUCAUCGACAACGCCAUCGACAUGAGUUACGUGCUCUCCGUCAGCACCAAGAACAUCAUCGUCAAUGUCAACACCAGGUUCAUGAUGCUAUCCAUCAUUAACAUCAUCGUGCUCCAGACCAACACCGUGAGAUGGACAAGCCUACAAAAUUGAAAAAAUCUUUAGUUAGCUCAUAAAAUAACACAAACCAUAAACAGUAAAAUGUUGUGACACGUCGUGCAUAUCAAGUAAAAUGUUGUCAUACGCCAUGCAAAACAAGUAAAAUGUUGUGACAUGCCAUGCAUAACAAGUAUACGUUGUGACACGCCAUCCAUAACAAGCAAAUUGUUGUGACACGCCGAGGAUAACAAGCAAAAUGUUCUGACACGCCAUGCAUAUCAAAUCAAAUGUCGUGACACGUCAUGAAUAACAAGUAAAAUGUUAUGACACGCCAUGCAUAUCAAGUCAAAUGUUGUCACACGCUAAGGCUGACACGGCAAUAACUAACUAUAAUACAAAUGUCCUAACCCACUAAUGAUAAAAAAACUAGUUAAACCACUACCACUUAACCCCAAAAACCAUCAAACCAGCAAGAAAACAUAGUCUAAAUAGUUGCUAAACGUAAACCAUCAAAAUACAAGCGAAGAUAGAAUAACGUACUUGUGAUUUAAGGCCAUCAAGAAUCCGACCAACGAUACGGUCCUUAAGCGUCUACAUUGCUAGAUUCAAUGACUGAAUUGAAGCCUUCAACUCCAACAUCUCUUUUUCAUGCUUGCGCAUGAUCUGUUGGAGUUGACGGGUAAUGACUGCUCCGUCAUUGACUGUUCUCAACUGGAUCAACUGCAAUAACAUAUAUAACUGUGUUAUUCAAUAAUCAUAUAUGGAAUUGUUGAACAUUAACCGUUACAACUUUAAUAUCCUAACAUAUGGCUCGUUAGUAGUCUGCAGUGGAGUCGAACCAAUCAAUGCUUGAGGACCUGUCGUCGCUUCCUCAAACUGCAAUUACAUUUAUAACUGUGUUAUUCAAUAAUCAUGUAUGAAAUUGUUGAACAUUAACCGUUACAACUUUAAUAUCCUUACUGCCGGCUCAUUAGCUGUCUACGGUUUAGCCGGACCGAUCGGUGCUUGAGGACCUGUAGUCGCUUCCGUAAACUGUAAUUACAGAAAUUACUAUGUUACUCGAUAAACAUAUGUGGGAAUGUAGAACACAAACUGCUAGAACCGAUCUUACCAACGGGUCGUUUCCAUUCUGCGUCUGAGGAGGACCGAUGGGUGGUUCUAGAGCUACUGACGCAUAAUCCAAUUGCAAACACAAAAAUGUUAUUCGAUAAUCACAUAUGGAAUUGGAGAACACAAAACCGUUACAAUUGUCCUUACCGACUGUUCACUGUCUUGACCAUGGUCGUCCCCUUUGUCUAUCAACUCAGGGCCCGACAGCUCAUCAACUAAAGCAGCGAUGGUGCGCAUCCAUUUCGUGCCACCAAAGGCUCUUUUCCUUCAAGUUUCUCCUUUUUUGCCUCGUACCUAAGCCCUAAUUCGACAAAUCCUCCAUGUGCCUUAUUGGCAUGUACUCGUGGCCCUCCGAUAAGGGAACAUCAAGGUCCACAAAAUACUCCUGGAGGGCCUCAUCCGCGGUGGGUUCCAACGUCUCUAGUGCCCACAACUGCAAAUAAACGAAUAAAAUGUUAUCAUUAUCGAAUAGAAAAAAUUAUAUAUAAAUAUAACGCAAAAAUUAGCAGAUGUUCACUCACAUGGUCAGAUGACUCUAACUUUUGAAUUGCCUUGUAGAAGUCUUUUGGCUUCUGAUUGCAAUCUCAUCUGUACAUUCGUGGGUAGACGUUGUCCUUCGAACCAGAGAGAGCAACUAUUUUUCAGAAGGCCGAAAUUGCCUCCAUUGCCUAGAACUGUCUGUCAAAUGUAACCAUUAUCAGACCGUAAAUCAUAAACGAGUGCACCCAUAAAUUUUUUUUUCAAAAGGAAACUGAAAAAUGUUACGUGAUAGUACCUGUAUCACCCAUGCGAAUCCGUAAAUGUUGUAGUGUAACCGAGUUUCCUUUGUCAUGCUUGAGUCAAGCAUUUCGAAUCCCUUCAAAAGGUAGUCCAAGGUCAGCUUCCAAACAUAGUGUCCCCAUGGGAAGACAUUCCAAGCGUCGAUGUCUUCCACCAAUGACAACAACCAAGGCGUCACCCGUCUACAGUAGUCUUGACUAAAUAAAAUGUUAUUCGCGAUCAAGACGAGUGCCAUCUUGGUCGCGUCUCCUAGUCACUGGAAGUUGCCCCCGUGAAACAUAUCAAGCAAAGCCUGCAGCUUAACGCUCUCUUGCCCAUUCCAAUAUCUGUCAUGAAUUCCCUCCACAGCAACCUCGUACAAUCGUCUGAACACAUCGGGCAUUGGACCAAACUUUAGCCCGUUGAUGAGGCAGAACUCCUGCUUUGAUAGUCGCGCCUUGCUCUUGCAAAUGGUAAACCAUAGCUCGUGGUCUAUUGACUGGCUCUUAGUGAUUCGGCGAAUCAUGAUACUGUGUAAAAGAUCGAUGCAAAAGUACCCCUGUGGAUAGACGUCCAGGAGCAUUCUGAAGCAAGUACGCUUAACUGGAUCGUACUCCCCCUUUUAUUAGAGAGUCUUUGUGAUGUAAUGCAGCUGCGACCACUUACAAUGGGUGUUAAUUGCGACGUUGAAUGCCCACUUCUCCCUCGGCACAUCAGCAAACUGUCAAGAUCCUCAUACUGUCUACGAUAGAUCUGCAAAACAUGGCACACAUGCACCAGUGAGUUAAGUCGUCAUGUGCAACAAGGUACACUGAAGACAUAAAUAAGGAAUAAAUAUUGUGACACGCCAUGCAUUGCAAGCAAAAUGUUGUGACACGCCAUGCAUUAUAAGUAAAAUGUUGUGACACGCCAUGCAUAACAAGUUAAACGUUGUGACACGCCAUGCAUAUCAAGUAAAACACUGUGACACGCCAUGCAUAACAAGUAAAACGCUGUGACACGCCAUGCAUAUCAAGUAAAAUGCUAUCACACGCCAUGCAUAUCAAGUAAAAUGUUGUCACACGCCAAUAACUAACUAUAAUAGCAAUUGUGUCACACGAUAAACACCCAAAACCCCUAAAACUACUACGACUUAACCCUAACAACCAUCAAACCAGCAAGAAAACACAGUCUAAAUAUUUGAAAAACAAAAAAAAAACCCAAACAUAUUAAACAAACCUAGGAAAAAAUCAAAAAAUUAACGAACACAAGAAUGUUUUAAUUUGAGACUCACUAACCUCUUCAUUCAUGACCGACAUUUUUGCUGAUGCUAUGGUGUUGUUACGCUUGCAAAGAGCCUUCUCGAACACUCCGAUACCGGCGAGAAUGAGAAAUGAAUCACACAAACGUUACAAAUUCUGAAUAAUAACUGUUUAAAAUGAAAAAUGGCCUUAUAAUAUUCUUAUUUAUUCUGAAAAAGGGGAACUAAUUCAGUGAAAGUCCAAACGAUUACCACGUUAACUACUCGCUUUUUUUUCCUCUCUAUUUCAAACCAUGACAUGUCAGCUGCUCAAGCACUACCGUGUCACACACUCUAAACCAUGACCAUGGUGUGUCACCAACUCUGAACUCUGGCAUGUCAUAGCUUCCCUCCAUGGCAUGUCACCAACUCUGAACUCUGGCAUGUCACAGUUUCCUUCCAUGGCAUCUCACCAACUCUGAAAGCUAGUGUGUCACAGAUUUCCUCCAUGCCAUGUCACCAACUCUUAACUCUAGCGUGUCACAGAUUCCCUCCAUGGCGUCUCACCAACUCUGAACUCUGACGUGUCACAGAUUCGUUCCAUGGCGUUUCACCAACUCUGAACGCUGCCAUGUCACAGAAUUCCACCAUGGCGUGUCACCAACUCUUAACUCUGGCAUCUCACAGAUUCCCUCCAUGACGUCUCACCAACUCUGAGCGGUGUCGUGUCACACAUUCCCAACAUGACGUUUCACAAACUCUAAACCUUGCCCUACGACAAUUGUCUAACAUAUGGCCUGCUAUAGCAGGACCAUUUCCUGCUUUGGAUUCACAUCUUUCUCCUUUCAAUUCACCAUCGUAUGAAGGAUUUCUGGUUUCACAUCAUUAGCCAAGCUUUCCAUUCAUGACGACCGGUUCCUCGUUCAAUUUAAUAUCUCUCUUCUCCUAUUAUCUGAAUGUCAUGUUCCAAAUCUUUGAAAACCCAUCUCAUGCAACAUUAUUUUGUUUUGCACAACCUUCGGAAAAAAAAAUGGGUAUUUUGCACAACCAAUCUUUGCAUAUUUAUUUUUUUUCUCCCAUUUUCCGCCUGUUUGAUAGUGCACGCUAACGAAGACGGCUCAUUAAAGGCAUUUUUGUCCCAAAAUCUAUUCUGGUGGCUAAAAACAGUUAAAAUUAUCUCUAAGGUUAUUUACAAAAAUACGUUAUUUUUAAGGGCUAAAAAAAAAUCCCCAAUAUGUAAACUUACUAUAAACAGGGGCAGCUUCUCUUUAUUAUAUAAGGGGGGCCCAAAUAUUUUAAUUUUAUUGCAUACAAUUAAUUUUUUUUAAUUUUCUUAACUUAGCCCCCCAAAAUAUUGUAAAGCUUAUUAUUACUAGCUAAGUCCAACAUAUAAAUUCUAACUCAGCAUAUUAAGCUUAUCAAAUUUUAAAAAAUAAGAGUGAGUUUACCAACCCAAACCCACUAGGUCAAUAUAAAUCUAAAUCUAUAAUAAGCCCAAUAUGCUAAUUAGCAAUUGAAAGAGCCCAAUAUGCCAAUAACAAAUAGAAUCCUUUGGAGGAAAGCUUCCUCAAGAAGCUACCGAUUUCUACAACUGCCCUUUAACUCUUUUUUUCAAGCUAAGGUUUCUUUUUACAACUAAUUUGUCUAAUUGAUUCAGCCUGUUAAUCUCUCCAAAUAAUUUGAAGCUAACGCUAUUCAUCACUCCAAUCAGGUUUUCUUUUCAUUUUUUUAUUGAGUAUUUCCUUUUUUGAGAUUUUUUAAAUAUAUUUAUUGUUUGAAAAUUUGUCAUGGCCUCCUUUCCCUCCUGGUAUGGAAAAAGGAUUAUUUGUCUGGGCAAUGCUUGGCUUGAUGUUGAUGUGGUAUUGGCCUAAAUAUUGUUUGCCAAGCAGUAAUGAAUUCGUGAAAUUGAUUACUAAUACUUUGUACAAGAACCUUUUGUAAAUUUUCCAGAGGAAACAAUUUUGGAAGCUUUGAAAGUAUUCCUUGGUAUUAAUAAGCCUUUUACUCGUAUCCUUUAGUUUUCUUAUUAAUCAUCUUGGCUUAUGUUCUUGUCUGUUUCCAUACCAUAUGUAAAGAACCACACCAUAAUCAAGUGAAGGUAAUUUGACCCUCCAUUUUGAAUGUUAUUAUCUAUAUUAGCUUUUUUUCUUUUGCUCUUAACAGAAUAUGCCAUUUACAAAUUUAUUGAUUUAGACAUUUAGUAAUUUAUUUUUCAUCCAAAUAAUAUAAUUAUAUAAGAGCUUAUAUUUUAAUAGUAAUGUCCAAAUCUAAACUAAUAGGUAGGAAUUUUUAUUGAAGUCCUUUGAGUUUUGACAUGUCAUUUUAGAUGAGCAUUUUGAACCAAUUUGAAAUAUUAGUAUACCAUUAUAUAUCACUAAUUAUAAGUGGCAUUUAUUUACGAAAGUCAACUACGUUUUGGUACUUUGUCUUGUGGUAUUUAUUCUUUUAGCUUGCAUAAGUGAACAUACAUAUGUUGUGUGUGAGAAUUGGAUGGUAUAUAAAAUUCUCAUUGACUGUUAAAUGUCUUUUUUUGUUUGGGCCCCUCCUUAAUAAUGCUCUAGCUCUGCCCCUGACCAUAAUGCUUCAUCAAUCUUACCGUAAAUGUAUAAGAGUAAUGGUAAAAAGUAUUGUUAGACAAACUAAAAUAAAAAUUGAAAAUUGAGUGAUUUUAAAAACAUAUUUUGAAUUAAUUUUGUAUCCUCUAAAACUUGGUAGCAUUAAUUAUUAAAUAAAAAUUUAUUAAAUUGUUAUAAGCAUCACAAUUUUUCAAUUUUAACAUAAAUAUAUGAGAUUAAGUACACAAAAAUAUAAAGUUGAAAUAAGUUUUUUUAAGAUAUUGUUAUCAUUAAAUUGGUUGUUCUUUUCAUAUGACAUUAUCAAAAUUAUCAAAUUUGAUACAAUAAGUUUUUAUUUUGGAUUCAAGCUUAAUAAACAAUUUAGAAAUUGUAAAUACAUAAUGGAACAAAUUAUGUACUUCAAAUAAUAUUCAUUAAAUCAUACGACUUCAAUUAAAAGAUUUUUUAAUACAAAAGUGAAAAGGGACCAAUCCCUUGCGUUAGGGGAUCGAUCUCAUUGUGAUAAAACCAACAACUAAAACAAAAAAUAUUUUAAAUAAUUGUAAAAGAUUGAAAAAUGAAGUUGAGUAGCUUGAAAUGAAGUGAAGAAAGUUGAUUUAUUUUUUUAAGUAAAAAUUAGUACUUAGAUAUAAUAAUGCAUUGAAGUAAAUUUUCAGUUUAAAUUGUGAAAUGGGAAUUUUGGUGUGGCAUUCUAGUAGGUGGAGAAACAAAAUUAAUUGACUUUGUCUUCAGAAACAAUCGAUCAGGGAUAGUGAUCCUAGGAAGUGUGCAAAGGGUUUCCAUCAACGUUUAAGGAAUGUCUGUCCUUUAUGCCAUCCCUAGUAGGUACAUUUGAUAUCCCAAUAACAAUGUCCCGUAGAGGACUUGUAUGCACACCAGACAGAGCAACUAUGUUUGCAACAAGAUUUCUCAUUUCAAAUAGCCAGGUUUAGAUUACCCAAAAGCCAGAAGUAUAAAAUCAUUAUUGAUACUAAUGAUUUCUUAUAAAUUAAUGUUAACAUUAUACUUAUAUUAUGUAAACACAUAUAGUUUCAUAUAUAUUAAUGUUAACCUUAACUAACAUUAAUAUAUAAGAUCGCUGUGCAUAAUACAUAACAUUUAUAUACAUGUUAUAUUGGUAUUAAUAUAUAACAUUAACGUUAUGUAAAUUAAUAUUAAUGUUAUGUAUAUUACCUUUAAAAAUAUAAUGUUACUUAUACUUAUAUAAUUAUAAUGUUAACAUUAAAUGUUAUAAUACUUUUUACUUUUAAAUUAUAUCAUAACAUUUAAAUAUUUGAAUGUAAUAAAUUUAUUCAAAUUAAAGUAAUUAAAUAUAAUGUUAAUGUUAAAAAAUAAUUGCAUCUCGUGUGGAUCACAAUUAGAGGCUACACACUUUGGUAGCUUAAGGUUUGCAACUACCUAAGCUUUUUGGGAGGUUCUUUGAAACCCAAAUUGUCAUGAAGCUUUUAAUUUAGAUAUCAAAGCCUCUAAGGUUAAAGAAACUUUUACCCAAUAGUUAGGAUAUAUUUAUAUUAAACAAUCAUAGAUGAUCUUGCUUUAGAAAAAAAAAUUUACAUUUUUGCUGUGUUUUGUAAAAUUGUUAUCAUAGUGUUUCCCAGCAGUAAGGUCGUUUCUAAUUAAGAGAACAUUUUCCAAGGCUCCUAUUCGAAGAAUAGUCUUCCAAACAAUUUCUUUUUCUUCAAAAACCAUUCCAAAAGUUGUUAUCGUAAGCAGAGGCAGUGGGGAGGAGGGGCUAGUAGAGGCUCUCGCCCCUUAAAAAUUUUAAAAUUUUUACUACAACCCUUUUUUUUUUCAAAUUUAUAAUUUUUCCCCUACAAUAAUUUUAUAAUUUUGCCUCUUAUUUUAUAAUUGUUAUAACAUAUCAAUAUGUCAUUUGAAUUUGUAUUUAUCUUGCAUCGCUGUUGGAGAUAACAAAUGACCUCUCAAAAGCUUUACCACCUAACUCUCAAGACAUACUAAAUGCAAUUCGUUUAGUAUCGCUUACUAAAAAGCGUCUCCAACAAUUGAGAGAAGAUGGAUGGGAAUCUUUGCUUGUGUCAAUGAAGAAUUUUUGUGAGAAAUAUGAAAUUACGAUUCCUGACAUGGGGGCUAGAUAUUAAUUAGGUAAAGGUCAUCGUCAAAAAGAUCAUGCCACAAUUGAACACCAUUAUCAAGUUGACUUGUUUCUAGCCACUAUUGACUCACUCUUGCAAGAAUUGGAUUCCAAAUUUAAUGAAAAUGUAGUGGAGUAGCUCACUCUUGGCACAUCUUUGGACCCUCAAGACAAUGUCAAAUUGUUUGACGUUGAAAGUAUUUGCAGCCAUGCAAAUAAAUAUUACCUUGAUAACUUUACUGAGCAUGAUAAAAUGCAUCUAUGCUAUCAAAUUAGAUCUAUUCAAGUUUGACAUUCUUCAUAAUCAGGUUUUGAAAAAUGUAUCUAUACUUUUUGAGUUAUGUUAAGUGUUAAAAAAGACAGGAAUAUCAAAAGUUUACUUCUUUGUUGACAGAUUGAUUCAGCUUGUCUUAACUCUUCCAGUUUCCACUACAACAUCAGAGCAUGCAUUUUUUACUAUGAAAUUCAUUAAGAAUAAGACUUGUAAUAGAAUGUCAAAUGAUUUUCUUAUAAAUUCAUUGAUCAUUCUCAUUGAAAAGGAAAUCAUUCGAAACUUUGACAUUGAUUCAAUGAGAGAUACCUUCAACUCUACGGAAGACUAUCGAGCUCAAUUAAAGAUAUCUAAUCUUAGCAUACAAUAGUUGUUUAAAAAUGUUUUUAUUUAACACGUAGUUGGAGUUAUUUGUGUAAUUUUCAUAUUUUCAUAUAAAUUUUUUCCAUCUAAGUUACUUUAUGUUUUUGUGAAAAAAUAAAUUUCUAGUAUGACUAUUUUAUGGAUAUUAUCUUUGCCCUCUCAAACACGAAAUCCUAACUCCGCCCCUAAUUCUAAGCAUUAAUAACUUGCUUUUAAUUGUGUAUGAUCACACUUUCUAAAGCCUUUAUUCUUACUUGAUCUUGGCUUUCUAAUUUAGCUAUAUUCCUCAUGCAACAAAUUAUGUUAUAAUACUACCAGUAAAGAUUGAAUAUUUAUCUCCACAUGUAAAACAACAUCAUAUCCAUACACCAUGUAUGUACGAAGUAACUCUAGUAGUUGUCUUCUUUGGAGUUGUAUGAGCCCAUGAGGCAUUGGUUGACCAUUCAAGCCACACGUGUGGAUCUUUCUCUGCUAUUGUAUAAACAAUAUUCUUCAAAUCGUAAUGAGCCUAAGCAUAUAUAAGAGUUGAAAGAAUUAUUUUAUGUCCAAGUGCCAUUGAAUUGUAAGCCCUUUUAAGCCGAAGUUUGGAUACGAGCUUGGUAAUCUUGGCCUUGAUCUACCUAAGGGUUCUCGCCUUUGAAAAUUACAGUAAAGAUGGAGAAUGACAAGUUUGAAGGAUUAAAACUAUUGAGACUAAGAACUAGUUACAAACUGAGGGUAAAACUAAAGAAAACUUAAAAACAUAAAAGAUAAAUGUGCUUGAAUCUGGUUUAAGAAACCCUAACUCUUUAUAGUGGAAUCAAUGGUGACGAGUAACAUGUAGUUAGGCACUCUUCCAUUUCCCUAAAAAUGUUGAACAUGAUCUCGUAAAAUUUAAGACCUACUAAAAAAACCAGACAACGGAAACAAAAGAUUUUCCUCUUAGAGUUUGAAGCUUUCCUCACUUAGCUCUAGUCCUUUCUUAAACCAUAAACUUGAUCCAACUUCACUUGGUAUAUUUUCCUUAUGUGAUGUGAUGCUUAAACUUGUGAAGCACUCACUCAAUUAGCAUCCCUUGGUUGUUUUGUAAAGCUUGAAUGAUCUUUUAGUCUUACUUGAAAUAUGCUUUCUAAUAAACUGAAGAAUAUCCCAUUGCUUUUGCUUUCAAACCUGGCCAAGAGCAAACUCUUAAACGGCUGAAGCCUUCUAAACUUAUCAACUUGUGAACUUCAGUGAAGGUGGAGAAUCAUUUUAAAUCAUUUUAAGGCUAAAAUCCUCAAGCUAACUAAUUUGUAGAUUAGCGACUUAGGAAAUUCAAUCAAGAUGAGGCUUAGAUUCUCAAGCUUAUCAAUCCUACAAAUUUUGAUACACCUCAUACUAAAAUAACUUCUUGGUUGAGUUGCAAGCAAACGACCUUACAUAGUUUGACUAACCACAUUUCCUAUUAAGCUUACUUGCCUUUUUGCUCUUUUCUUCCAAUCUCCUGCAUCUUAUAACCUUGCCUGCUUUCUAAUCCAAUACUCCUUUCUACCUUCCCAACUUUCUAAUAAUGUGUUAGAAUUAAUAUAUAUUUUAUUGCCAUUUGGAUAGAUAUAAAGAUAUAUUUUUGCUAUAUUUUGCACUACAUUUAAUCAAUAAAAGCUUUUUUAUCUAUCCAUUUAUAUAUAAUUGUUGUUAUUUACUAUUAAGAUAAAGUCCACGGAAUAAAUGUGCUUUGCAAAAGGAAUUUCUACCUUCCCAACUUUCUAAUAAUGUGUUAGAAUUAAUAUAUAUUUUAUUACCAUUUGGAUAGAUAUAAAGAUAUAUUUUUGUUAUAUUUUCCACUACAUUUAAUCAAUAAAGUCUUUUUUAUCUAUGCAUUUAUAUAUAAUUGUUGUUAUUUACUAUUAAAAUAAAGUCCACGGAAUAAAUGUGCUUUGCAAAAAGAAUUAUAAAGUGCUAUAAUUAUAAGAUUUUUACUGUAUCAAAGUAUUAUUCCUUACUAUUCAAAGUCGAUGCUUUAUUACUAUAGGGAAUUGCAGCAUAUGUUAUGUUUUUACUUGUGAAAUAAGCAAUUGAUCUCAUAGGUUGAAGUGUGAGAAUACUCAAACAAACAUAUGAGUGUUUGUUAAAUUAACAAGUUCACUUAACAUGACCCGUCAUCAAAAUUCCUUUUGGUAUCUCACUAAAAUGUUUAUGGAAACAAAUUCUCGUGUAACAGUUGUUUAAGUGAUCCUUAUACCUGAGAUCAUUAGGUUGUUUUGUAUGUGGAGUGUUAUACUUUGACAUUGUCUUAUGUAGUCUUAGCCAAGGAUAUACAAUCACAGAAAUUGGGUAUAGCAUGAAGCCAUAUGGAGAUAAAUAAAUCAUCAAUAGAGGAUUCAUCAGCCUAAGUGAUUCUUUAAGGAAUAUACUAUUGCUUCUCGACAUUUAUUAAGUUAACAAAAUCCUUGACCAAGAUUAAAUGAAGAUUCAGGAAAGAGUUUUCAAAUUUCAUUAAAAGCAUUAAUGAUUAUUUUCAAUUGCUAACAUGGUUAAAACAUAUAUAGAGUAAACACUAUACCAUACUCUAUGUCUAAUAGGCAUACUCGUCGAUAAAAGGAUUGAAUGUAAGACCAUGUUGAAAGGUUAAGUCGAAUAACUUUGACUCUUCUUAACAUUGAGUGGUCAUGAUACAUUAUUAGAUGUCAUCUUAAUAGAUGUCAACUAGAAUUGAUUAUGAAUGCAAGAGUUUGAUUCUUGUAAUCCUAUUCAUUUUAAGAUUAUAAGUCGUAUAUAGUGUCAACAUGUUAAAAACUUAACAAGUCAUACAUAUUAAGAGUAACGAUGUGAGAAAUUAAAAUGGGGAAUUAAAUUGGAUUUAAUUGUAAUGAAGUUUCGAAUUCCAAAGAUUUAAUUGAAAGGGUUCAAUUAAAUUGGUGUAGUUUUAAAAAUAACAUAAAAGUUUUGCAAAACUUACUAGAGUCAAAAUUAAUGUAAUUGUCUAUAAACAUGAGUCUUUCGGUUACACUUUUGUACACAAUAAGAGCACUUUCGGCAUUCUUGAGUAGAAAAGCCCGAGAGUCUCUAGUUAGCACUAGUCUAAUUGGCCUAGACUCUCUCCUCUCUCCCUUGAAGAUUUUCCCACUCGUUGCUCGUAUGGAUUAACAUUGAAAGCUGUAUAUUUGGACAGUUUGUAGUUUACGAUAGCCCUUUGCUCCUUGGUGCUUAAAUAUGCCAACUAAUAAGGCGCCGCAAUGUCAAUUGCCAAAAAUUUAUGACUACAAGUUUUGUUGUAUGAGACAGAGAAGAAACAUUUACGCAAUGAGAGCCUCAAAUUAAUUCAGUAAAUAGAUCAAUCAUUGAAAUAAUUUUAAUUAUAUUCUUUAUGAAUGUUAGAAUUUGUAAAUUUAUCAUAAUUUUUUAUUGUUAGAAUAAAAUUUAAAUGUUUAUGGUCUAUUUGAUUAUUUCACUUCUAACUGAAGACGUGAAUAUAUGUAUAUUUUUUAUUUUGACAAUUAUUGUACAAUAAAUUACAAGAGAUUAUUUUUUUCAUAAUUCGGUUAAAUAGUGUAGCCUAUGUAAAUUGUUGGAAGUAUUUCAAUCGAUUAAAAUAUUACAUUGGGUAAUUCAAUUUUUAAUAAUUUGAUUUGGGUUCUACCGGAAUCGACUGAAUUGGUUAUAUAAAAUGUUGACAGGCAACCCAUCAAUUCAUCUACAUCUCUAACCUUCUCUCCUACCCUCCUCCAGCCCCAAGGUCCAAAUGUGAUCCAACACUGAAGUUACACACAAAAUAUAUAUAGAUAUAUUGAUGAAAUUGAAUAAUAGUAUGUUUCAUCAUAAUCUUACAAAUAUUGUUCAAAGUCAUGCUAGGUGGUAAGCAAUUGGGUCAGUUCCCAAUGCCAAAAUUGCUGUCCCCUCUUCAUCCAUAAUAUAUUUACAACUAUUAACAAAGCGUUCCAUGAUUGAAUCAGGGGGAUCAAUAACAUGCAUAUCAUUACCACUAUUGCUUACUCCUUGUUACGAGAAGUGCGAUCUUUACGUUGUCCACCAAGAAUACGAGAAAUCUGCAGACCUCUACUGAAUGCUUGGUUGAAAAGCAUACGAGUCUGAAAUUCUGAGACAAAAGGAAACCAGGCCAGGAAUGCUACCGGAGUGAAAAGAAGCAACCCCAUCACUAUCUCAUAACCCCGAGCAAGAGUUCGUACUGAUCCCCAAAAACCAGCUUUCUUAACAAAAGGCCUCAAAGCUUGAGCAAUCUGACAAAAAUACGGAAACAAGGUAUAAAUAGCAUUAACAUACAUUUUGAAGUAACAGAAACACAAGUUCAACCAUUAUCAUAUAUGACUGUAAAAAUUGUAGCAGUAAUGUGUGUGUGUAAGAGAGAGAGAGAUGUUUACCAGAAGCAUUCCCCAACCCGUAGGCAUAAAUGCAAGAAUGCACACAAUAAUGUCUUGAAGUGUCAUGUGAGGGAGAGCAAUCAAAGUAACCAGAAUGGCCACGAAUGUCAAGAAUAUUAAUCCCUUGAUGAGCCGAAAAACAAGUUGAUAACUUGCACUGAACUUUCGCCUCCCAACAGAUACAGUCUAAGCAAGAAAAACACAAAAAUGUAAAAUGAUUAAGAAUGCUUAGAGCUAGAUAUAUGGAGUUUAGUUCGCCUCCAAAUUAGAAAUCAAGACCAACAUCACUGUCAUUGUUAUCUGAUACAUAUGACAACAUAAAUAGGAAGAUGAAACCAUUCAAUUUUGAAAAGACAUCUGUCAAUAAAUCAUUUUCCUGUGUGUUCACACAACUAUUUAUAAACUAUUCUGAAGCAUUUGGUUCUCUUUAUCUGUUUAAGCAGCUAUCGUUUAUCAGCAGUUGACCGUGGUUAAGUAAACCAUAACACAAUGAAUUUAAGCCCUGUUUACCUGUGCAAUUACUUGGUUUUCUUUCUCUUGAAAAAGUUCUCAUUCAAAAAAAUAAAUAUGUUUACAAAGGAACCAAAAAGAAUAAUUAGACAAUAAAUGAUCUAACAGGAAUAUGAACAGGAAAAAUAAAAUGCUUCAUGACAACUUAUGCCUAGUCUACUCUCAGGAAGAUAAUAAGCAAUUAACAAGAGGACUUUUUGAAACACGUCAAGGCCAAUAUUUGAAGAAUCUAGCCACCUACCUUCAUCACAAAUAAUAUCAGAACAAUCACCAGCCAUGAUGCACCAUAGAUCUGUGACCAAGCGAAUGAAAAUACCCAAUGUAAACAUAUAAAGAUGAAAAAUAAGGAAAAAAUGGCCAAAGAAACGGAGAGGGACAUACCAAAAAGCUUCUGUUUUCUUUGAUAACAUUCAAGUGAUAGACAAGCCCAUACUGGUAGAUAAAGAAUCGUAAAGCUAACAAUAUCUCAGCAAUAAUACCACGCUUCCCAGAAUAUUGAAGAUGCUCUUGCUCUUCCUCCCACCAUGAUUCCCAACUUUUUUCUGGAGGUACACCUAUACCACCUCGGUUGUUUAUCCACUUAUUCCAAUCAGUCCAAUCAUCAACAAUCUUCUGCCACUCGAAACCAGAAGGAUUGAAUAGGAAGGGAGCAAAAAGCCAUGUGCCCACCAUAAACCACAAAGAUACAGUGAUCAAUACAUAAGCAACUGCACUUCUGUAAGUAUGACCAAAGAUUUGGUACACUAGAAGCAAGAUCAUCAUCUCAAUACCCUUCACAAAAUGGCUACGUGAAUAAAGCCGGUAGUUGUCAGCAAACUUGGCAUGGAACACCACAAACCCUCGGCCUGUAGGCCUGUACUUUGCACCUCCAUGAAGCAAUGUCCUUCCAUAAUAGUGGGUCUUUGUUCCAAGAGAAAAUGUGAAAAAUACUGGUGCCAAUUGCAACUGCAUUAAUAUAAAUUCACUUAAUGCAGUUCGGAAACCCCUUUCCAAGCCAAUCUCCAUCAACAUAGGUAAUGCCAUCAAAAAUCCAAUUUGAACAAAAGAUUGAGAAGCAAGAGCCACUUGAAGAGGCUUAUUAUCACGAAUUGCUGGUUGCUCACUUAAUCCUUGUUCAAGGCCACUCAGUACAAGAUAGAGGCGACCAUAAAGGAACACAUAG
rnacentral:lncRNA from 1 species